rnacentral:lncRNA from 1 species
UCCUGAAAUAGCUAGGAUUAUUAAGUUUCAAUUAAGCAUGCACAAAAGGCUGAUUUUGUGAGUGUCAACAUUAUGAUCACACAGCCAAAAUAUAGAAAAGAGACAAAACGAAGCAAUUGACUAUAAAGGAACAGACUUUGAAUUCACUAACCAGAAUAAUAGCUUUGAUGCUGCUGGUUGAUAAGGGAACUUCAAGGUCUCCAUGAUCCUGAAUAUCCAGAAGGACUUGGACGAGAUCGUCUGCUUCACUUUCUCCUGUCCUUGUUGAUAAUUUUGUAGCUCUAUGUUCCUGAAUGACGCUUUCCAGAAUCUCAUCUACCUUGUUAUGCAGUUUUUUAAUUUUAGGCCUCAUGGCAUUGAUCAGAUGGAGCAAUUUAACGGAAGGAUAGACAUCAACAAUACUGAGACCUCCAAACAACGCUAUAAUGUCUGGGAUAUGUUUCUUGAAUGCAUCCUGGUGCUUACAUUUCCCACCAAAGGCUGUUCUGGAGAGUAUGCUGAGUGCUGAAGAGUACAAGAAGUUCUUAAGGUUAAUAGGCGAUCCUGCUUUCGAUGAGAUGGUUCUUACUAAAUUAGAUAUUUCUUCUUCCCUGAUUGGUCUAAAUGACUGAACUCGUUUCUUACUUAACAGCUCCAGCACACAAAUUUUGCGUAUUUGUCUCAUGUAAUCUCCACGGGCAAAUGCAAUAUCUCUAAAGUUGUAAGUUAUGAACUGUGCAGCAUAGAGAUAAGGCCUCUCAGAGAAAACAGAGUCGUGGGUUUUCAUCACCUGUUUAGCAGCUUCUGGUGAAGAAAUCACAACAGUUGAUACUUCCCCAAGUUGCAGAAGCAUCACUGGACCAUACUUCUGAGCCAAUCGGGCAAGGCAGCGAUGAGGUUGAGUCCCAAUAAGAAGGUGCAAGUUUCCUAUCAGAGGUAAUUUUGGAGGACCAGGUGGUAGCGUUGAUGGAAGGCUACUAGAUUUGGUAUUCGUCCAUGUCCUCAAAGCCCUGAAUGUGACGAACAAAAGGGUAAGAAGGAAUAAGAGAAAGGGAAGUUGGUUUUCCAUGCGAGCAAUGGGAAAGAAUUAAAUGGAGGGGAAAUUUCCUUUAUUGAUUAUGAAUCUCCUCUCUUACUUGGAAAUUGCGGUUGGAGGGAUGAGACUUGGGGUGAAACUAUGGGGAAAACGCAGUGCCGAAAGUAUUUAAUUUGCUGUUAGUGGCCUCAUUUCAUAUAUCUUGUCAACAGCAGAACAGUGCUGUUAUUGAUAUUUGCAUGUUAUAUGUUCCAACCAAAUGGCCUUUUGCAUUUUUUUUUUUAUAAUUAGAUAAAAGAUUCAAACUUUACUCUUUAAGUAAGGGAUAAUGCACCAACUAAUAAGUUAAAUGUUGAGGUACAUCUUUUACGUUUUGUUUUACUAGAAUUAGCAAAACCAUAAUGGAAAAAUGUAAAUUUUGUUUGAUAUAAUGAGAAAUAUUUACUAUUAUAAAAAUAAAUGCUAACUUUCCUACCAAUAAUUGUGAACAAGCAAAUUGUAACUACUAUAUAAUGGAAAGCUAAAGCUUUUCUUGUUUAGCUGGCUUAAAGAUUUACACGUGAAACUAUUGAAAAAAAGAGGUGUAAAGUUAUCUUUUUCAAUCUUAAGAUUUACCCAUGGCUCGACUUGUGGACCAGAAGAAUAAAAUCCUGGUGUUAGUCGUGCCCCACAGCUGUUGCACCAUGGAAAAGAUUAAAGUCUCUAUCAUUUGCUAUUUUUUAAUAUUGUGUUGUCAGUUUUUUAUUCAACUUUGCAGUUAGUGUAAUAUUUUUAUUGGGGUAGUUUGGCUACGUGUUAUGACAUUAUAGGCCACUAAGUACUAGACACAUCACUUGGUAUUUUAUGAUUUUUUGUCUCUUGUAAUGAGAAAUAUUAUAUUUGCAUAAUCAAAAGUGAGCUGUGACUUUGCAAGGCUUCUGCAAUUCUUCUCAUCUCUCACGUGUUUUUGGUUUUUUAUAUUUUAUGUUUUUCUCUCUCUUGUAAUUAGAUGUACUAUAUUUGUUUAAUAAAAAGUGAGCUGUGACUUUGCAAGGCUUCCUGCAAUUCCUCUCAUCUCUCACGUGUUUUUGGUUUUUUGUUAACUCAGUGUUUCUCGUUCAACUUGUUAAUUACUCAAUGAAUUCAUAACCUUUUGAUUUUUGAACAAUUGUUUGGGAAAUCUUUCUCCAAAAUUGAGCAAGUGAAAAAGAUAUUAAAUAGCUUGUCCAAGUCAUGCCAGGCCAAGGUGACCAUCAUAUCAAGAGUUCAGAGUCUUCGUAUGUUACAGUUAGAUAAGUUUACUGAGUUCUCUUUUAACCUGUGAGAUGAAUCAUGAGAGGAUUCCAUUUAAGAAGAUGAAUCAUGAAAGUUUGGUUGUAGAUAGAAAUCAUGAGGAGAUAAAGCAAUGUCCAUGCUAGACAUAAUAGGAUUCAACAAGUUCAUGCGAAAGAAACAAAACCUACGGAAGCAAAAGAAGAAGACAAUGAUCGAGACGUGGAGUGAUAGUGAGAAUGAGAUCUUCGAAGAUGUGGCCUUUAUCUCUCAUGAGUUGUGAUUCAAUUUCACAUACAUUUGAUGCGUUCUCAAAUUGAAAAUAUGAAUCUAGUUAUUCAAAACUUUAAAAAAAAAAAAUUUGAAAGUUUAAUACAAUUUCAAAAAGGGUACUUGAUAAAUUUUUUACAAGUAAUAAAAAUAAUGAAUCAGAAAUUAUUAAAGAAAUAUUAAAAUAACUUGAUUAUAAAAGUUUAAGUAGAAAUUUUCAUCUAAAAAUGCUAGAAUAAUAAAAUUUUUUUAAUUUUAAUAAAAAGGACCUCAUUUGAAUAUUUUACUUUAAACUUUUUAGGUUAUUGAGCCGUCUCUAGUAUUUGAAAUAUAAGAAAAUGAUCACCUCUUAACUUAUUUUUGAUAACUAAACGAGAUUGAGUGUGCCUAUAUAAAAUCGAAACAUAAGUUUAUAAUCCAUGAAUAAUAGUUGUUUAAAGUUGGUAAAAUAUCAAGACCAAAGAUUAAACACAUAAGCACAUCCAAUGCUUUAGCUAAUUACAAAUUUCCAAACAUAUCAAGAAUAAUUAAGCUACAACGUUCUUGAUUAAGCAUAGAUCAUUCCAGGUAUAAAUGAUAGCCAAUCAACUCAAGUUGCGGAGAACAGUUAACAACUUAAUAGAUAUAGACAGGAUGCUUUAUUUUUUUUAUUUUUAAUAAUUAAAUUACCCCAUUUUUUAAUUGAAUUUACAUAAUUUAAUUAUAUUUAAUUUUGCAACUUGUUUUUGGAUCAUUCGAACAGAGUUACAUUUAAUAUGAGUCUCAUCUGUCCUGUCCAUCAUUUGAGGCUCGUGUGACUCAAAUUGUAAGAAGUACAUAUUAAAAAGAGUCUUAGUAAAAUGAAAUAGAAUAAUUCUAAAAAAAAAAUCUUAAUAAAAUUUCAAAAAUGCCAAAAAUGACAAAAAAAAUAUAACGUUUACAAAGAAAUAAAAGUACAAAAAAUUAGAAAAAGAAAGACGAAAAUAAGAGAAAAAACAAGGAUUGCUGCCCUUCCUCCAUAUCUUUCUCCACUACUUUGUGCCGACAGGUGAGAAAAUCCAUAAGAAAUCAUUUGAAAGUUGGGUAGUAUUUAAUUAUUUUGUUUAUAAAAAUAAACAUAUAUAGUAUUUAAUCAUAUAAAUCUCCUUUUCUUUUUCCGUAUGGGACAUGAUUUUAUGUUUAAACUUUCUUGCUAAAGGACAAAAUUAUUAGUUUAAAGGUCCUUUUAUGGAAGGUGUUUAAAGGUCAGAGUCAAAGUCUGAAUCUUUAAAUUAAGUUUAAAAAUUUUACUGUAUAUGAGUUUCAUCAAAUUUUAUAUUUUAUAUUAAUUUAUUGAUUUAUUUAUUUUAUUUAUAAAAAUGUCAAAUUUUAUUACUGAAAAUUUUAAAUAAAUUUUCUUAAUUAAUAAUAAAAAUACACAUAAAUAUAUGCAAAUGUCAUCAUGAUUUAUAAAAGUAAUAAUUUUAUGUCAAAUUACUUUUAUUUUGGGUCAAAUAAACUCUUAUAACUUAUGGUUAACUAACUAUCUUUAUUAAAAAGUCACUUGUCAUUCUAUGUCACAUGGUAGUAAUAUGAUAUGUUAACAUGUUAUAAUUGAUAAUGAUAUAACAUGCUGAUAUAGUAUGAUGGUAUGAUCAUGUGACAUUUUCAUCAUCCACGUCAACAUCAUAUUAACGCCACGUGAGUAUAAAGUAAUAGGCAACAUUUUGACUAAUAGUAAUUAGUCAACCAUUAGUCAUAAGAGCCUAAUUGACCUAAAACAAAAGUAUAAGAGAUUGAUUGAAUGGAAUAUAAAAAAAAGAGUUUGUUCAAUUUUUUUUAAAGUAAUUUAAAAACUUUUUAAACUAUUAUGCCCUAUAUGAACUUAUUUUCUAAAGUUGAUAACCAAUAGUAAAACACUAGAUUACAAGUAAGAAUGAAUAGAAAAGAGGGGAAACAGUUUUCCAUGAGAGAUUUGGGUUGGAUUUUCAAGAAUAGGCGACUACUCGAAGGUUUACAAAUAUUUGGUUUCAUUACUUUCAAACAUACGUUGAUGUUAGUUUUCAGUUUAUUUAACAUUUUAUCAAUAUAAUGUCAAUUAUUGAAUUUGAUAAUACAAUUAAGUGAUAUUAACUUAAUUGAUUAACUUAAUUUAUUUAAUAUUUAUAAAAAUACACAUAAAUAUGUACAAAUAUCAUCGUGAUCUAUAAAAAGUAAUAAUUCUAUGUCAAAUUAGUUUUAUUUCGGAUCAAAUAAACUUUUAUAACAUACGGUUAACUAACUAUUUUUAUUAAAAAGUUGUUAUUUUAUAUCACAUGUCAUAAUUGAUAGUGACAUGGUAUGUUGAUGUGGUAUGAUGAUAUUAUCAUGUGACAUUUUUUUCAUCCAAGUCAAUAUCACAUUAACGCCACAUGGGUAUAAAAUGAUAGACGAUGUUUUAACAAAUGACAAUUAGUCAACCGUUAGUCAUAAGAGCUUAUUUAACUUAAAAUAAAAGCAUAAGAGAUUGAUUGGAUGAAAUAUAAGAAUAAGAGGUUUUUUUUUUUCUAAUUAAGGGAACAAGGAUUCGAAUCUUACUCUUUAAGUAAGGCAUCAUGUACCAACUAGUGAGCUAAAUGCUCAAGUGCAGAAUAUAAGAAUAAGAGCUUGUUCUUACUCAUGAUGCAAGCUAAGGGUGAGAACGAUCCUAAGCUUAAGAGAUCUUUUGAUGAUUGUGGGUAAGGUCAAUGUGCCACUCACACAACUAUAAUGAUUGUUCAUGUGAGGUGAACUAGAUGGUAGUGAGGACUUUAACCACUACCCAUCUAAAGGGGGUGGGACCACUUGAUAAAUCGUGGAUGAGGCUGAGGUGCCAUUCACGAGAGCUUGCUAGGAACUCGAAAUAGUGGAGGUUAAACCACUAUUUGUCAGAACAAGGCAGACCCAUUCAUAGAUGGAAUGUUAUGAUGAAUGAGUUUAAUGAGUUUAAGGAAUGAUUGAAUGAGUAUUGAUUGAUGACUUAUGUUUAAAUGCUUAUUUUAUGAUAAAUGAUUAUCGAAAAUGUUAUUCACAUUAUAAUAUGGUGAUAUUGGUUUGGUUAGAUAAAACCUUAGCUUAAGGAAUAAUCCUAUAAUUUUGGAAAGACUUAUGAAUGGUUUAGGUUCAAAACAUUGCCUAGAAAAUUGAAUUUUGUGGAAAAAGUAUCGAUACAUGUGGAGCAUGUAUCGAUACAUUUUCAACAGAAUGCUACAAGAGGUGUUCUGUGUGAAAUGUAUCUAUACACUCUCAAAAGUAUCGAUAGAUUUCUUGCAUGCAUCGAUAAGUUUCAAAAUGUAUCAAUAGAAUUGUUGCAAAAAAUGAUUUCUAAGUGAUUUUAAAGAGGUUUUCCAGGAUAAAUGAGUUCUAAUGUUUUAAGCAAAGUUGUUUUCCAUUCAAAGUUAUUUAAAGGAUGUUUUAAAUGCUAUGUUACAUGAUCAUUUUGGUAAUGAUGCUGAAUUUAUGAAUCAUAUGUAUUUACAAUUGCGUGGUGUCACAGCCCAAUUUUCGGGCCAUGACUAGCGCAUAGGCCCAAUGGGCAUAGCCCACAAGCCCAAGCAAGUCUCUUUAUGUAAUCCCUGAUCGUCAUUUCAACAAUCAUUCCUAAAGUCACAUUUCGUAAUUCUCAACUAUAAAAUAUUCAGUGAUAUACUAUGGCAAUCAAAUACUUACAUUUAGAUCAUCCAAAAUAAUAUCAUCCAUUGCCAACUCAUAGUGGCAUCAUCAAUCAAAAUAUAUAUACAUUGUUUAUACUAUGAAUCCUAGUGAUUUACAUCACAUGUAUGUAUACACAGGCAAAAGACUAUUGACUACCAGCGGAGUGACUUUGGGUGAAGGUACAACUACUGAAUGCCAUGGUACUUACCAAAAAGAUGAAUAUAUGUGGACACCUCAAUCUAGGUCCCAACUGCCUCUGAAUCUGAAAAUAUGAUGUUUAAAAGAGUGAGUAUAAACCUAGUGAGUGAACAUAGGAAGAGAACAAGCAAACGAUACGGAAAGUUAUAGAAAACAUGAUGCACUUAUGUUAAAAACAAUGCAAUUUAGCUUAAUUUCUUGUAAAGCCCCUUAAUUCAACCUUUGGUUAUUUAAUCCCUUAGAGUGAAGGAUCUAUGAUCAACAACGAAGUUGAAAAGAGUGAAAACUACAGCAAAUAUCCAAGCAAGAUAGGUAAGGCAGAGAGUUUGUCGUUGGAUUGAAAAUCAAUUUGGAAACAAUUAACAAUUUCAACAUUCAACAUUCAUUGCAAUCACAUAAUAUUUUCUCUAGCAUUUCCAUGGUAUGUGUAAGCAUGUAUACAACCAUCGGCUCAUUAGCUUAUGUGCACUCUCACACCGCACAUAGUUAGAAUCACCUGUCAUCAUCGGCAUGUGCACUCCCACACCACACACGCGCGGUUAGAAUUAUCACACAAUAUUAUUAUUCAAAGCAUAACAUAUAUAUCUUCAGAAUAUAGGAACUCAUGGGUUCAUCACAUUACACAUUUUACAACAUAAAACGUUUCAUCAAAGGUUUGUUCCCAAGCAUGAUUUAGAGAAAAAAAAGUCAAAUAUAAUCAUUUAAGUGCUUCAUCUCAACACAUAUGUAUUUCUCAGAAAUAAUUUAAUGCAAGUUCACUCACUUGUCCUUGUUGAUUGUUUUGAUCGACUAUAACUUCAACUAAUUCUCCAAAUGGACAUGUGGAGCCUCGCUGGAACCUAUCACACACAAUAUAACCAUAAAAAAUAUAACAGCCCACAAAUCUAAUUAUUAGCCAUCUUUAACAACUUAAAAUCAAUCCUAACACAUUUCUCACCUUGGUGGACUUGUAGUUGAAUUUUCUUAGUGAGGAUUAAAAGGGGAAAACUCCUUCAAGAGUUUUCAAGCUAAUUUGAAGUGUUUCCCUCUCUAAAAAAUGUUCAGUAGUGAAAGAAAGUACAAAGAAAAAACACUUUUUUUGAGGGUUUUUAAGGUGAAAAAGUGAAAGAGAAUGAAAAACCCUAUGAAAAAGUGUGCAAAAACAUGAAUUUUGAAGUUAGUAUGUGAAGGCUAUGGAGGUUUUAAGGUUUCUUUCCAUGGAGGAUGAAAAGUUCUGCAAAAAUGAGAGAAGAAAUGAGAGGAAGAUGAAGAAGGUGCUGGAACUUUAUAUAUUUAUCUCUAAAGUCAAUCAAAAUUUCACAUAAUUUAUAAAAAUGCCCUUUUUGUUCUUCUGGUGCAGUACCUUCAUUUUGACAAAGAUUUUGACCACUUUACUAUCAGAACUGGGCAAAGUAGAAAACAUCAAAGUUGUAGCCCUACCUCUUAGCUUUCUAAUGGUAUAAAAAUUAUGUCAUUUGGACUUCUUUAGUGGGAUAUAAUCUUGAAAAACCAAAAUAUAUGCAAAUAAAGCAAUAGUUCAUUAUGCACCUUUCUUCACCAAUUGAAAUUAUUUUUGAUCCUACUCCUAUAAAAACAUAAAAUAAUUAUAAAUAACAUAAAACUAACAUCAUUAACUUAAAAUAAACAUUUAAAUAUAAAUUAAACUAAACUAAUAAAAUAAAUAAAAAUACCUAAAUUAUAUCCUAAAUCUAGUCCAACUUAGACUAAUUAGGUAUUUAAUCUUCCAUUAAAUAUGUGAAUUUGAUGCACUCAUCAGUCUACCUCAAGUCACGCAUCUAUGGAGGUCGAGGUUUCACACAUGGUUACGAAAAACUCUUCCCUUUGGCCUGUCCCCUUCUCCAUAUCCAUUCACAAAGUCUUUGUGACUCACACGUUAUUUUUCGUCACUAUUUUCGUUAUGGAUUAAUGAUAGUAUUUUGUAGUAGCUAGUGUCAUGGAUACAAGUGUCUAGUUUUCAUCCUGUGUUAGAUGUCUAAUAGCCACUUGAUGCCUAGAGGGUCGGUCAUGUUUUGUUGAUGAGUCAGUCUUAUCUUUAUGUUUAUGUUUACGAAUUAUGAACAUGUUAUGAUAAUGCAACCAAUGUUUAGGCACUUUACAUUAUGAAUUUUAUGAUUAAAUGUAUAGAGCUGGUUGGAGAGCCUAAAUGGACAGUUGAGGGCGUUAAUAAAUGUUCAUAUGAUACUGUGCACUGAGAUAGUGACACUUUAAUGUUUUAUUAGAUGUUUCCACAUACAUUGCUUAUAUUGAGAGGUUCUUUAACUGUGUAUGAUGCCUAUGAAUGCAUACUUGUUAUAACAAUGUAUGCUUAUGAAACUUUAUAUAUGCUUUCGAAAUGAUGAAUAUUAAAGAGGCUUACUUAAGCUUAGUGGGCUAUACCCGUCUAGGCCUAUGCACUGGUGAUAUCCCAUCGUAAAAUGGGAUGUGACAAAGUUGGUAUCAAAGCUUUAGGUUCAUAGAGUCCUAGGUUUUCCUUGGUUGUCAACGGAAUGUUUAGAGCCGUAUGUAGGAAUCUUGUUUUUGUUUUAUGUACCUAGGCACAAAUUGAAAAUGGGAGACCUACAUAUAACUCCUUGUUUUUUGACCUACUUUAUGCUUAAGAGUUAUGUCUAGAAUUACUAUGAGUUUAUAGAUUUGAGUCUUACAGUAUAUGAUUGUUGUUGUCUAAAUGAGAUAUGUCGCCUAGGACACGAGCUAGUGGUAAAGAUGCGACAGAGCACGAGGCUCCCGUGGAGACUACUAAUAGACCACAUACACCUACUACUAGAGACCAUGGUAGACGUGACAAGGCUGCCAAUUCGGGGAAGAUAGACAGCCCUGCUUGUAGCUCCCCUGCUUGCUUUUGUUGUUGUUGGUGUUGCUUGAUGCUAGUGCUUUUAUUCAUUCCCCUCAUAACUUAGUUAUAAUACUAAAUAUUUGCGCAAACUUAAAAGUACGAUUUAAAUUGAAAAUUGUUGCAACAUAGCUUAGAAAAAAGUCUCAAUAUGCUUUUGCAGAACUUGCUUAUUCUUGCUUACAAUAUCAAUUCUAUAGCGGAUAAUAAAAGAUAAAAGGUAACUAAAAUUUGUUUAACACAGUUUACUCACUAGGCAAAGGAUGGUAAGGAAUGGGAAUUAAGAAGAGAUCAUUCUUUCUUCUUACAGAUAGGCCAAAACAUUCAGUCAUGUCCAAGUCUUCACAUUUGCUUCCAUUUGGGAGCAUCCAAUCAAAAUGGUAUAGCAAUUGUGCAAGGGGUAGCUCAAUGUUGGGGAGUGCAAAUGAUAUGCCUGGACAUAUCCUCCUUCCAGCACCGAAUGGAAUAUAUUCGAAAUUUGUUCCCCUAAAAUCAAUAGAACCGUCCAAGAACCUAUCUGGGUUAAAUUUUUCAGCAUCUUUCCAAUACCUAGAAUCUCUUCCUAUGGCCCAUGCAUUAACAAUGACUUUAGUCUUUGCAAGUAUAUCAUAUCCACUGAUUACACACUUUUCAUCACACUCUCUUGGUACUAGAAGAGGUGCAGCAGGAUGUAACCUCAAGGUUUCUUUAACUAUUAAUCUCAAGAAUUUCAAUUCAUGAAUACCAGCUUCAUCCACGUUACCUUUUCUAUCAAAAACCUGUCUCACCUCGGCUUGUGCUUGUUUCAUCACCUUUGGAUUUUUUAGCAUUUCUGACAUUGCCCACUCCAUUGUUGUUGAUGAUGUCUCACUCCCAGCCGCCAGAAUGUCCUACAAGAUGAUACAUUAUCAUUAGUUUUUUGCUGUUUAUGUUUUCACGAAUUUUAUAUAAACAUAUUGUAAUUUUCUGAUAGAAACUUAAUUUGAGUUUGAAUGGACAGAUUGUCAACUUCGCUUCAUUGUGCAUACAAUUUUUUAUAAGCCAAAAGUAUUUCAUUAAAGAUGGGUUACUUUAAUUCCGUAACCCUUCAAAAGUUUACAUGUCAGCCUGUACAAAUCACCCUUGUCACCAUGGGCUCCGCACUAUAAACCUAUAUUCUUCCUUCAAGAAAACAAACGCCACAACCCUAAUCAAGCCCAUAUACAGCCGCACUCAUCAGCUCAGAGCAUUGCAAAAACAUGUUAAGCUCAUUGUCCAUACAAUUUAAAAGAUGAUUUUACUUCUGUCCAUAUACGUAAUUGUUCUGAGUGGUGCAUCACCGUUAAUUUAUAUACUAUAAAAGAUAAUUCAACAAAAAUAAAUAAACAUUUCAAGUCAUCAAAUUUGUUUUUAGAUAGCUUUUCAAAAAGCAAAAAAAGGUUUGUUCUUAGAAAGCUUAUGGCUACUAAAGAAGUUAUGAUAGAAGUUGAUCUGUAGAUACAUGAGAGAAAAUGAUACUAACCAAGAUAAUUGCUUUUAUUUUGUCAUUCGUCAGAGGAAUUUCAAGGUCAGAACUCUGUUGAAGUUUAAGAAGAACUUCAAGAAGAUCUUCCUCUCCUUGUUGCUUGCCCAUUUCUGAUGUACUGUUUGUUUUCUCUUUGUGCUCGUUAACUAUGUCUUCAAGUAUCCGAUCAGAAGCCCGUUGCAAUUUCUCAAGUUUAAGCCUUACGCCACUGAUCAGUUUAAGCAGCUCAUUAGAAGGAUACAUAUCAGCUAAGCAGAAACCACCUGCGAGCUUUGUAGUUUCUGUUAUGAUCCUUAUGAAUUCUUCUUGGCCUUUGCUUUUCUUGCCAAAGGCUGCCCUUGAUGUUAUCCCAUAUGUCAUUGAGAAAAUUUUCUCGCUGAGAUUAAUUGGGGAUCCUUCAUUCAAAGAUAUGGUUUUGAUGAGAGCAGAAACUUCUUCUUCCCUGAUGAAUUGAAAUGACUGAACGCGACUUGGACUCAAAAGCUCCAUCGUGCUGAUUUUCCUCAACUGUUUCCAAUAGUUUCCAUAGGGUGAAAAUAUAAUGCCUACAGAAUCAUAUGACAUUAUCCUAGAAGCAAGAAGAUAAGGCCUUUGAGCAAAGGUGGUUGCGUGGUCUUUCAAAACCUCUUUUGCAAUUUCCGGAGAAGAUAUUACAAUGCUGGGAACUUCACCAAGUUGUAGAUGCAUCAAAGGUCCAUGUUUCUUGGCCAAAUCUCUGAGGGUGUGAUGGGGCAGAGAGCUUAUGAGCUGAUGCAGGUUACCUAUGAAAGGAAGUUUUCGUGGUCCUGGAGGAAGCCUUGCUGGGGGGUUGUUGGCUUUCGAUCUUUUCAGAACUUUUAGUACCAUGAACACGAAAAGAGAGGUGAGGAGUAGGGCGGUGAAGGAAGGAAAUUGAAGCUCCAUGAUGCUCAAGGAAAACAGAAGAAAUGCCACUUUUUUUUUCACCCCCCUUGGAAAGAAAGACAAAGAUGCAAGUUUCUCUCUCCUUAGCUAGCUAGAGAAAAGGCCUUCUCUUAGUAGCUCUGAAUUAUAAUAUUUAUGUGGAUACCAUUUAUAUUUAUAGCUAUAUGAUGGAUAUAAUAUAUAUUUAGUUUUUAAGUAUAUAUUUAUUAUGUUUAUUAUACCAUUUACUCUUUGUAGAAUUAUAUAAUUAUCUAAAUAUUUAAUAUUUAAGUAAGUUUUUAAUAAAUUUGUUAUAAAUUGAGUUUAAUAUAUGUUUAUUUUCAAUAUAACUUCUCAUGUACAAAGCACUAUACGGACGUCAGUUUCAUGGAAAGAACAAAGAUUUCAAAUAUAACCAAACUUGCAGCGUACAAGUCGGAGACAAGAGGAAUCUGAAAUGCUUCUUCAAAAUGCAUUGUAUCAGCUAUGUUCAUGCAAUGGCUCCUCUUCACUAGCUUUCCAGCUCACUAUCAAAUUAUUUUAAAAAUAUGAAUCCUUGGGAUUCCUUUUCACACGUUGAUGCCAGCCAAGUUGCUGCUGCAGGAGAUCUGUCGACAUUGUUUCAUGAAAUAAGAAAAAGCAACAAUUAAUCGUUUGCACGUGUGCAUAGGCAUAGAUUAUUCGUUUCCAUUAUCAGUAAAGGUUUUUUUUUUUAAAUAGUACAUUAUCUUUCAUGUCAUUCGAUUUUUCAAAAUUUUUAUUUUAAUCAUUCAACUUUGAAAAAUAUAAUUUUGAUAAUAAAUAUUUAUAAACAUUUGGUUAUUCAAUUGCUAAAAGAUAACAAACUUAGCUUUCUCUUGAUAGUAAGUUACAUAUUCAUAUCAACUACUUUGUCAUCUGUCCAUGCGUAAUAAAAAAUUAUAGCUUACUAAUAGAAAAUUAAAAUAAAGAAAAAAUAAAAACAAAUACAAAUAAAAAAUUAUAUUAAUAAUUUAUUAAUAAAUUGUUAAUAUUUAUAUUUUUAAUGAAAAUAAAAAUUAAAAGAUUAAAAAUAGAAAUAAAAUAAAGAAACAAUAAAAAAAUUAAAAUAAAAAAUCAUAUUAGUAAUUUAAUAAUAAAUUUGUAAUAUUUUAAUAUUUAAUGAAAAUAAAAAGUAAAAAAUAUUAUUGAGUUAUAGAAAUAAAUAAUUUUUUCUAAUUUAUUAAUUUAUAAUAAAGGAAACUUUUUGUUUUGAUGAAAAUAAAUUUUAUUAUAAUAAAAGAUAAUUUGACCAUUUUAUUAUUUAUUCUUCAAAAAUAAGUCAUAAUAAUAAGGCUAAAAUUUUUUUUUAGCCCUCAAGUAUAAGUUGUUUUUAGAAAUAGCCCUCAUCUUAAUUUUAACUGUUUUUAGCCAAGAGAUAAAAUUUUGGGAUAAAAAUACCCUUAAUGAGACUUCUUCAUUGAACUAUAUUUGAUGGCAUGUUUAAAAAUUUCCCACGUAACACACCAUGGUGAGAAUUUGUGACAUGCCAUGGAAGAAAUAUGCAACACGCCAUAGAAGGAAUAUGUGACACGACACUGAGGGAGUAUGUGACACGACACUGAGGGAGUAUGUGACACGCCAUGGUGAGAAUAUGUGACACGACAUGAAGGGAAUAUGUGACACACCAUGGAGAGAAUGUGUGACACGCCAUGGUUAGAAUAUGUGACACGCCAUGGUUAGAAUAUGUGACACGCCAUGUUGAGAAUAGGUGACACACCAUGGUGAGAAUAUGUGACACGACAUGGUGAGAAUAUGUGAGACGACAUGGUGAGAAUGUGUGACACGCCAUGGAAGGAAUAUGUGAGACAACAUGGUGAGAAUAUGUGAGACGACAUUGUGAGAAUAUAUGACACGCCACGUUGAGAAUAUGUGACAUGCCAUAAGGAGAAUAUGUGACGCCAUAAAGGGAAUAUGUGAGACGACAUGGUGAGAAUAUGUGACACCCCAUAGAGGGAAUAUGUGACAUGACAUGGGGGAAUAUGUGACAUGAUAUGCUGAGAUUAUGUGAAACUACUAAUAACUCUAUUAUAUAGAGUUAUUUUGACACAUUUUGAGGGCUUAAGUAGUUAUACUUUCGAGAUUUGAUGUUUGAAUUUUUACAUUUUAGGUGUUUUUUUAGUUUACGUUUGAUUACUUAUUGAGUGGUUAAUUUAAAUUAUUUUACUUUAAUUUUAUAUUAUUUUGUUUUAAAUUACUUUAAGAGUAGUAUUGCUAAUUUCUCUUAUUGCUUUUGUAAGAAAUUUGAUGAAAAUCCUCGUAAGUAUGUUGAUGGCUUCAUUCGUAUAUGUUGCGGUAUUUUGACUAUAUCUUUUUUUACAAAACUCCAAAAUGAAGUAAUUCUUAGACCAUUAGAACGCUAAGAAGAAGGGAUACAACUUUUAUGUUUACCACUUUACCCAGUUCUGGUCAGAUGAUGACAACAAUAUUUGUCUAAAUCAGAGCACUAUAAUAGUAUGCAUGUACUAAAUAUGAUGCAAGCAUAUAUUUCAACCCUAAAGUACAAUUGACGUGAUUCUUAAGCCAUUGGAAAGAUAAAAGAUAGGGCUACAACUUUUAUGUUUGCAAUAUUUCCAAGUUCAGACCAGAUCAUGGUGAACAUCACGUUCAAAUUUGAUAGACUGCCACAAUACUGGAAAACAUGGCCAUGGUGCUGAGCUAAAAUAGCUCACCAUGCAUUUUCCUAAGAGCUCAAAGCCAUAGCGCUAAAGAAGCAGCACCGUGAUGCUACUGUAGCAAACAUGUAGCACCUCAGUGCCAAAAAAUUCAGGCCACAGCGUUGGGAGAUUUUCCAAAAAUAAAAGUUUGAUAGGAUUUUGGAAAUUAGGUUACUUGGAGCCUAUUUAAGGGACCUUUUUUAGAGAAAAGGGAAGGCAGCAAGCAACUAUUCUGGAGAUUUUGAGCCAAGAACAAAGCAAGAAAACAAGAGAAUUUGAUAGAGAAUUAAGAUUGCAAAGAAGCUUUUAUAAUUAGUUUCUUUCUCUACUUUUGUGCUUUUUUAAUUUUCUUUGACUUGAAUUAAUGGCUAAAUUUCUUUGGAUAUUGUUUUUAUUACUUAUUAUGAGCUAAAUUAUCUUUCUAGGAUUGUGGUGGAUUUUUACAUGUGGUUUGAAUAUUAGUUUCUCUUGUAUUUAUCAUCAACAUGUGUAGUUUUGCUUAUUUAAAUCUGUUCUUAAUAUUUUCGAUUGUCUGGCAAACAAUUAACUGAUUUGUUAAUCUAAUUGAGACUUAACAAAGAGAUUUUAGAUUGGACUAAGAUUUGAAUAGUGUAUGUUCAUGUCACUUAGGUGAUUUGAUUCGCGAUUUGAGUAAACAUACACUAAUUGCCAUACAUAGCUAAAUUAGAACGCUAGCUUAAUGAACCUUAUUUAAUUGAUUCCUAUAGACAUAUAGUGAACUAAUUAAGUUAGGUAUUUGUACAAGCAACUCGAUGGAGACUUGUCCAUAGCUUUGCAUUAUAGGUUAGUAAAACCACCCAAAAAAGAUAAAUAAUAAGAAAAGCUGGUAUCAGAUGAAAUGUUGAAUGAACCCAUAAUCCUAGGUCUUUAAUAUACUACUUUUGUCAACUUAUUUAGUUUAUUAGUUUAUUUAGUGUUGAUUUUUAAUUGUUCUUAAUUAGUUUUUCUUCGAUUUUCGGAUUGCUUAAAUAAGAUUAAUUUAUUUUAUAAUUUUAGUACUUAGUGAAACUUUAGAAACAAAUCCUCAUGGGAACGAUACUCUACUUCAUCACUAUAUUACUUGUUAGAUACAUGUGCAAAAUCGACAACAACGACAUGGAAGAAAUAUGUGACACGACAUGGAGGGUUUAUGUGACACACCAUGGAUGGAAUAUGUGACACCGCUUAAAUUUAAAUGGAAAAAAAUUGCAAACAAAUAAGGAAACCGUUCGAAAUUCCACGACAUGCAUAUUAGUGGUUGAGGUGUUUAAAAUGCCAUCACAUUUUAUUUUCAUCAUUUGCAAAUGAUAGUGUCAAGUAAGAGUUUUUGAUUCAUUCUUCAUUCCUAAAGGGACCAGAGUGUUCGACUUCGUUCUGAGCAAAGUCAACGAUAUCACAGCAACAAUGUCGGUUAUGCGUGAAGAGAUCAGUUAAUCAUCAAUUAAAAUUUUCUUUUGUUUUGUGUUUUUUUGCUAGGUUGCUCUAGGAAAUGUUUGGGUUUAUGAUUAUGCUAUGAUAUAUUUUUCCUGUUUUCUUCGUGUUUUUAAGGUUUUUGCCUAAAUUAUGAAGAAAACUACAGCAUUUUUACUUACAUGGUUUAAGGUGGUACUAACAUUUUAGUGGGUCUGCAUAACGUGUAACAAGAAUAAAUUUCUUCGAUCUGGUGUGUAGUGGGUUAACUGCUUUUGUGUCUAGCUUAGCAUUACUUGCAUGGCAUGUAGUAUGUAAAUUGCAUAGUAGGCAUAUUCCCUAGUGUGCAACAAUAUGGGUAUUUUAUUAAUGGCGUGUAACAAAUAAGUAAUUAUACUUGGCGUGUAAGAACAAAAAAAUUGCAUGUUACAACAUUUUACUUGGUCUGAAUAGUGUGUAACAGCAAUAAAUUUCUUCAAUCUAACAUGUAGUGGGUUAAAUGUUUUUGGGGUUUAGGGUAGCAUUACAUGUAUGGCGUGUAGUAUGUAAAUAGCAUAGUCAGCAUGGCAUGGCAUGUAACAACAUAAGUAUUUUGUUCAUGGUGUGUAACAAAUCAAUAAUUAUAGUUGGCGUGUAAUAACAUAUAGGCAUGGUGUGUAACAACAUUUUACUUGGCUUGUUCAGUGUGUAACAACAAUAAAUUUCUUUUAUCUGGCAUGUUGCACAUUAUGGGUUAACUGUUUUUGGGGUCUAUCUUACAUGUGCAUGGGUGCUAUGUUUUGCAAAUGGAGUUCAGAGAGUAUGAUAACCUUGACACUUUGCUUGUUGUGCCGAGGGAGAAAUGGGCCUUCAAGGUCUCCAUUAACGCCCAUUGUAAGUGGUCAGAACUGCAUUACAUAAACAAGAUGCUCCAAGAGAAAGGGAGUACGAAGCAGUCAAGCGUACGUGCUUCGGUCUGCUGCUGGAUAUCUAUCCACAAGGCUACUUUUGCAUUAGUCUGAUACAGAACAUCAUGGUUUGUUGAAUCAUUGAAACCGAGUCAAUAGACCAUGAGUUAUAGUUAUGGUUUGCCAUUGGCAAGAGCAUGGUGCGUUUAUCAAAGCAGCAGUUCUGCCUUAUAACCAGACUGAAGUUUAGCUCACUGCCUAAUAUAUUCAUACAACCAUACGAGGUCACUCCCGAUGAAAUUCAUGCAAAAUACUAGAAUGGGUAGUAGAAUGUUAAGUUGUAGGAGUUGUUUGAUAUGUUCUGAGGAGGCAAGUUUCAACAACCAGGAGAUACAACCAAAAUGGCACUCGUCUUGAUCGUGAAUAAUAUUUUAUUUAGUCAAGACUAUCAAAGAUGGGGUGACACCUUAGCUUUUGGCAUUGGUAGAGGACAUGGACAUUUGGAAUGUUUUCCCCUAGGGUUUAGAGGCUAACUGAGGACUACCUAUUGAAGGGGUUCGAAGUUCCUACCACAAACUUGCAGAAGGAUAAUCGUUUAUGCUACAACCUUUAUGGAUUUGCUAGGACAUACAGGUACUGUCAUGUAGCAUUUUCUAGUUUCCUUUUGAUAUAAAAAUUUAUGGUGGCAGUCGUUUAUCAUUUACGAUAUGAUAAUGGUUGUAAUUAACUUGCAGUUCUGGGCAAUGGAGGCGAUUCCUACUUUAUGAAAAUCAAUUACCCCCUCCAUUCGAAAAGACGUCUUCUACCCAUGCAUGUGUAGAUGGUAAUGCAAUCAGAAGUCGAAGGACUUCUACAAGGCAAUUGAGAAGUUGGAGUCAUCUCAAUAGGUUAGGAAACAACUACUAAUUUGUCCGGUGAAUCUCUAAACUAUUAAGGGUUAUAAUGCAAUGCAUGUAUUUUGCAAUUGCGGGCACAAUGAACCUCGGAGCCCACACUAGAGGAGGCCACACAGGAAUAUCUGUUGGACAUCGAUGCCCCUCUAUUUGAGGGGCUCUAAUAUGUACCAAUAGGGCAGAUGGAGGAUCGAGCAAAAUGAGGUAUUGAUGCGAGAAUAAGGAAGAAAAACUUGAAUGUGAAAAAAGUCGCUGGUCUAGUUAAGCGGAGGUGCACUAUUGCUUCUGGAAAUGAGGAGCACUCAUGUGAGAUCUCGACCUCUAUAGACUCAUAAUUAGAAGUAGACGUAAUAAUACAGACUAAGGGUAAUUUCGUCAUUUCCUCUAACAAGCUCCUAGAAGAAGGUUUUCUAAUAUUUUAAGCUCUAAGUGGGCAUAAGGACUGAAUGAAUGAUGUAUAAUGAUGAAAACAUGAAGAAAACUAGAAGCGAUAAUAAUUUUCAUAAUAGGGGCAAAAUGGUCAUUUUGCACCCCGAGUCAAAGAUUUUAAGUUUUGUGAACUCGAGUACUUUUAGACUAUUAUGGACCUUGUCUCAGUAUCAAAAGAGUAAAAAAAUUGCACAAAGGAUUGGAGGAGAACAAGUUAACUUGCUAAGGGCAUUUUCGUAAUUUAAGUGGAGUUGGAUAAGCUUGAGCUGUAAAAUCAUCUUCCAACAGCUUCUUAUCAUAUUUCCAGCAGCUUUUUCUUCUUCUUCUUCCUCUUAUCUCACGUUGCUUUCAUCCUCUAUGGAACCUUGAUAUGAAACCACCAUAACCUCUCUCAAAAUAGCUCCAAUUUUCAAGCUUUUGUGCACUUUUGCAUAGAACCCUUGUGCUCUUUCACUCUCUCACUUUAAAACCCUUGAAAAAUCUUACUUCCAUACUUUCUCUCACUAACUAGGUGUUUAGAAAGAGAAAAAGGGAGCUUCAUAAUAGCUUGGAAAAUUAUUGGAAAGAAUUUCAAAUUUACAAGCUAUCAAGGUGAGUAGUAAAUUAGAGUUGAAUUUUAAGUCUUGAGAAUGGCUACAGAUUAGACUUAUGAAUGUUUUGUAGUUGAGGUCGUUCAUUCAUUUUAGAGUGAUUAGGAUAGUGAAAAUAGAUAGCCACUUAGAUGGCAAUUGGAAGCUAGUUAAGAGAUAGCUUUUAGAAUUUAUAAGUAUUGGAAUUGACUUAAUUGUGAUGCUAAUGUGAUGAUAGGUUCCAACAAAGCCCCAUCUCCCCAUUUGGACCAUUAGGGAAGUUAGAGUCGACUAAAGAUUCAACAUAAUACCGGUGAGUGAACUUGCAUUAAAAAGGUUUUGGGAUAUGUAUACAAGUAUGUUUGACUGAAUCCCUAAAGCGUUUUAAUUAUUUUGUCUUCAAAACUGGCACGGGAACAAGCCCUUAUGAAAUGUUUUUAUGAUAUGAAAUGGAUUGUGUGAUGAAUCCGUAUGUGUCUGUGUAAUGUUGAUAUAUAUAUACUAUGUCAUAAAUGGUACCAUUGUGUGACAAAUGAAACCGCGCAUGUGCGGGGUGAGUGUGCACCUGCAGGUGAUGACGGUGGUGAGGGAGAUGGAUAGUGAUAGUGCCCGUGUGCACGAUGUGGGGGGAUGCACAUGAUGGCACUAACUGUGCACGAUGUGGGGGGAUGCAUACGAUGACUCUGACUAUGUGCACGAUGUGGGGGGAUGCACAUGAGUUGGGUGAAACGAUGGUGGUAUUGGUGUUUAUCUAUGUAUAUAUGUAUAUAUAUGUUUAUGAAAUAAAAGCUCAUGAAUAUGGUAUAUGGUUGUAAUGCAUGUGAAAAUUUGACAUGUUGAACUUUGGAAAUUUUAAGUGUUUCACGUUGAUUUUGUCAUUUCAGCAGGAUGGCCUUCUUCUUGAGAGAAUGGAAACUUUUCUUUGGUGCCUUGUUUCUCGUUGCAGCGAGAAUGAUUCUCGCUAUAGCGAGAAACUCUCGGGUUUGAGAGGUUUGUUUGACCUGGUUCUCAUUGUAGAGAGAAUGCAUUCUCGCUACUGUAAGAAAUUUGUUGGAGCUUCUCACUGUAGCGAGAUUCAUUCUCGCUACAGCGAGAAACUUUCUGUUUUGGUCGCUUGAAUCUCGCUGCAAAGAGAAAGAAUCUCGCUGCAGUGAGAAACUUUCUGUCCAAUAUGCUAUCUUGCUGGUUUUUGUCAUAUUUUUUCAUUUCAUUUACAUCAUAGUUGUUCAUGGACUCCCAACAUUUAGAGGUUUAUCUAAUUAAGUUUGAAAUGAGGAAUUUUAGAGAGAAACCCUCGGCCAGUGGAGAAACCCUCAUCCAGCUAAUAACUUGAGCCAAAAAUUUUGCUGCAGCUAGAAUGCCUUUCCACUGCAGCGAGGACCCGUUAUUUCAUUUGACUUGCUUGUAUAUCACUGAAGCUUUCAUUCUUCGAAUUUUUGUUAUGUAUGGAUUCAUCAUUAUCAAGUGAUUAACCAUUUAAGGGUUUAAUGAGGGGUUUUAAUAAGAACCAAACUAAAUUGCAUUGUUUUGAAAACAAAUGCAUCAUGAUUUCUUUAAAGUUUCCUUCUCGUUUGCUUGUUCCCUUAUAAUGUUCACUCUCUGAGUUUGUACUCACCGUUUUCAACUUCAUGUUUUCAGAUUAGGAGGCAGUAGGUAACUAGGUCGAGGAGUGUUCGUAGAUUCGACUCUUGGUAGGCGUGCCGGCAUUUAGUAGCUGUACUUUCACCGAAGUCUCUUCGCUGGAAGUCGAGUACUCUUUUGUUGUGUAUAGACAAAACCAAUGUAAAUUAUUAAAAUAUAUGUUUUAAACAAUAUAUGUAUAUUUUGAUUAGUAUGCCACUACGAGUUGGCAAUGGUUAGCGUUAUUUUGCUUCGAAGUUAUGAAAUGUGACUUAGCAACUUUUGAUGGAAUGACGAACAGGUCAUAUUAAUAGGCUUGCUUGGGCUUAGUGGACUACGUCCAUUGCACCCAUGCACCGGUCAUGGCUCAAAAUUUGGGUCAUGACAACUUAGACCCUGAGUUGAUGAAGGAAGGGGAUGACCAUGGCAAUGUGAGUGAAUGACAUUCUUCCCACACCGAUGAGUAGACCCAUACACAUUGACCUCCUCAAUGAUCGAUAGGACGUUUUCAGACGCAUAGUUGCUUUGAUCUGCUGGUAAAGACGGUUUUUGUGGCAUACGAUUAAAAAUUCCAUAUUUGAUUAUUGAAUAACACAGUAAUAUUUGUUAUUGUAGUUGAGCAAGGUGAGGAAAGACAAUGACGGUGUAGUCACAGUCUGUCAGUUGCGACAGGUUGUGAGGAUGCAUAGUGAGACAUGUUGGAGAUGAAGGGUUCUAUUUAGUCAUUGAAGUACGUAAUGCAGACAUUUGAGGACCAUAUUGUUGGUCAGAUUCUUGACAACAUUAAAUUACAAGUCUAUUCUUCUAACUUUGUUCAUAUAUUGAUGGUUUACGUUUAGCAGGCUUAGGCCUAUUGUUUAUUUUGGGUUUAGGGUUUAACGUAUGCUAUGAGUUAAUGGAUUUUUUCAUUUGUCUCUUUCUCUAGGGUGGUGUUUCCUCUCACCAUGAUGGUUCACAGCACGAUUAUGCUAAUGAUGGGCAAGAUGAUGAACUUGGUGUUGGGGUUCGAGACAUUGACCAUGACGUGGUGGGUGCUGAAGUUGACAAUGUACCUCACGUCGAUGAGGUUGUCAAUGAAGCUAUGGAAGGGGAUGGGAAAUUUCAAACAGUUGAUGCUAAAGGAGAACAUGUACCUCAUGCUUAUGCAGUUGUUGAUGAAGUUGUGGGAGGUUAUGUGAACCUUUAAAUAGUUGAUGCUGAAGGAGACCAUGUACCUUAUGCCAAUGCGAUUACUGAUGAAGCCGUAGAAAUGGAUGGGAACCUUCAAUCAGUUGAUGUUGAAAUAGACCAUGUACCUCAAAGCACUCCUGAAGGCAACAUGUCACGGUCAUCGUCACUAGAUUUCUCUUAUGUCCAGUAUUGUGAAUCAUUAAUUUCAAACCCAUCUGAAUGGGCACUGGGACACAAUGGCCAACAAACACAUCGCAAGCCCGUACGUUGACCCGUUGGUGAACCACUAGGAUGUCAAGAACUCGAUGGUGGAAGCAUACAAAGCAUUCAAGAAAGACAAGCAUGCAAGGUAAGCUCAGAAAUAACAUUGCAAAUACUAUUUAUUUUGAAAUUUUAAUUCACCCAACCGUUUGAAUCUGGUAUGUUGCAUGUGCAAGCGUAACGUCGGGAUCUUAAGGGAUCAAGGGCCUAAGUUUUUCAUGUCAUUAGAGGGCCUUGAAGAGAACAUGACAAGUGAAUAAAUUGACGCAUGCCUCAGUGUACUGUGCAAGUGACUUACAUGGUAGAAGUUCAAGUUGUACAACACCUUGUGUAUGCAUGGUUGAUACGAUAUUCGUCGUAAGUUUGUUUGAGCAGUUUUCAAUUUUGAAACUAUGUGUGUGUUUGGGACUACAUGACGUGUAAGUUGAUGUAAAUAUAUUUCACAAGACACCAUUUGUAUGCUAUACACCGUAUAUCCAACUGACCAUAAAUGGUCCAGUAUGAAAUUUCCAUUUGAGUUGCUUAUGUACGUGCAGGGUGACAAGCUAACAUAUGGGAAAAAAAUGGGAAAAUGUCAAUUUCAUCCUCGCUCCUUGUGAUGUGGGUGGGCACUGAGUUGUUGCGAAGAUUGACUUGAUGAAGUGGAGGAUCAAGGUAGUGGACUCCGUAAGAACUUCUGUCGUGAAGGAAACCAAAUUGCGUGUGACUCAAAUGACAUCCCUUACUACUAUGAUGCCUAUACUCUGCCACCAAUCUAGUUAUUUCAAGAAAAGAUGCCGCAAGAAAUAAGAUUUGUCGUUGAUUCUAUUUGAAAUUCAUUUGCCAAAAUCAUUAGUGCAUCGGCAAAAUGAUAGUGUAAGUUGCGGUAUGUUUACAGUAAGGUACAUUGAUGUUAUUUUGCAAUUGGGACCGAUCAGAGUUAGGCAAACAAUGAUUGCAAAUAUGUAGUUGAUAUACACUUAUGAAAUUUUUAGCAAAAGUUGUGAUAGCGAACCCCUCCCUGCACGAUGAACAUAUGGGAAGUUGUAUGUGCAUUUUUUGUACAUAUAUUAACUUUAAUAUACGUACAUUUAAUGCAUUAAUUUUUCAUUUCAAACAUAGUGCCUAUAAUGAUCGCAAGAUGAAAAUUAAUUGGUUGUUUUACCUUCAAGAAGUCAUUUGUUACUAUUGGUGUGUAACAAUAUAAGACUGUAAUGAAAUGGAGUGUCACAACAAGAUGUAAAUGACAUCUAACAAAGCAUGGCAUGCAACAAUAUAAUAUUUCAACAAUGCUGUGUUACAAGAUGUAAAUGACAUCCAAGAAGCCAGGCGUGUAACAAUAUAAGACUUUUGAAAUGGUGUGUCACAAUAAGAUGUAAACAACAUCUAACAAGCUUGGUGUGUAACAAUAUAAGACUUUUGAAAUGGUGUGUUACAAUAAGAUGUAAACGAUAUCUAAUAAGCCUAGCAUGUAACAAUAUAAGAUUGCAAUGAAAUGGUGUGUCACAACAAGAUGUAAACGACAUCUAACUAGCGUGGCGUGUAACAAUAUAAUACUUCAACAAAAUGCCAUGUCACAAGAUGUAAACGACAUCUAAGAAGCCUAGCAUGUAACAAUAAGAUGUAAAUGACAUUUCACAAGCAUGGCAUGUAACAAUAUAAUGCUGAAUGAAAUGGUGUGUCACAAGAUGUAAACGAUAUCUAAUAAGCCUAGCGUGUAACAAUAUAAGACUUUGAACUGGCGUGUCACACUGUAUGAGUAAAAUGAAAUGGUGUGUAAGAAGAUGUAACACCGUAUGAGUAAAAUGAAAUGGCAUGUAAGAACAUGUAAAUGACAUAUAACAAGCCAUGUACGUGUGAUCACAUUACAAUGAAAUCUAGAAAAUAUGAGAAGCAAUUGAGAAACAAAUAUUUUCAUUUCAUACCUCCAUACUUCUGACCAGAUACAAGAACAACAUUUUCUCUAGAUUUACCAUUACAAACUAGAAUAACAAGCUAGAAUAACAAGAUGUUGAAAUAUCAACUUAGUCCAUUAUUAGAUAACAAACACAAAACCAACACAAAAUAUCAAUGUAAGAAACUUUAAAAGGAAAUUAUGAGAAAGAUACUAGACAUGGCUCACACAGUUAGUUAGACCGACUCAUUGUCUUCAUCUACAAGACACCCUACGUUCUCAAACAUUGUUUUUUGUAUUGGAUAGGUGUUGAAUGUGUAACUGGUUUAUCUACAAGUUAAACAUGCUUUCAGUCAUCGUCUUCGUGGAGGUACCAAUGGACCUGAAGAUGGUGCUAGAUUUAUGGAUGGAACUGCAAAUGAGGAUGGGCAAUUUUAUCUAUUAUGCCCAUACCUCUAGCAUUGUGAACGUCUUCGUGAUCAACUACCUUUACCAGUCAAUGGAAUCCUUCUCCUCUUAGGUCUUCCCGCUUGACAUUGCCAAGGUGGUGGCAAAACGACGAUUUCUUUUAAAUGAGGGGGAAUGUCCUAAUCACUAAGAUGCCUAAUUGGUGAAUGGACCCAGCAUAACCCUUUGCUAAAAAGGUUAUCUUGUAGUAGUCUACGCAAAAUUCAAUGACUUCAUGUUUGCACUUACUAAAAAAUCCAAUGAACUCAAUGUUGAAGCACAAUGUAAAAGUUACGUUCAUUACUAAUCAAAUAACAAAUAAAGAUAUUCGUACUUUAUUGCCACAAUGGCAUGGCUACAUGGUAGUAGAUCUAUCUAGAACACCCAACAUGAACACGUUUUCAUAGACAAGUUUACAAGUCCAUCCAUUUUUUCGUCUUUAACUUUGGAAUCCACUUGAUUGAUUAGUUUAACUACAAAGUGAUGUGCAUCAUUGAAACAUUUGCUCAAUUGCUUGGUAGCCCAAGGGCUGAGGGGCAUGGUCACCUUGACAGCCUCCUUGUACCGAUCAUGGAACCAAUGCUAGAAUAUGUCUAUGAUGAACUUGAUCAGAACAAUGAUUGGCAUUUGUCUUGCAUGCUUCAAGCAAGAGUUAACGCAUUUUGCAAUGUUGGAUGUCAUGAGUUGGUAUUGCCUUGCCAGUGACCAUGCACAUCCCUAUCUCUCAAGGCUUAUUCUCAUAAGGUAAGCGUGGGCUCUUACGUGAACCUGCUUAAGUUGGUUCAUAUGUCUAUUGAAAUUGAAAACCUUAUAACAGUCUCGAGCAAGGGUGAAAUCACUAAAGCGUCAUCGUGUUUGAACUUGUCUUUAAAGUUUUUCUUAAAGUGGUAACUACAUAAAUAGUGGUGCAUUUCUGUGUAUGCUUUACGAAUUGCUUUUUUAAUCCUGAUAUGCUGAUUAGAAAUGAACAUAGUGUUUUUAGGACAACCAACUGUAUCAAGUAGGUUGCUAAGAAACCACAUCCACGAGUUUUCGUCCUCAACUCGAUCUAUGCCAAAUGCAACUAGACAUACGCACUCGUUCGCAUCUUUGCAUACAACGACAAACAAAACACCCUUGAACCUACGUUUCAUAUGUGUCACAUCAAUUGCAACUACAGGAUGCAUUACGCCCUUAAACCCCUCGAUACAAGCACCAUAUGAUCUAAACCAAUAUUUGAAUCAUUGUGCCUCAUCAAUAGCCACUGCAGUGAUUGUACUGAGAUUUUUUUGUUCCAGCAUAUAAAACUACGAGGGUAGUAGUUAAAAUGACUCCUCCGGGGGAUCAAAGAAACCUUUUUGCAUAUUCCUUUGCUUGCUAGGCCUUACCAUACAAGCAUUCCAAUACCCACCAAACCCUCAUCUCACCAAUUACGUCCUUAGGUCUCAAUGUUACUUCAUUAGCUUAAAGCUUGUGUGACAUAAGUUCAUUAAUUAUCUUCACACUCGCAGUUUAGAAUCGCCCUUGCAAACCAUCGACAGUCCAUGUGUGCACUUUAUGGAAUGUUCGAACUUGCCAAUAUUCUCCUUCAAGUAACCUCAUUGCACGCACACCAAACUUACAUGCGUUGCCCAUACAAGCAACCGUAAAACGAGCUUGACUUAACCUUUUUACUCUUAUCUCUAGAUGCUCUUUUAAUGCUAAUAUGUUCAAAACUCAUUUCAACUUGGUCUUAGAGGAAAACAUUCUUCUUGUGUAUAAUCAGUCUUCGGCAAAUAUUGAUUCUUUAGUGGUAAUGGUUUAGAUUGAGAACCUUUCUACACCUAAAAUAAGCCACGUCCUAGAUAUCCUUGCAUUUUCCCUUUCCUGAUAACUAUCAUCGGGCAACAUCUUAUGUGAACAAAUCCCGUUGUCACUAGAAAUGGUUUUAUUGUAUAUGGGGUCAUCGCAUUAAACAUCUCCUACAUCAACACCUCCAACAUGUUUUGUUUUGCCUUCAACAUUAUUGCAAUUUGGAAUGUAACUAUCUUAAAGCUAGUGAUCAUCUAAAUUGUCAUCAUGCCAGUCAUCAGGCUUGUCAUUUGAAUUGUCAUUAAAUCUAUCUUUAGCAGCACAAAACAAAUCCUCAUUAGCCUGAUUAAAUGCAGUAUUAUCCUUAAGCAUCGCAGUGUCAUCCUCAAGUAUUGCGGUUUUAUUUGAAAAUGGCAUUACACCCUUUACAGUUUCACCCGAUGGUUGCAUUUGUUGGACAGAAGCAAGUAAUUGGUUUGAUACACAUGCCGAUCGGAAUUGUUCAACCAACUAUUUUGUGAAUGUCGUAUGUCUAAUUGGCUGCACAAACUCAUGUGCAUACGUCGAUUGCCAUUGUUGUGGGUUAGGAACCAAAUGCUGUGGUAUAUGUGAAGCACUAUAAAUCUCAUUUUGAUUAAGGUAAUUACCAUGUUGGACAACUUCUUCAUGUGGCAUAACAUUUGUGUGGCAUUUCUUAAUGGUGACGUACACUGCCGAAAGAUUCGUCUGCUCUAGCAAAAUUAAUGCAACAUUCUCCUCAUCCUUGAUAAUUGGGCGUGAUAGCUCUCCAAGUGUACUGAUUAAUGCAUGUAACUCAAUCUCCUAAAUCUGUGAGUUUACCCCAACAACAUCUUCAACCAACUUUAUCAAGCCCACAAAUGAUAAAUCAUUCCUAACUCCCCACAUUCGUGACUCACCACCCUUAUAAAUGCCAUCGACCCACUGACCAUCGUGUCUUAUCACAAAUCACACAAUUGGAAUGCCACUGAAAUUUGAAAAAAAAAAUGUUAGUCAAUUUACACAUUACAUGCCAUGUUCUAAAAUUUUGCUACAUGCCUUGUUGAAAACAUGUUUAUUACACGUUAUGUUGAAAAAGUUUUGUUAUAAACCAUGUUUUAAAAAAAAGGUUACAUGCCAUAUACUAAAACAUGUUAUUUCAAUAUAUUUUUUACAAGCCAUAUGCAUUAGAGAUGUUACUUGCAUGGCGUGCAACAUUUCUGGCAAAUGUUCUAAUGAUUUUGCUACACGCCAUGUUUACUACACCUUAUGUAUAGACAAAUUUUACUACUAGCCAUGUAAUAAAACAUGUUAUUUCAAUAUAUUUUUUACAAGCCAUAUGUAUUAAAGAUGUUACAUGUAUGGCAUACAACAACUCUGGCAAUGUUCUAAUGAUUUUGCUACACACCAUGUUUACUACACCUUAUGUACAAACAAAUUUUACUACCAACCAUGUAAUAAGACAUGUUAUUUGAAUACAUUUUUUACAUGCCAUGUGCAUUAGAAAUGUUACAUGCAUGUCGUGUAGCAACUUUAGGCAAUGUUCUAAUUUACACACAAAGUUUCAGAAAUUAAUGGGUUGUAGCAAUAAACCUAAUAGCAUAACUUGAUGUCAUCUCUUCUCUAGGAUCUAUAUAUUGAUGACGAUAUGGCGACAUGCCGAGAGAUAGACCAAAGCACGAUGAUGAUUGUUCUUAACAGAUAGUUGGCUGGCAAGAGAGAGCUAACAUAGCGAAGAGAGCUGAGAAAGUUGAGCAUUUAAUUUUUCUCUAUGGUGGGAGGGAGAUAUCAAAAGAUUAAUUUGCCAAAAAUGUAUUCAAGGGCAUUUUUGUCUACUCAUGCCAAAAUUAGGUAAAAGUAGUUAACUUCAUAUGGUAGGCUAUUUCUGAAAUCACCUUAUGAAAAGGGUUAUUUCUUACAAUUUUUUCUAAUAAUAAUUCCUAACCUAUUCCAUUUUAUAAAUUAAAUUACAUAAUAACUAUUCUAUUUUGUUCUUUUUUUUAUUUUAUUCUCACAAAAUAACUAUUCUAUUAUAUUUUGGAACCAGACAUGCCAUUACUUCCUUAUAAUCCAAAAUUCAUAAUAAAAUGUGUUUAAUUGGAGAGCCAUAAGGGCACUUCAGAAAGGUGAAGCCCAAGAUGCUGGAAUUAAUUUUAAGAGUUUUGUUUAUGACCCUUGUUUUGAUUUUUUGAUUUGAUUAAACAAUGUUAGCAAGAUUAAUGAAAACCUUAGAGAUCAGAUAAAAUUUAGAAAUUGAAACAAAACCAGAUGACAAACAUUCUGGAGCCAAAAAACUGGCCAAUAAGAUAGAAAAAAUGUUGAAGAUAUUGCUUGCAUGUACCCAAAUGGGCAAAAAGCCAAGUGGCAAACCACGAAAAGCAUGCACAUUAGUAUGUGUCUUUGACAAUGUUGAAGAACACUACAUGGGACUUUGCAUGCUUAUUUAUCAGUUAUGUUUAACACUUGUAAAUCUCUCCUUUAACAAGUGUUUACUAUGUGUUUAUUUAUGCCUUGUAUAUAUAUUGUUAAUGGUAAACGAAAAUCAUUGUGGCCUUUUCUAUUUGUUCAUCUUUGUUUAGAGAUAUAAAAUAGAGGCUACAUCACAACAACCAUAUACUCUCUUUCUCCCAAAAUUACAACAUGGUAUCAAAGCCUAAUUUGAGUUCUUAAGGGACCAAAACUUUGAAUAUCACCACAAAUCUUCCAAACAACAAGCCACCCUUUGAUCAUGGUAAAUAGUAGUAUCUUCUUUCAUCAAACAACAAUAUUAAAAAAGUUUAAGGUCUUGAAGAUGAAGGACAAUGAAACUUUGAAGGAUUGCAAAGAUGAGUUAAUGCAAAUAACAAAUCAGGUGAGAUUGUUGGGUGAGAAUAUUCUAGAAAAAAGUUUUAGGGAGAAGGUCUUUGGAAGUGCCAUAAGUGCAAAAUUCAAAGCCAAAGUCAAGUGUGAAACAACACCAAGAAAGGGACUUGAUGAGUCAUGGGACAAAGAAAAGAGAGACCAUCACCAUAACAAGUCUUAGUCCAAGAGUUUACCAAUGGGGACUUCUUGCAUAGCUAAUAUUCAAACCCCUUCAUGCAUUAGUUUUUGAAGUAUAACUCACUGAUAUAAUGGCCAAGUCAUUGAGCAAGUCAAAAUCUAAAUGUUAUAAGGAUAGAUUGAAGGUCCUCAAUGCAAACAUUAAGGGUGUCACGACCCGGAACUUCCAUCGAGCCUGUGACAACCACCGCGAUGUCCAGAUAGACAUUCAUUACUCGAAACGCCAAUCGAAACCUCACAAGGCUUAACAUCAGUUUUCUUGCUUCCCCUAUGAGUAUUAGUUACUAAAAUCAUGUUUUAAAGUGAUAUGAACCAAUUUCAAUUCAAAAAUAGUCAAAGAGAAGUUUCAACUACACAGGGGUAUUUUGGUCAUUUUUUCUAAAAAUUUCGAAACCAGCUAAAAUGUAGUAUAUGAGAGAAGUUUACACAUUUCAUAACAUAUUGGUCAUUUUUGAGGUACCCAAGUAAGCAAACAUGGAUUCUUAUGUAAGAAUGGCAUAAUAAACAUAUUGUAGAGCCGGGUUUGAUAGCACUACCCCCCUUAAAAUAAAAUUUUGACCUCAAAAUUUCAUUUACUGAACUCAGAGAAAAAGUGGGGGUAUUGUUUUCUCAUCUAAUGCUCGACUUCUUAUGUCCUCCCCUUUAUAGGGAAUUUCGUUUUGUUCAUUCUCAUCCAUAACCAAGAUUCAAUAGAAUAAUCUUCAUAAUUCAUACAAAUUCUCAUCAUGCCUGUGCAUAGUUCCACAUCAUUUACAUACUUAUACUCUCUUCUUAUCAUUUCCAAUUUUAUGCUUAAGUUUCCUUGUACUAUAUAUCAUUGUAUCACAAUGUCGUCUCCAUUGAAUUAUAAUCUAUUAUGCGUGUAUACUUUAUAAUCCCAUUGAUGCCUCAAAGAUUUGUCUUAACUUGAUCAUUGCAUCUCAUGCAAUACCACAAUUCCUAAGAGUCAUCCUUUUCUUCGAUUAUCUUUCAUGCCUCUACAUUACCUUGUAUCCUUCUUGCAUUUUGAUAUUGAUUUGUCACUUAAAACUCAGACUCAUUUGAAUCAUGUAUGCCUCAAGCAUUUUCGAAUUCCAAUUUCCAUAAUAUAUUAGGAAAGUUUCAUUAUCCGACUUCAUUAUCAAGGUCGACUUCUAUCAUCCUUUGUUCCACUCUUUCAUACGAAUAUAACAUCAUUCUUCCUUAACCAAUUUACAAAUUGUACUUGAAAUUACAAGACUUGAAACUAGAAUAUACUCAAGUACUUUUUAAUAUUAAUACUAAUAUCACUCUCAGCUUACAGCUUCCUUUUUUAUAACCACAUAACUUAGUGCUUGCUUUCACGAGAUCCAUGGCAGAACUUCCCUUGAGUAUUUCCUUGGGGAUAUCUAUCUUAAACUUAUGUCUCACAGCAGGUGAUCACUUAACUCAUGACUUAGCUGUUUGGCUCCUUAGCAAGUUUCAAAAUCACACAUCUUAUACUCAUCUCGUAUAAUUUAUAAUUCUUUCUCAAAGAUGUUUAAACAUUCUUGAAACACUUAAUCACUUAUUUGCUCUUUCAUACUCCAAGUAUAUCAUUUCCAUAAAGGCAUGCACUUGCUCACCAAAAUAUUUAAACGCAUGCUUCAACUUAUCUCCAAGGGUUUCUAACAUACCACGUAGUUUACUUGUGUUGUCACUAAUCCUUUCCUUUCAAUAAAGUCAAGACAAGAUUUGUAAAUUCUCGUAACAAUAUUCUAUAUAAACUCAUUUUCUAUAUCAUUCUUGAAAUCUUCAUUCACACUUUUAUCACUUGGUAUUGACAUCUCUUAUCAAUAUCUCAUACAUUCAUCUAACCUUUCCCUCACUUUGUUUUUAAACUUUUACAAGGUUUACUUUAUUUCUUAAGAUUUGACUUUAGUCAACAUAUUAUUCAUCUUAACACUCCCCCAAUGCACUUAAGACUCCCAAUAAUGAAACUCGACAUCAAAACCAAUGACCAUUUUCCAACUUGUGAGUCCAAUCUUUAUACCGCUCACAGUUUGCUCAUGUUUUCUAGCCAUUAGGGGCUCUUAACCAAUUACAUAUAUAAAGUGGAUAAUUCACUUAAUUAUUACAUCUCGUCCUUGCAGUUAUAAGAUCAAGAUUUCUCGAAUUUAGGAUGCAGAAGUUCCUUCCUAGAGCAUAUCCAAAAAUCCACAUAUUUCAAGUCCCACCUUAGGACAUCUUUCCCAUAUGGUGUAAUGAAUUCACAAUAUGUACAUCAUCAUACACAUAAUUACUUAUUAUUUAUGGUAUCCCACUAUUUUCAUUAUCCAUUAAUGAUCAUCUUCCUUGGCUUAUAACUCCAAUAGUUUAUUAACUUCCAGUACAAAGACCACGAAAAUAGUUCAUCUUUCACUACACUUAUACUCACAAUCCUUAUUAAUAAAAAAAUUAUCUUUUUCAGGUUUCUUCAUUUAUCUCUAAUAGACCAUAUUUGUAUUAGAUUAUCUUCCUAUAAUGUUAUGGCAUCAUUUUAUACUUCCUCCACCCUCAAGCUUACAAUCUUUGACUUUAUCACAUUAAUCGCUCAAAAUGUUAUCUAGAGCCUCAUUGAUUUCUUCCAUAUCCUUUCGAAUUGUAACCACAAUUAAGAAUCCCAAUUUCACAUCUCCAUGAUUAAUUGUUAGUCUUACCACACUAUCUCCCAAUAUCUCAUGCAAUUACAACACACUGAACCCGCUUAUUAUAACAUAGUCCCCUAGUUCAAUGUGUUUGCUCAAGAAUCAUCUUCUCUGAUACAAUUUGUCCCAUAAACCAGAAUUUUAUUUAUUUAGCUUUGCAUUCGGAAUCAUAUAAAAAACUCUCAUACUACGAUAAGUAAUAAUUUCCAACAAACAUCAUCAAUUCAAAUGGCAUUUUAUACCUCGUCAAAAUCUAGGGUUAUCACUCCAAAAGUUCAUCAUGUUAAUCGGUAUCCAUUUCUUAGUACUGCAAAAUACAUUCAUUAUUAAUUAGGGUAAUUGCUUGAAUCAUUAAUGACUUUCCACACCAGUCUUCAAUAAUUAUUUAAGAUGAUCAACCAUGCCACUAAGAUAAAUAUCUUUCCUUAAUAGUCAUAGUGCUAGUCCACCUCUGUCCUACCAAAAAUUUUCCAUAUACAUCCAGUCAUUUAAACAGCUACUUUAUAAUACAUUCUAGUCUUACACUUUUAAAAGCCAAACUAUUAACUUCUUUUUACUGAUAACUAUUACCUCCUUUACACUACAUCUUCCUAGUGUUAAAGUAGUACAAAAUCCUACGAAAAUAUUAAGUACCAUUAAGAUCAUCAUCUUAGUCUGAACAUAUUGGAAGAUUCUACUCCAGGUCCUCUUCCUCCUGAGAUUUUCUCCUUUGUUCCUCAAUCCAAGCUUGUUGUAUUCUCCUACAUUCCUCAUAACUCACAGGUGCAGCAUUUCUUCCACAACUGGGAGGAAAAUGUCGUACAACAGAUCCCUUCCUAGGGCGGUGAUUUACAACAUUUACUUUUUCUUUAUUCUUUUCUUAUUGUUCCCUUACAUUACUCCCACAGCCUGGAGGAAAGUGUCGAACAACGGAUACAGAUACCUUCCUAGGAUGAUAAUCCCCUUCGGCUAUCAUUAUUUUCCCCCUUUCUUCAGCGUAUUCCUUAAACUCUUUCAAAAGGGAAUUUCUCAUGCUUACAUUAAUGUCAUUACUAUAAGCACUUUCAAUGGUCUCACAAGGGUCGAAGCUUUCUUUUUCACAAACCCCCAUUCCCAAAUCCAGUGGAAUCCUAGGCAAGAUACUUCUUGGACUACUUGGUUCGGGUUGCCAUCGGCUUCUAACAGUAGAAUCUAGCGAUCUCUUGUUAAUACUAUGAGAGGCAUCGAGACUAUUGUCUCUCCUAGACAUGAUGUGUCCAACCAGCACACCUCAAAACCUAUACGCAAUCAAACAGUAGUUUCUUAAUUAUUUACGCAUCACAUGAGCAGGUAGGUUUCGAUAUGUAGAUGCAUGAAUUCAACUUAACCUAACCUAACUUAACUUGGGGCCACACUAACACUGUAAAUUUUUAAAAUAACUUUAAAACAAAAAGCUCUGUGCUCUGAUCUUUAAAACCAAAAGCUUUGAUACCAACUUAAUUAUCACGACCUGGAACUCCCAUCGAGCCUGUGACAAUCACGGCGAUGUCUCGAUAGACAUUCAUUACCCGAAAUGCUAAUUGAAACCUCACAAGGCUUAACAUCAGUUUUCUCGCUUCCCCUGUGAGUAUUAGUUACUAAAAUCAUGUUUUAAAGUGAUAUGAAUUAAUUUCAAUUCAAAAACAGUCACAGAGAAGUUUCAACAACACAGAGGUAUUUUGGUUAUUUUUCCCAAAAAUUUCGAAACUAGCUAAAAUGUAGUAUAUAAGAGAAAUUUACACAUUUCAUAACCGAAAAUAAGUUUAGAUAUCUAAAACAUUCAUUUAAAGUGAAAUUAUGACUAUUUGAAUAUAAUAAAAAUAUUCAAUAAAAUAUUCUAUUUUCUUAUAAAACAAUUUUUAUAGAGUUAUCUGUAAGAAAUUUUUGUAGCGUAAAAGCAAAAUAAAUUCAUACGUACUGUAAUACAGAUAGUCAAGGUAUGUAAUUAAAUUUACAAUGACACGUGGGCCCCCAAAUGACUAAAAGUAAUGAAGGCUGUGAACCUACAGUUUUUGAGGAUGCAAGUCCAACUGUAGCCCUCAACGAAAUGAGCUAUCUACUGACUAUCCUGAGCCUAAAAUGGGUGGAAAGGAGGGUGAUGAGAUUAUAUAAUCCCAGUGAGUAAACAAAUAUCCUCUAAAAUAUCUAAAGUUGAGUAAAUGGAGACGAUUGAAAUAAAUCAUCAUACUGUAAUCCAUCACCUUUCAACUCAUUUCAACCAAAUAGAAUCAAUUCAUUUAUAUCGAGUAAUCAACAUGGCUUAUGAAUUUCUUAAAAUUUGGCUCGUGCCAAAAUUAUUCUCAUACUCAGUUGUUAGGAAUACCUUGGCCUAGGGCUAUCCCAACCAAGUUCGCCAAGGAUGUUAAAAAGUCAUGUACGCAUAAAUCAUAUUUUUAUUUUGAAAACAUAGCCGUUCUUUGGCGUUGGCUGAGUUCACCCUCACGUGGUGGUUGGGCAUGAAGUGAACUCUAAAUUUUUACCUAAGAAGUUACCCUACGCUCUUCUUCAAUCGAGGUAAGAAUAUAAUAGGGUUUACAGUGCCCCUCUAAUAGGCUGGUCCACAGAAACCCGCCACUGCAGUGACUAAUCAAUAACCCACCAAUUCAAUAAAAGUUUAGACAGCAUGACAUGGCAAUUUUAUCAUUAUCCAGCCUAUCAAGGCAAACAACAGUUUAUGCAUUUUCAACACAAAUACCCAUCCAGCCAUUCAUGCCCACAUUAUCAUAAGCCAUUCAAUUCAAAACAUAAUUUACAAUACAGCAAGUAGUCUCCAAUUACUCCAUUUUCACGUCAUCAUUAAAUUUCAAAACAAUUUAUAAAAUCAUUUCAUUUAAACACAUUUUUCGUAAAAUUACAAAAUCGGGUAAAAACGUACUUCAGAUAAUUAAGACGAUAAUAAGGCUAUUCACAGUAAUGGGAAUCGAAUUCGGGAUACUUUGAUUCUUGAUCCUCGGAUACUACUUCUUUACUCUUGCCAGAAUGCUCACCACCUAGACAUAAUGCACAAUAAGCAAUUUGCUACAUUUGUGCUAAACCGUUGUAAAACUAAUCUAAGCUCUAUAUGAAUGCAUGAAAUGGAAUGCGAAUUGUUCGGAUCAUCGUCUAAACACGGUGUUCUACAUAAAUUCAAUUGUGUACCUAAAUAAAAUGGUAUUGGCCUAAUUCGAUCUAUCACCCGAUUAAUUGACCAAUAUGUCCAAUUUAACUCCAAAUAACUUCAUUUCUCACCCAAUACUCCAAAUCAUCAAACUCAACUUAAGUAACAUAAAAUUUAGCAAGAUCAUCUUCACAUUUCUUCUUGGGAAUUUCGACCAUGGGGGGUGCAUGAACACUAUGGUUUUUCCCACUUGAUUUUUACACCAUAAAUCAUUAAUUCCUAACCAAAUUACUUGAAAUAAAAUCAAUUCCACCAUCAACACAUCAUAGGGAAGAUUCUGCCAAUGGAGGGUGAUGGAAGAAAAUGAAUUUUUCUUGUUUGCUUUCCAUGCUACACAUCACUAACUAACUAAAAACACUAGAAUAACAUGUUUUCUAGCUAAAUCCAAGAUCAAAACCCCUCCCCCCAUGUCCGGCCAGCAAAGGUAUCUUCAUGCAAACUUGAUUCUCAACUAUGGGAAAUGAAAAAGAAUGCAUAGGAAAGGUAGAUCACAAGCUAAAAUCAAGAAAUCUUAUCUUUUGUCACUUGAUUCCUUGAAAUCUAGUGAUUUUCCCUUGAAUUUCUUAGCUAGGGUUUUGUUCUUCUUCUUUUUUUCUCUUUUUCUCUCUUUGGCCAACCAAGAUAAAUGAGUUGGGAGGGUUAUGGGCUGAUUUUUAAAGCCAAAUAUAAAUGGAUGAAAAUUUGACAUAUGUCACCAUUCCAUUGGCCCAUGUGUCAUACUUACCCAUUAAGCAAUCUCUCUCCACCAUUUAAAAUUCCUCAAUUGUCCAUAAUAAAAUGAGGUGAAAUUCAUGUGUUGGACAAGUGUUGGGUGGUGAAAAAUUCCAAUUUUGCCCCUAGGCAGAAAAAUGACUAUUUUGCCCCUUAUGCUCAAAAAAAUGUCAAAAUUAAAAAUUUUCUCCUCUCAAACUCAAAUUAUGUUCUAAAUGGUCAAUCUUGGUGAAAAACUUCUUCCAACUUUCCAAUUUUAACCUUAGGUGACAAAAUGACCAUUUUACCCUUACGUUAUGAAAAUUCUAAUUUGACUCUAAAUCGGUCUUCGAAAUCCGAAUCACCAUUUUAAGUCAUUUUAGGGUAUUAAAAUUCUCAAUUUCAUCUUAAAAUCUCUAUUUGGACUAGUUUGAGGCUUAAUUCAACUUAAUUGUACCAUUUGGCACAUUGUCGUCCUUUAACGAUUUUCGAGGUACCGAAGUAAGCAAACAUACAUUCUUAUAUAAGAAUGACAUAAUAAAUAUAUUGUAGAGCCGGGCUUGACAAUGGGAGAAUGUUGAAGCUACUGCUUGCAUGUACCAAGUGGACAAAAAGCCAAGUGGCAAACCACUGGAAAACAUGCACAUUAGUACGUGUCUUUGACAAUAUUGAAGAACAGUAUGUGGGACUUUGCAAGUUUAUAUAUCAGCUAUGUUUAACACUUGUAAAUAUGUCCUUUAACAAGUGUUUACUAUGUGGUUCCUUAUGCCUUGUAUAUACUGUUAAUGAUGAAUGAAAAUCAUUGUGGCAUUCUCUCUUUGUACAUAUUUGUUUAGAGAUAUAAAACAGAAAUUGCAUCAUAAUAGCCAUAUACUUUUUUUCUCCCAAAAUUACAACAAAAAAAAAAUUAUAUGAACAUGAAACAAGGCCCUUUACCAAGUGUGAUUUCUCACACCAAAGAGAAGCCAAUAAUGAAUCAAAUGGCUAGUAGAGGAGGUGUCACUGGUAUAAAAAAAAUUGUUGGUAAAAAAAAAGGAAGGAUCUUCAGAAAAAAAAAAAACCUAGCAGCCUUUGAGAAAAGGGUUCGGAUCUAGCAAUCGAAACCGCACAAAAAUCAUACACAAAAAGCACAUAAAAUGAUAAAAAAAAAUAGGGAAAGAGGUUGAGGGACUUUUUGAUCAAAGAGAGAGAUUUCAAGUUUUUGAAGGAAAAGGGUUGAUGUCUCGAGUUUGUGCAUUAGGAUCAAAGGAAUUACUUCCAACGGUUUCUUUGUUAGUGGCUAAGGUUCUUGUGCUUAGAGAGAAAUAGGGAGUUAGGGUUUCUGGAGAGGCGAAGAGUGCUGGAAGUGCCAUUCAAGACUGGGAUAAGGUUAGGGAAAAUAAAUGACAAGAAUAGAAGAAAAAGCAUAUCUUUUAUAGUUAGGGUAUUUGUUUAAACAAUGUCGUUUUACUACAAACUAGAAGGCUUAAAUGGUUUUGUUUCUUGCUGUAAGGGAAACCUCCUCUUCACUAUGUCAAACAGUGGGUUUUAAGCUUGGAAAGGCUGAGAAAUGGGCCAAUUUGAGCCCAUGAUAAAAAAGAAGCUUUGAAGCCCUUGGGCUAUUCUAAGCCUAAGGUAGGUAUGGACUUUGGACUUUCUAGUUUGGAUUGUAUCAUAUUUUGGGGUUUGGACCUUAUUUGGGCUAUGCUGUUUGUUGUAUGAUGUUGGGCCAUUUGUCUUAUAGUUUAGUUUGUAUUAAGCCUUUACAUUUACAUAAUAAACAUUAGUUCUUUUCGUUUAGUUAAUAUUUUUUUUAAAAUAUAUACAUGUAUGAGAAUAAUAUAUAUACAUAUGCAUAUGCAUAAAAAAAUAAAAUGGUAGCAGUUGAAAAGGUGAAGAUAUAGAAUGAAUGAUUAGGAAAAUAAAAUAUUAUAUAAGAUGAUGGAGUUUUUACCGGGACAUGAGAAGUCACAAUUUUAGGUCAAUUUUCUUAGGUGAAAUAUUUGACUAAGACUCUACCAGUAUGAUGAAAGGGUUUUAGUUGUACGUCAAAAUAUUUAUUAAUCCAACUAAUAUCUUAAAUUAGUAACUAAGAAUAUAGAAAAUUGUUUACUUAGAGUAGAGAAAUAGAAUAUUCAUGUCUAAAAGAUAAUAAUAAUAAAAUAUAGAAUAUUUAUGUUCAAAGAAACGCAAGAAGUCGUAAUUGCGGGUUAAUUUUCUUAGGUGAGAGAUUUAACUCAAGCUAUGAUGGAAGUACUUUAGUUUUUAAGACUCAAUAUUUCUUAAUCUGAAUAAUAUUUUAAAUUAGUUAAUAAAAGUUGGGGAUACUAUAGAUUUAGAAUAGAAAUAUAAAAUAUUUAUACUUAAAAAAAGAAUAUAGAAUAUUUAUGCUUUUAAAAUUAAAAUACAUAAUAAUAUAAAACAUGUUAUUUCAAUUAUACCAAAGAUGGAAUUUUAAUCUGAGUCAUGAAAAGUCCCAAUCUUGAGUUAAUUUUCUUAGGUGGAAGAUUUGAUUUAAAUUCCACCAGUAUAGUGGGUGGGUUUUAAUCUUAAGUCUCAAUAUUUUAAUUCAAAUAAAAUUUUCUUCCUAAAUAUUAAUGGAAGUGUAUUAAUAAAAUGGGUAAGUAAACCGUCUGAAGCUCCAUGGAAUCUCAGACAACAUCUAAUUCAAAUACACAAUUUGCAGAAGGAUAUAAUGAGAUGGAAAGAAACGCAUGUCUUGAAGACCACAAAUGAUGUGGCUAACAAGCUGGCCAAGGAAGGAGUUACUAGACGUUCAGAUUUAAUUUGUGUGAUGGAAAGAGAUGAAGAAAGUUAAGGAACUCAAUCAGAUUCGCUUAGAAUUUGAUUUGGUCAUAAAGAGCUGUUAGGAUUCGAGUUGCCGUAGGACUGUUGUACCUUCAAACCGAAUGAAAUUGAAUUUAAAUGGAAUACCAAAAGUGGAUCUGUUUUGAUUGAGCUUACCUUUAAAGGAAUUCAGCUUAGCUUUAAGGAAGAGUCGGAUGUUGGUGUGAACACGGGUUUUGAUAUUAUAACUGUUGCGGACAGUCACGUUCUGGAUAUUGAGACAGCAAUGGUUUGGCUAAAAUAAAAUUCGUACAAGAGGAUAGCUUUGGACAAGCUCUGAUCGGGUUUGGAUUGGACUUUUACAAAGCAGUAUGGCUUUUUGUGAGCCUCAAUUAUGUUCUUAGAUUUCGGACAUCCCAACAUCCGCAGACAAUUUACUUAGGGGUUCUUUAUUUUAUUUCUAUUUAUUUAUCUUAUAUUUUCUUAUUACUAGUAGUAAUAAGUCCAAAGUAAAUUGCUUGGACAUCUAGUAACAAAAUUAUAUAUUUAUCCAAAACAUAAAAGCAUAUUAAUGAAAUGAAAAAUAAUAAUAAUAACAAUAUUAAAUAUAUAGUAUAAAAAAUUAUAAGUAUCGAAAUUUAUUCUAAGUCACCAUCACCUUAUUUAAUUGUCAUUGCAUCUAUUUGGAUAUAUUUUGUACACAAGUUGAGGUCUUAAUGAUAGGACUUUUUGAGAGGCUUGCGACGACAAAUUCUCUCGAAAAAUUCCCUAACUGAAAGAAUACUUUCGGGUCCCAUGAAUAUAAAGGGAGGGCCUCAAGAAUAUUUUUAAUAAAAUGCCUUUACUCGUAUUAAGAUUUACAUGACAUGAAAAUGUUUUUACCCGCAAAUGAUUAUCUUGGGUUUUACUUCAUAAGCUUAGAAAGGUGAGUUUUCUCGAAUAAUUUCCUAUAUAAAAGAGUAUCUCUGUAUCCCACUAGUACGAUGGGCAGAUUUGAAAAAUAUUCUCAAUAAAAGGUUUCAUGUGACAUUUAAUUGAGAUUUAUACCAUACAUUCCAUAAUUGCAUCAUGUGCACGUCAUAGAAAUAAACCAAUUAAUGGAAUUUAGGUUGCGAAUAAAAUUAAAAGAAUAUAAUGAAUAAUAAUUAAGAAAACAUAAGAAUAAAAUUAAAAAUUAAGGUAAAAUAGGAUAACAUAUGAUUAAAUCUACCAAAAAUCAAUAUAGGAUCUGAUCGAAUAAAAUGAAUUUAAUAGGUGACGAAUCGCAUCAUAAAAAAAAUAUUGGUAGUGACUCCGACACUUUCUCGUCCCACCCAGACUUUCUCGUCGAGACUGACAGAUUCUCAAACCGACACAUAGUGACAAGAAGAAAAUAAAUUUAUUUUAUCCCAAUAUGGUAAAGCAAUUGAUUGUGCAUAUGCAACAUAAAAUUGAGACAUGCUGCUAUUAAAAUUUAUUCAAACAUAAUACUUGAGUUAUUUUCUGUCAACUAGUAUAUAUAAUGUUAGUAAAAUUUUUGUAUUGAUGAAAAUGAAAAUAUUUACUUAUUAUAAUUUUAAAUAUCUUUUAUUAUAAAUAUUAGUAAUAAAAUUUAUAUAAUUUAUACCAUAGAAUUCUGAUUAUAUUGAACGAUUUUUAUUAAAAAAUUGUUUUUUCUAAUUCUAUUAGUAUUAUAUAUUUUAGUAAUAAAUAACAUAUUUUUAUUUAAUUUUAAUUCCAAAUAUAUUUAAAAUAUUAAAAUAUUAUUUUAUUAAUGGGCAUGAUUUUGUGAGGAGUUCUUUCAUUAGAAAUCAGAUAUGGGUAGGUUUGAUUUUUUUGGUCAUAGGGGUUUUCGUAUUUUUAUUCUUUGUUUAUUUCAAUUUCCUUGUAACAAUAAAUCCAAAGUAUUUUUCUUUGACAUUCAACAAUAAAUUUGGGUAAUUUUUUAAAAAAUAUUAAUUAAAUAUUUUUAUAUUAUGAAAUGAUAAAUAAUAAUGAAUGAGCAACCCAAGCCGAGCAGAGCUUAACUUUUAACGAGAAGGCCUAAUUCGUAGAUACUUACAUGUUUUCAAUCCUUUCUUGCUACAUUAACGGUCACGUAUCCCAGUUGUAAUAUACAAGUCUCGAAAUCAUUAAGUUAUAAGCUUAAGUUUCGGUGUAAGUAGGUUUACUCUAAUUUUAUAUGGGAUUUUUUUAAUUAUAAAUUCAAAUUUAUUUAUAUGUGAUAUAAUAUUUAAAAAAGACUUGUAAAUUAUUUAAAAAAAUUCAAAUAAGUCUUUAUUCUUUCUAUUACUAAUAGUUGACUAAUUAUCAUUAAUUUAAAUGUUAUUUGUAAUUUUGUACCCAUAUGACACUGAUAUGACCUUGAUGUGAAUGAUAAAAAAUGUCACGUGGAUAUGUCAUCAAGUCACAUUAGCCAGGGACGGAGGAUAGUACUCCAAAAUUUUUAAAAUUAUUUAUUUAUCAUAUAUUUUUUAAAAAAUUUUCUUUAAAAUAUUAUUUUUUAAGCCCCUCAAAAUAAAUUUUUAUUUAUCAAUUAAUAAAAAUAAUAAAUAAUAAAUUGACCCACAAGCCUUACUUAAUUUUACCCCAAUUGUUAAGUUUCUCCACACCUCUUUCCCUUUUUCUUUUUCUCUUUCUAUUUUAUUUUGUUCUUUUAUUUUUACUUUACUCUCUUCUCUGUAACGUAACACUAAAACACACCUCAUUCCUCAAAAAAAGAUUUAUGAGCUUGUGAACUUAAACAAGGAAAGAUGAGGACCACACCAUUGUCUGAAAUUAAGAAGAAGUAAAGUUAUCCUUUAUGUUCUUUUUUCUGUUUAUAUUAUUUAACUAUUUAUAUAUUUAACUACUGUGUGAAAUCCUUUAUCUGGUAAUUAACUAUUUAUAUUUUAUGCAUUAUAGUUUUAUAUUUAGUAUUUUAAGUUUAAAUAGAAAUAAAAUAAGAAUAUUGGAUGUUGACUGCAUUAAUUUUUUUUUAUAUUUGAUUAAAGUAUGAGUAAGCUAAAAAGAAUUGACAAAUUCUUUAAAAUAAAAAGAUGGAAAUCGUCCAAAUGAUUCUCCUACACUUAAACCACCAAGCCUCAAUGCUUCAACUCAUGAACAAAAGCAAUUAAAAUUGAAACGCCUAAGCACAAUCUUGAAAAAAUUGUUGGUUAAGUUCAACAUUUUAACUUUUAAAAAUUUUUCGCCUUUAUUCCUCUUAAUCUUUAGGCCCCCAAAAAAAUGGAUUAACUUCGUCCCUGACAUCUAAAUGCCACGCCAUCAUCUAUUAUAAUAUUUUAACAUUCCACGUCAACAUCAUAUGACAUAAAAUGAUAAAUGAUAUUUUAAUUGAGUCAACCAUUAGUCAGAAGCACUUAUUUGACAAUAAAAAAAAAGUAUAAGAACUUGAUUGAAUGCAAUAAAAGAAUAAAAAUUUAUUUGAAUUUAAGGAUUUUUUUCGAUAUUAUUUCUUAUUUAUUUAUUAAUUGAACAAGUGUUUUCUCCAAAAAAUAAAAAAUAUUAAUACAGUUGAACAACAGUUAGUGAAGUAAAAAUUUGCUCUCUACGUUUGUUACCUUCAAGAUCAUGAUAAACUUGUUUAAGAUUUGGUGAUUAAAAAAGUGACACAAAUUUAAAUAUUAAGUAUCUUAAAUUUGAGUGAUCUAAUUUUGAAAAUUAAAUUUUUUAACGUUUUCUAUUAUUUCAAAUAAAAAAUGAAAGAUUAGAAUCCAAUCUUAAGUAAUGAAUUCAUAUAUUUAUCCUUAAAUCAAAUACUCAAAUGUAAAUAUUCAAAACUAAAAAUUUCACCAAAUUUUUAGGUUGUAUUUAAUUUCUAAUUGUCUUCCCUUCAAUUCAAGUUAGUGGAGAAAAAGACUUGAUUGUUUGGAUCAAGUGCUUAGGAAGCAGGGCAAUCAAGAAAUGAGGUAGCCAAGUAGAAAUUCUAGUUAGGGAGGAUCCUAGAUAAUUUGGGGGAUAGUACCAAUCUGGGGACACAUUUUUUUUAGCCAUCAAAUAUAAGGUGUUUUUAGAAAUAACCCUUCUCAUAAUUUUGACAAAUUUUAGCCAAGAGAAAAGAUUUUGGGACAAAAAUGCCCUUAAUGAAAUCUCUUCCUUCAUGUGCACUGUCAUACACACACAAAUAGGCGAAAAUAAAUCUACCAAGAAUUUGCUACAUGACAUUUUGUUAAAAACAUCCUCAUGUUGUAAGAAAUGAUUUUUCUUAUUUUCGGACAUUAACGUUAACACAAAUGUAGGUAUGUUACACAGCAGGUAUACUAAAUGAUUGUUUGAUCCAUUCUCAAAGAUAGGAAAGUGUUGAAUAAUUUCAUAGCAAAGUAAUCAAUUAUAGCAAAGAAGUUCACAACAAACGGUAAGUUAAUGAAUGUUGAAUUUUUUGUUGUGUUUUUUAGUGGGUUUAGUGAUUUGAAUGCCAUAUUGCUUGAGAAUGUGGUUAAGCGUUUUGGCGUUAAAUGGCAUUUGGUUUUGUUUGAAGUUGUUGAAAUCCCCAGAGAUAUUACAUGCCAUGGCCAUUUGGGUUGAAUGUUGUAAGCACAUGGAGAGAAAAUAGGCAUGGCGUGUAACAACUCUUGAGAUUUCUCUAAGUGCAUGAACAUGGCAUGUAGCAACCAGUGAAUUUUAGGCAUUAUGUGUAUCAUCUUAGGAUUAUAUGCAUGGCAUGUAGCAUGUUAUUAAUUUUAGGCAUAUCUUGUAACAAAAAUGGUAUUUUAUGCAUGGCGUGUAACAAAUUAUUCAUUAUACAUGGCAGUAGCAACCAAGAAUUUAUAGGCAUGGCAUGUAAGAAAAUAAAUAUUUUUGAAAAUGUCAUGGAGCUUCUCUGUGUUAACUGAUCAUUGCAUGUAGCUUACAUGUGCAUUAUUGUCACGACCCAAAUUCCGGGCCAUGACCGACGCAUGGAUCCAAUGGAUGUAAUCCACUAAACCCAAGCAAGCCUAUUAUUUAUCUUACUCAUCAUUCUAUAAUAAACUACUAAGUCACAUUUCAUAACUUAGAAUCAAAAUAGUGAUAUACAUUGCCAACUCGUACUGGCAUUACUCAUUUAAAAUUUACAUACCAUGUUUACAACAUGAAUUCUAAUAAUGUACAUCAAGUUUGUCUAUACAUCUCAAAAAGAAGACUCAAUUUCCAGCAGAGUGACUCGGAUGAAUAUAUAGCUACCGAAUGCCGAGACACCUACCAAAAGAUGGACACAGGUCUACAAAGACACCUCAUCCUAGUUACCGGCUGCCUCGUGAUCUGAAAACAUGAAUUUGAAAAUGGUGAGUAUAAACCCAGUGAGUGAACAAGAAAGGGAACAAGCAUACCGUAAGGAAUCUUUAAUGAAACCAUGAUGCAUUCUUUUUCAAAACAAUGCAAUUUGUUCUAUUCUUAUUAAAGACCCCUCAUUAAACCCUUAUAUGAUUAAUCAAUUGGUAAUGAGGAACCCAUACAUAACAAUUAAUUCCAAAAAUAAAAGCUUCAGUGAUACACUAACAAGUCAAAUGUGACGACGAAUCUUCGCUGCAGCGAGAAUGAAUUUUCGUUGCAGCGACAUUGGGAUUUAGCUAUUAGCAGAACGAGGGUUUCUUAACUGGCCAAGGGUUUCUCACUAAACCUCCUACUUUUAAACUUAAUUCAUUAAAUCCUUAAUGUUGGAAGUCCAUGCUUUGAUAUGGUAGCAAAUAAGUGAAAGAUAGGACAACAAUUGGACAAGAUAGGAGAUCAAAACAAAAUGAUUUUCGCUACAGCGAGAUUUAAUCUCGCUGCAGUGAAAUUUCAACCCAGAAACAGAAUGUUUCUCGUUGCAGCGAGAUUCAAUCUAGCUGCAGCGAAAUUGCUACCCAGAAAAUAGAAAGUUUCUCACUACAGCGAGAAUGUAUUUCGCUACAGCGAUAAGCUAUAGUGUCAUUCUUGCUACAGCAAAAAUGCAUCCUCCCUGCAGCGAGUUUUCGACCAGUGUACCCUUUCAAAACCCGAGAGUUUCUCACUGUAGUGAGAAUGAUUUUUGCUGCAGCGAGAUACAGGGCAGCAAUGAAAAUUUCCCCUUUUUUCUCAAAGAAAACCACCAUACUGAAAUGUUCAAACCACAAGAAACACAUUACACUUUUUCAAGGCUUAACAUGUCAAGUUUCACACGCAUUACAACCAUAAAUCAUUGUCCAUUAAUUUGCUAUAACACACAUAUUCACAUAUGUAUAUAUAUAUAUAUAUAUAUAUAUAUAUAUAUAUAUNNNNNNNNNACAACCAUAAAUCAUUGUCCAUCAAUUUGCUAUAUCACACAUAUUUACAUAUAUAUAUAUAUAUAUAUAUAUAUAUAUAUAUACGUAUAUAUAUAUAUGUAUAUACCCAUCAUCAUCAUCUCACCAACCCAUCAUCAUCAUCACCAGCUCAUGCGCACUCCUUACUCGCACAUAACCGGGUCGUCCUCGGUCUAUGCGCACUCUCUACUCGCACAUAGCUGAGUCAAUGUAAUUACACAACAUUAUAUUCAAGCAUAUAUGUAUAUCAACAUAAUGCAGCCACAUAGAAAUCCAUAAUAUCACAUAUCAUAACGUAAACCAUUUCACAAGAGCUUGUUCCCAAGGCAUUCAUUUUUGAGAAAAAUUGUAUAAAAUCAUUCAAACACUUUGUUCAAAACAGUCAUUUUCCCAAAACAAUUUUGAUAGGUAGUCCACUCACCAAUUAGUUGUAGAACCUUUAGAUGACUCCAAUUCCCUUAAUUGUCCAAUUGGAAGGAUUGGACUUCCUUAAAACCUAGGAUCACAUUAACAUAAACAAUAGAUCAAUUUACACACUAUGAACUUUAAAAGCUAUCUUUUAGCUAGUUUUCAAUUGCUACAUUAAAUGGCUAUCUAUGUUCACUAUCUUAAUCACUAAAAAGUAAUGAACAUACUCAACAAUAAAACAACUCAUAAAUCACAAUUACUAGCCAUUUUCUGCAGCUAAAAUCAAGCUUAAUUCAUCACUUACCCUAGGGUUCCUUUGUAGUCAAAUUCUCUUCCAAUUGCUUCCAAGUCAAUAAGGUAAUUCUCUUUUUCUCUCUCUAGAAUGCCCAACUAGUGAGAGAAAGUCUGGAAAUAAGCUUUAUCAAGGGUUUUGAAGUGAGAUAGUGAAAGAAUUCAAAGGUUAUAGUCAAUAGGGUUCAAAGGUAUGAAAACUAGAGCUAGAGAUAGAAAAUCAAGCAAGCUUCAAAUCAAGCUUCCAUGGAGUUUUGAAGAAACGUGAGAGAGGAGAAGAAGAAGAAGAAGACCAGCUGUUGGAAAUUCAAGGUAUUUAUAGGCAAUCUUAUCCUUUCCUAUAAAAUUACGAAAAUGCCCCUCCACCAAUUAACUUACUCUCCUCCAAUAUUUUAUGCAAUAUUUUUGCUCUUUAACACUGGGACAAGAUUCAUAAUGGUCUAGACAUGCUCGGGUUCAUAAAAACUUAAAAUUUUAACCCGAAGUGAAAAAUGACCAUUUUGCCCUUGUUAUGAAAAUUGUUGAAACUUCUAGUUUUUCUUAGUGUUUUCAUCAGUACACAUCAUUUAUACUGUCUUAUGCCUAUUUAGGCCUUAAAAUAUCAUAAAACUUUAUUCUGGAAGCUUAUUAGAGAAAAUGAUGAAAUUACCCCUAGCUCAUAUUAUUACAUUUAUGCUUAGUUACAAGCCUAUAGAAGUUGAGGUCUCACAAUUAUUGUAUUCUGUUGUAGAUGGAUUUUAGGGAGUAUGAGAACGUUGAUGUGAAACCAAAGGAAUAACAGAUCGUGGAGACUCAAAAAGAGGACGAUAUGAAAUUAGAAUUCCCUACUAUUGUGGUGACUGAAAAUGAGGAAAAUGUGAAACCAUAAUUCCCUAAGGGUUAUUUAUGUGUCGAUCUCCUGCACGACAUCAUGCUUUGUAGAAUCAAUGACCUAGUACAAUGGAGCAUUAGUACAAAGUAACCGAGAGAAACAAGCCAAAAUGGAUACAAUGUCCAAGGAUUAAUCGCAAUGUCUGCUAUUGCUAAUUAAAGCUUAACCGACUUGGCGAAGUGCGAAUAAGAGACAAAAAGAUUAAUCAUUUGGACAUGUGGCCAUGUUUGCAUCAUUGCACUUGUUUAGGCUUGAGUGUUGAGUGUUUAGGGUUUAUGGUUGAAGGUUUAGGGUUUAAUGAUAUGAGAAAAUUGGAAAUCACUAAAAUAUGAGUGAAGUAGAAUUAAUAGAAUUUUGCCAUACUUUGAGAAUGACUUACAAAUGACUUCAUUUACAUGUUGAAUUACGUAGCUAUUUAUAGUAGUAGAAAAGGUUUAGCUAGAAAGAAAAACAUAUAAAUAAAUGAAUAUUCAAAAUGGAGCAACUUCAAAAUGAAACAGUUUUCAAGGAAUGUAAGUGAAAAGACAUUUAGUCCUUAUACAUUUAAUCACAAUAAUGAAAAUGAAGACUACUAAUUUAGCGUCUCAAAACUCUGCACCUAAAUUAGAAGUGGGUGGUGAUUGAGGUUUGUCUAAUGCGUUUUGAUAAAUCAAAAUGCAAUUUUUUUUCCGAUCAAAGGCACCCAUGUUGUUUAAAAAUCAAAGAAAAUCCCUUAUGAAACCUUAGGUUUAGAAGUUUCAAAUUCUUGGGUUUAGGGUUGCUGAGGGCACGUAUUGAUCCGGUGAGAAGCUACUUCAAACCUUUGUGAUCAUUUCAACCGUUUGAGUUUCAUUAAAAACAACUCAAAAUAAAAAUCCCUACAUGGCCACUAGCCCCACGUGCACCAAAACCAUUGCUCGGUAAUUUUUAGGCAGGAGCAGAGUUGAUAGUAGCAUUGAAAGACCUAAUGCUUGACCAGAUUCAAUUCCAUUUAAAAUCCUGUCCUUGCUUCCCGCAAUAGAUGUAGUUAACACCUUCGUUUUAUCAAGUAUGUGGAAGUUUCUUUCUUCGCUCGUUAUUACUCUUGCUAAUAUGAAGAUCUUGAAAGUUAUCAACCUUUUAGGUGUACAAUAUCUGUUACAUUAUGGCAAAGUGUUCAAGAACUUUAUUUACAAAUGUACAUUAUAAAUGAUUAUAAGGGUUUGUUGCCUGCGAGUCUCUUUAGAAAUAAAACACUCAUGAAAUUGGAACUAUCUGUUUAUACUAUUAUUGUUUGGAGCAUCUCGACUGACAGAUCCUUUCUACUAAAGACUAUCAAUAAUGGUGGUUUAGACUUUGUCAAUGAUAAUUUGGUUGGAAGGCUUUUGCUUGAUUGCCCUAUGCUUGAAGAGUUCUUGAUUCGAUCUUCUCGUCAAUCUAAAAGUUUUACCAAUUUAAAUAUUUGUAAACAUGACUGAAAAGAUUGAAUUGAGAUGAUCAUGGUGAUAUGUCCGAUAUAAACCUUUUCAUCUUGGCCUUGAUGCCUUAAGUAUUGUCUACGUCAAAUCCAAUUAUUGUUGUGUUCGAUUAAAAAGCUACUAAUUAGUAAACUUACAUUCUCUUGUCAAUCCUGACAUGAGUGAUCAUGUAAUGGCCUUUGAGAUGAGUUCAACGUUGAUGCUACAUGUAAUUUGUUUAAUGGAAUGAGUAAUGUUCGAUCACUUCAGUUCAAUGAUGAGUUACUAUGGGUAAGUUCAUUGAAUUUUUCUUGUUGAUGCAACAUUUUGAUGGGAGGAAAUUUUGAUAAAUGGUCACACAAAUAUCCUUUUUGAAAAUAUAGUCUUUCAUGUCUCAUAAUUGAGAGUUUCAAAAAAGAUCUCAAAGAAAUGCUUGUAAAUUCUUUCAUCAUUGAUCUAUGUUUAAUAUUUUGAGUAGUGUAAUAUAAUGAAUUUACCUAAUGAACAAUAGUUACAUGUUGGUCAAAAGAAUUUACCAUGGUAUGCUGACUAUGUCAAUUUCAUUGUAAGUAAGCUUCUCUUUCUAAAUUUAACUUUUCAGCAAAGAAAGAAAUUUUCACAUGAUGUUAAAUUAUAUAUUGGGAUAAACUAUUUUUGUUUAAGCAAUGUGUUGACAGAAUGAUAAGAAGGUGCAUUCCAAAGGAGGAAGUUGAAAGUGUGAUGAGACAUAGUCACUCGUCAGAAUAUGGGGGCCAUUUUGGAGGAGAUAGAACAAAUGUAACAUUCCCAAAUAUGAUGUAAAUUAAGGUAAUUGAGAAUGAAUUACAAAAUAUGUGAAGUCUUGAGGACUUUAAUGAUAUGACAUAUAUGCCAAGUGUUGGAGAGUGAACAUAUUGACACUUAGGCAAAAUUUUAAGGAAAUAGGUGAUAAAUCCCAUAAUUUGAGGUUUUGAUUUAAGUUUGACUUCAUAUUUGUGAAUAUAUAUGUAUGGGAUUAAGUUAAAUGGAUGAUUUGAGGUGUGAUAUUAAUAGGAAAUAAAAUUAGGGGGUUAGACUUGAAUUUUUGGAAAUUUGGAAAGCUGAAAAUUGACUACAAGAGAAAAUGCAUUGAUACAUCCCCAAAUAUGUCGAUACAUUCUUGGCAAGAUAAACAAUAAAGGCUUUCAGUAGAUUUUCUAUUGAUACAUUCAAGAAUAUAUCAAUAGAUUUGGCCAAAGAUGAACAUGUAUUGAUACAUUUGAAGCAAAAAUCACCCAACGAAAAAAGUAUCGAUACAUUCCCUUUAUGUAUCAGUACAUGUUGGGUAGUGAGCCAUUCUACCCGAAAUCUAUUGAUACAUUGCAAAUGUAUCAAUAGAUUUAGUUGAAAUACGGGCAAAUGUAUCGAUACAUCACUGAAAGCAAGGCAAACAUAAAAAAGGGUUCACGAGCAUUUCACCUAUUUAACAAAAACCCCCAAACUCUUUCUCUCUUUACCAUCUCAAAAACCUAUUGCCCCAUAUGAAUUCUGGGAGCUAUUUGGACCUAUUCUGAGCUUGUGAAACACCUCUAGAGGUAAGAUUAAACGUUUUAACCAAUUAUUUUUCAAUUUAUUCUGUUAGAUUCUAAGAAAUCUAGUUUUUCCAACAUUGGUGAAUCUCCCUCGAUUCAGCUCGAAUUUGGAGCUAAGAUCCAGGUAAUCUAACUUUGAAGGUAUGAGUUUAGCUCAUUGUUGAUGGAUUUAAGCUUAAAUAGUUGGAUUGCUAAGAUUUGGUAAGUUUUGAAAAAGCUGGCAUUUUUUAAAAGCUAGGAUUUAACUAAUAAUUUAAUGUUUGAUGUGUUCUAAGGGGAAAACAGAGUUAAUUCAACUCGUUGGUGAGUUGAAGGACAAUUAGAGGCUAAAGAUCAAAGUUUGGCUUGGAGUACUUCUAAUUUGUCAUGAUGACUGGGUUAAUUAAAUGCAUGUAAUGCAUAACGCAUGGAAAAUGCAUUGCACUGGUAUUAUAUUAUGCAUGUAAGCCUAGAUGAACAUGCCUAGGCUAAAGAACAAAUGUUUUAUGUGCAAGUAAGAAUAUAUGUAUGUAUAUUUAUAUAUGUGUGUAAAUGAUAUGUGUUGAGGUUAUGUGCCUUAGUGCAAUGCCAUGUGGAUGGUUUAUAUUGUGUAAGCCUAGGCUAGAAUGUCUAGAAGCUAUGGUUAACCCCUAAGAGUAGGUUACCCUAGGUUAAUGAUGUGCUAAGAGAAUUUGACCAAAUGAUGCCUUAAGGAUAUAAAGUACUUUAGAAUGUUAAACAAGCUUAUAAACGAUUAAAGCUCGAUAAAUAUGAUUUGAGAUAUGUUGUGGACAUAUGGAAUGGUAAAGGCAUGAUGACCUCAUUGUGGAUUGUGUUCCGUCCGAGGGAUGAAUUCUGGACGUUGAUCUGACUUGUGGAUGAAUGGAGUUUUGUCCCCCUGUGACCUUUGUGUGCCUAUAGGGAUGGUGGUAAGCAAGGAUGGUGGCAUUAGUCCCGCUUAUGAUUCCCACCUGUGGUGUUUAGAUGCCACCUGUAGGAGAUUAUUUCAGGUGAUGCCGACCGCUAGGAGAUUACGUCGUUUGAUGACUUUGAUUCUUCAUCAACUACUUCGACGCUAUGUGUAAUCUGUUCUCCCUAAUGGCUUUGCCUUGAAUGUGAUUUGAUUCUCCACCGGUUGGACACUGAAUGUGAUUUGACUACGUCUAAGGGAGGAUCACUCGUUGAUGUGAUUUGCAUAUGAGAUGAGAUAGUCGUGGAAAGGCUUAAAUAUAUAUGAUGUGAUACUCCGACGACUAGAGUGUGUCAUGGAGAUUGAUUUAGAAUAUCUUGAAUUGGCUUCGAGAGUAAGUCUAAUGAUGAGUGUGGCCAAUGUAUGGUCGUAUGAACAUUUGUACAGAUUGUGAGCCAAGGAUAAUGCAUAUUAUUUGAAUUUUAUGAUGAAUAUUUGACUAUUAAAUCCCUUGGCAUUUACGUUGUAUGAUUUUGGACUCUGAGGCUUGCUCGAGUCUAGUGGACUUGUCUGUUGAACUCGUGCACUAGUCAUGAACUUUCAGGUUUUAGUCAUGACAGAACAGCAGCCAAAGUUCUUAAAUUAGGUUUGUAUUGGACAACACUAUUCAAGGAUGCUCAUAAGUUUUUUUUGCAUUGUGAUAGAUGCCAAAGAAUGGGGAACAUUUCUAGAAGACAUAAGAUGCCAGAUAGCAACAUGUUGGAUGUAAAAAUUUUUUAUGUCAGGGGAAUUGAUUUCAUAGGACCAUUUAUAUCCUCCUUCAACAACCACUACAUUUUGGUGGCUAUUGACUAUGUGUCAAAGUGGGUCAAAGCCUUAGCUCUACCCUAAAAUUUCUACAAAAGAGCAUCUUCACCAAAUUUGGUACUCCAAAUGCUAUUGUGAGUGAUGAAAGGAGUUACUUUUGUAAUAAGUAUUUUACAACAUUAUAACUAAGUAUGGAGUGACACACAAGGUUGCCACGGUCUAUCACCCUCAGAUGAGUAAGCAAGUUGAAUGGUCAAACCAAUAGAUCAAGAGAAUUUUAGGGAAAGUGGUAUCUCCAUCAAAGUAGGAUUAGGCCAAUUGACUUGAUGAUGCAUUAUAGGCAUAUAGGACCACUUAUAAAACUGCAAUAGGUAUGUCCCCAUAUCAAUUGGUAUUUGGAAAAGUGUGCCACCUCCCGAUUGAAUUAGAGCACAGUGCAUUUUAAGCCAUCAAGAAUUAAAUUUUGAUUUAAAGGUAAUGGGUGAGAAGUGUUUUCUUCAAUUAAAUAAGAUGGAUGAAAUUCACUUGGAUGCUUAUGAAAAUGCCAAAUUAUACAAGAAAGAGACAAAGCGAUGGCAUGAUCAAAAGAUUGUCGAGUGGCAUUUCAAGCUAGGUCAGCAUGUGUUGUUGUUCAAUUUAUGAUUAAAGCUAUUUUCAAGCAAGUUAAAAUCAAGAUGGUCAAGACACUUUAUUGUAUCCAAGGCGUUUCCCCAUGGAGUAGUAGAAAUAGUAGAUGGGUCAACUAAUAAGACAUUUGAGGUGAAUGGGCAACAAUUGAAGCACUACUAGGGAGGAAAUACUGAUCGCCAACAACCUUCCAUCGAUCUUUUCGAUUCUAAAUGAGCUUAAAAAAAUCCAGCUAAUAACUAUAAAGGAAGCACUUCUUAGGAGGCAACCCAAGUUUCUCAUCUUAAUUUACUUUAGUAGUUAUUUUUUUAGUUUUUAGUUUAUUUACAAUUUUUUUCUUAUCAUUUUAUGUUUCUUUUCUAUUCUAUGUUUGAUUUUGCAAGUCUUAGAAAUACAAUAGAGUAAAGUGAUAUUGAAAAAAAAAAAGUGAGAGUCACAACCUUCACAUUGAAAGCCACAGCUCUAAAAGCAGGUAACAUAAUAUCUACAAAUAGAAUGGUUGAGCACCGCGACCUUCAUUUCUUAGAGACACAACGUUGGCACAUGAAGAAAAAAAAUGUCCAACAUAGAAUGGUCGGCACUGGAAUUAGGAAUUAAAUUUGCUAGAAAUAGAAAGCUUGAGUGCCACAGCAUUGAAACAUGAAGUGUAAUGCUUCAAGUGUAGACCAAGCGAGAGUCGUGGCUCUCAAAGUGAGAGCCAAGGCGUUGAGUCGAGGCCCAGCCCCAACCUUGUUUAAGACAUGAUUUUCAUCAGUCUUCUCACAUUCUGCAAUAGCUUCAACACAUAACCUAAGCUCCUAAACAAUCCUUUUUCUUCCUCAUCCCCUGGUUCUUGCCUCUACAAUACUCACCCACUUGUGCUUUUAAAUUGUAAGUGUGUGCAUUUAUCUCAUUCACCAUUCCUCAUCUUCUCCAUAUAUGCAAUCAAUUAAGUGCUUUCUUCAACAAUUUUCAUUUGUUUUGAGAAUUUUUUGUUGAUAGUAAUUGCCAUUGCUAGAUUCCAUAGAUUUUACAUAUUGAUGGUAACUUGCACGUGGUUGGUGAUGGGUUUGAAGAUUUUCUUCUUGAUUAUGCUUUGGGGGAGGUGAAUUCUUGUUUGAUUGAUGAUGAUUAUAGUGAAAUUAUUACUGAUUAUGGGUUUGGUUCAUAGAAUUUUGUGUGCUUGCUAAUGCAUAUGUUGAAAGUCUUGUUUCCUAUGGUGUGAGUUGGUAGAAAUUUGCUUGGUGGAUAAUGGGCAUGUAGCAGAAGUUGCAAUUUUGGGUUGGGAAACAAUUAGACUAUGGCAUUUACAAACAUGGUGAUUUUGGAAAUAAUUUGUGCUAAAACAAUUUGGUUUGGUUUCUUUUACACACUUAUUAUAUUUUGUGCUCAAAUUUUUUUUAGAUAUUGGAAAUAAUUGAACUCUUGUUAUUUUGGUUGCAUUUUAUCUUUGUUGGUUUUUGGAAAUUCUACAAUAAUGGCACCUAAGCGCUCAAAACCAAAUUAAAGUGGCACAUUCGAUCGAGCAAAGUUUGUCUCAAUGGAUGCUUCAACAAGAUAUUAUAAUUUGAUGAUUAACAAUGUGCCUAUCCUUGAACGAGGUUUAAAUAUUCCUCUAGUCCAUUAUGAAGAGAUACAUAAGAUGAUUGAAGAAUGACAUUUGCAGCAAUUUUGUGCCUAACCUAAAGCUGGGGUUGUGCCAGUGGUAAAGGAAUUCUAUGCGAAUGUAUUUGAGCAUGUUGAUUGGGUUGUUUUGGUCCGUGGCAAACAGGUACCAUUCGACAGUUAGGCCAUUAACAAAUUCUUUGGAACUCUAAACCUUAAAAAUAAUGAAUACAAGCAAUAUUUGGGAGAUCAACAAGAUAGUGAUGUGAUCAUCUCGGAGCUUUGUGUUAUGGGAACCCAAUGGAAAACAUCUCAUGGAGAGCUUGUUUCGUUCAAAUGAAGUGCCAUGAAGAAGGAGCUAAAAGUGUGGUUACAUUUUUGCGGCAGCAAGAUUGCUCCCAUCUACCCACAUCAGUGAUGUUACCAAGGAUCGUACAAUUCUUACGUAUGCUAUUUUGACUCAUAAAUACAUCGACAUCGGGAAGGUUAUUUCUCAUGCUAUACUUCACACAUGUCGAAUCAAUCGAGAUGGUAUAGGAUUUCUUUCUUUCAUAACUGCUUUGUGUGGAAAAGCUGGUGUAUGAUGGAAUGAUAGUGAAGAGUUGCAGCAAUCUAAAAUUCAAACCACCAUUGGAAUUCUGAGGCAAUUGGAAGAGUCCACAGUAGUGGCUGGUAGUUCUUCUCCAACUGUUCCAUAACCUCCACAGCGAGCUCCAACCCAUAGUGCAAAUGGAUGGAAUGGAUUGAUCAUCAUAUGGACCGCCAAGAAAGGUAGAAUAGAACACUUCAGCAAAUUAUGUGAGGCUAAGAAAAAACAUAUUGGGAUGGAUAUGGCUGUUUUCCUUUCGUUGCCCACGAAUUCAAACUCUGAUGACGAUUUUAGUAAGGAUGAUAAAGAUGACCAAUACGGUGCAGCUAUAGUUUAACGGAGUAUUUUCUUUUCCUUACUUUUCAUAAUAUUAGGGAUAAUGCUUACUUUAAGUGUGGGGAGGAAGUUUUUAAAUUUUCAUGUCUUUGAUUAUGUUUUGAAGUUAAGUUUAGUUGUUUAGCAUGAUAAUUUAGGAGUAGUGAAUUUAGGAAAAUGUUGAAAAACUAAAGCUAAAAUUAGUGCACUAAUGAAAUUGAUUCGCCCAUCCAAUGAUGAUAACUAACUAUUUUGUUGAUCUUUUACUCUUAGUUGUUUGAAUGUCAUGUGGAGUCUUGUUAGCAUCAUGAUCGGAUGAAAUUUUCAUACUUGAGCACUAUAUCUCUACAUUGAAAUAUCCUAUCUCUUUAGAGAAAGUUUAUGUAAAUGAAGAUUUUAUAAAUAUGUUUAUAGUUUUAGAAUUUGUUUAAUUCUUCCUUGAUGCAAAAUCAUAAAGCUAUACUUAGUCAGGGACUUGACUUAGGCCAUUCUUGGACUAAUUGAGCCUUUCAAGCCAACCUAUUUACAUCUUUAUCUAUAAUAUGCCCCUUUGAGCUUAAAUUGUCUUUUAUUUGAUUUAACCCAUAAAUAACAUUAGCUUAGCGUUUGAGAAACUUCUCCUAUUUUUACAACCCUCACUCCUAAACAUAUAUAUUGUUUUAAGAAAUGUAUGUUGAACUGUUUGAUGAGAAAAGUGGAAAAGAUGAAAUAUAGAGAAAAAUGCAAAACAUUUUGAAGUAUUCAUCCCACUAUUAAUGAAAAAACCAAGUUUGGGGUUGUUGAAAAAAAAAUAUGUUUGAGGAAGGAAUAGUGAAAGUGAAAGAAAAAGGGUGUACUCGAUGAAGAAAAAUAAUAAGGCUAUAUAGGUCCUAAAACAAUUAUGUGUUUAGAGUGACUUAUGCUACAUAUUAUCCCGGAUCCUACCUCCACCCUAGCCACACAUUACAAGCUAAAUAAAGUCCUAGGGAUCCUUAAUUUAGUAUUAGCCUACAUUAUUGGAGAGGGAGAGGAAAAACAAACUUAUGAAAUUUUUAACUAGUUUGAAGUUUGAAUGAACAUAAACCUAUCCGGAGUGCAUGAGAUUCAUGGCAAGAGAUUUCACACACAUUCACACACACACACACAAUAAUUUAUCCAAAAAUGAGCUUGCAUUGGAAUGUAAUGUGAAUUUAGAUAAUAUUUAUGUCUUACUAUGAGUUGAGAUAACGAGAUAGUUUAUGAGCAAAUUAAAGGUUAUAAAUGAAUUGGUGCAUCCGAUUUUGUUAGUUUGAUGUUUUCAAUUAUGUUAUUUUGUUUUCUUAGUUUUUGCUCGAGGAAUAGCAAAAUAUCAAGUUUGGGGUUGUAAUAACUCUAUGAUAUAGAGUUAGUUUGCCACAUUUUGAUUGUAAAAAGCAUAGCUAAGUUCUUGUGUUUUGAAGUUAAUUUUAAGUAAUUUUUAUACUUUUCUUUAUUUAGUUUAUUGCAUGUUGAAUUAUUUUUAAUUUGAGUAAUUUGAGCUUAUUUUCACAUCAAAAGUCUUAAUUUGAGAAAUCACAAAUUUCGUCUUUAUUUUAAAGGUUCUCAAGUGUAAAAAGCUUCAUGGAAGUGAAAUGUGCAAGAUGGUUAGGUGUAGAAUUUGCUAAACAUAUUGUAGUAUUUCUGCCAUAACACUUUCUAAAGAACUCCAAAUGAGGUGAUUCUAGACCACUGGAAAGUUGCAAGGAAAGGCUACAACUUUUCUAUUUAUCACUUUGCCCAGCUUGGAUUGGAAGGUGAUCAAAACCAGUGUCAAAAAGAGAGUACUGCACUAAGAGAGUAAAACAAAGACAGAACACUUGAGAGCCGCGGCGCUGAAAGGAAUUUGUGGCGAACUUCAAAGUCAGAACUGUUGAGAGCCACAGCGCUAAAGCUUAUUUCCAAAAAUAAUUGUUUGACUAGAAAUUUGGAAAUUAAGCUAAUUUGUGCUUAUUUAAGGGACAUUUUCAAAGAAUUUUAGAGAGAGGACAAUAGUAGCUAUUUUGAAGAAUUGUAGCUAACAAUCAAGCAAGAGAACAAGAAAAAUUGAGAGAGAUUCGAGAUCAAAAAGCUUCAACAUUAGUUUCUUUCUUUAUUUUGUGUUUUCCUUAUUUUCUUUGACUUGAAUUCAUAGCUAAAUUUCUUUGGAUAAUGUUUUACUUAGAUAUCAUGAACUAAUUUAUUUGUCUAGGAUUAUGAUGGAUUUCAACAUGUAGUUUGAAUAUUAGUUUCUCUUUUAUUUAUCAUGAAUGGGUAUAGUUUUGCUUAUUCAAAUCUAUUCUUAAUGCUUUUAAUUGCUUGAUCAAUAAUUAAUUAAUUUGUGAAUCUAAUUGAGACUUGACAAAGAGGUUUUAGAUUGGACUAAGAUUUAAAUAGUGUAUGUUAACAUCACUUAGGUGAUCUGAUUCGCGAUUUGGAUAGACAUACGCCAAUUGCCAUACAUAGCCAAAUUAGGACACUAGCUUAAUGAACUUAAUUUAAUUAAGUCCUAUAGACAUAUAGUGAGCUAAUUAAGUUAGGUAUUUGUGCAAGCAUCUCGAUGGAGACUUGUAGACAGCUUUGGAUUCUAGGUUAGUAAAACCACCUAGGAAGGUAAAUAAUAAGCGAAGCUGGUAUCAAAUGAAGUGUUGAACGAACCCAUAAUCCUAGGUCUUUAGUCUGUUGUCUUUCUCAAGUAACUUUAAUUUCUGUUAGUUAAUUUAGUUCUUGCUUUAAUUUAGUAUUAAUUAAUUUUCUUAAAAUUUGAGUUACUUAAAUAAGAUUAAUUUGUUAUAAAAUUUUAGUACUUAGUAAAACUUUAGGAAGAAAUCUUUGUGGGAACGAUACUCUACUUAUAACUAUAUUACUUGUUUGUGAUAACAUGCACUUAUGUGAAAAAUCAAUAACACUCAUACAAGCACCUUGUGCUGUGAGGAUCGAUAUACCCGUCCAUGGGAGUUGCUCCUUGGCUAUUCCUGUCACAACCUAAUUUCCUGACCAUGACCAGUGCAAGGGCCCAAUGGGCUCAGCCCACUAAGCCCAAGCAAGCCUAUUUAUAUAAUCUGGUACACUAAUCCAUAUGUCUUUAAAAUCCAAAACUUGUAAUGUUCAAAUAUAAUUCCUUUGAAAACAAUUCAUAAGACCCAAUAAUGUAUUCAUAAUAACAUCAUCAACCAUAAUAUACAUAUAUAGCUUGACAAAUGAGUCUUAGCAUUUCACAUCCAGCAUUCAUAUACACAUAAUUAGACCUUGAUCGUUAGCGGAGUGAAUCUGGGCACGGUUGCUAACAUUUAGUGUCAUGGUAAACCUACCGAGCAAUGGAUAAGGAAGAGCACUUCUUCCUAGGACCAACCACCUUUAACUCAGAAAACCUAAAACAUGAAGUUUAAAAACGUGAGUAUAAACCCAGUGAAUGAACAUAAGAAGGGAACAAGUAUCAAUUCGGGAAGUUUUAGAAAACAUGAUGCACUUAUGUUGAAAACAAUGCAAUUCAACUUAAUUUCUUAUCACAAUGAAAAUCCAUUUUUGCUACAGUGAAAAUCAAUUGGAAAGCAUUUCUCAAAUUUUAACAUUCAAUAAUCAAUGCAAGCACAAUAUAAUUUCCAUAACCUCUCUAUAUAUAACAUAUAUAAACAUACAUACGACCACCGGCAUCACCCCAACUCUCCCUCAGCUCACGUGCACUCCCACAUCGCACAUAACUGGGUCAUUAUCAGCUCAUGUGCACUCCUACACCACACAUAGCUGGGUCAUCAUCAGCUCAUGUGCACUACCACACCACACAUAGCUAGGUCAUCAUCAGCUCAUGUGCACUCCUACACCGCACAUAGCUGGGUCAUAAUUAUCAAACAAUAAUAUCAUUCAAUGCAUAACAUUCACAUCAACAUAAUGUGGAAACACAGGAAUUCAUCACAUUCAUAUUUCACAACAUAAAAAUGUUUCAUUAAGUGCUUCUUCCCAUGCAAAUUUUAAAAAAAAACCAACCAAAUAUCUCAAGUGGUUCAAUCAAGCAUCUAAUCAUUUAUUCCAAAACAUUUUGAUGCAAGUUCAUUCUGUUGUCUCCAUUAGUUUUUUAUGAUAAUAAAACAUUCCCAUUUAUGUGUGUCUAAUGCCUUUACUUGAGUGGGCAGGAAAGUAAUAUAUGAAAUUAAUUUAUUGACUCUUCAAAGAGUAUUUUUGAAAGAAAAAGAGGGAUAAAACCAACAAGAUGUAACUAAAUAACAAGGAGCAAGCUUAUUGGUGAAACAAGGAAAAACAUUGGUUAACCAAAUUUCAAAUUGGAGAAAUGGCGAGCUGAAAAGUUUGAGAAACAGAACCAAUUUAGUCAACCAAGUUAGUCAACUAAGUGCUCUCUGCCAGAAUCUGCAAACCAGAAACAGAACCAACUUAGUCAACCAAGUUAGUCGACUAAGAGCUCUCUGUCUGCAAUUUGAUCCAGAGCACUACAAGACAGAUUAAAGGCUAGAACUCAUUCUCAAUUGUUUCCAAUGGAUAUAAACUACCAAACUGCCAUCAAAGUUGCAUUUCCAAGUAUAAAAGGGUCUUCCAACAAUAAGAAAGAAGUUUUUUAAAGCUUUGAAUGAGAUUUGAGCUAUAGAAAGUAGAAAAAACCAGAAAAGCUUCACUGCACCUUACUGCACUUAAAUGCCAAAUUUUUGUACUAGAGUUCAACACUUCAUCUUGUACCAUCUAAAUCAAGUAAGUGAUCAUAGGUACUUCUUUAUUACUUCUUUUGUAUUCUUAGAGUGAGGGAGUCACUCUAAGGGGUUGUUCAAGCUUGGGAUGGCUUGAUUGUUGUAGGUUGUGGUUGAGCCUUGGAAAACCACAUUGGGUUUUAGUUGAGCCCGUGAAAAACUAGUGUAAAAGGUUGUGGCUAAGCCUAGUAAAAGCCAUUGUGAAGCUUGGUGAAAGCUUGUGAAUUUCACAAGUCCAUAGUGGAUUUGUGGGAAAAUCCUUGGUUGGAUAAUCAAGGUAGUGGAUGUAGGUCUUGGACUAAACCACUCUAAAUUGUUGUGCAUUUUAUACUCUGUUUUUGGUUUUCUUAAGUUCUAGAAAUUACUUUCCAAUCUUAUCAAGAGCCAAAUUGUGCUAUUCACCCCUCCCCCCCUCUAGCACAUAUUAUCAUGACCAACAAUUGGUAUUAGAGCUAGUUACCUAUUUUUAAGGCUUAACAUCCUUUAGGAGGAUCCAAAUGGCUCAACAAAAAACCAUAGUUGCAGAGGGACAAUCAACAAACAGACCACCUCUGUUUGAUGGCUCUAAUUACCCUUAUUGGAGCACUAGAAUGUCAAUUUAUAGUAGGGCUAUAGAUUAUGAAAUGUGGGAUGUCAUAAUUGAUGGACCCUUUAUGCCCUCAACAGUGAAUGUAGUGACAAAUGAGUUGCCCAAGCCAAGGUCUAAAUGGACUGAGGCUGAAACUAAGAAAGUUCAAACAAACUUUAAGGCCAUCAACACAUUACAUUGUGCCUUGACCCCCACUGAAUUUAACAAAGUCUCAAGCUAUACAACAGCUAAACAAGUGUGGGAGAAACUUAGGAUAAUCCAUGAAGGGACUUCCCAAGUCAAGGAGUCCAAAAUUGCUCUCUAAACACAUAAUUAUGAAAUGUUCAAAAUGGAGCAUGGUGAAGACAUCACCAGCAUGUUUGAUAGGUUUACAAACAUCACAAAUAACUUGAGCCAGCUAGGCAAACCUAUCUCUGAACAUGAAUUAGUUAAGAGACUGCUUAAAAGCCUACCAAAAUCCUGGAAACCAAAAGUGAUUGCCAUUAGAGAGGCUAAAGAUCUAAACAUCAUCACUCUCGAUGAGAUUUGUGGUUCUCUUCUUACUCAUGAGCUGGAGCUUAAGGAAGAAGAAGAAAAAGACCGAAGGGAAGCAAACGAAAAGAAAAAAAGUAUUGAACUUAAAGCUAGCAUCCUUGAAGAAGAGUUGGAAGAGCUUUCUUGUGAUGAUGAUGAAGAAUUAGCUCUAGUUGCAAGAAAAUUCAAAAAGCUAAUGAGAAAAAGAAAUCAAAAGCUAAUUAGAAGAGGUUUCAGGAAAGACCAAGGUGCUUCAUGGAAAAUAAGGAACAAAAAAGAGGAGAUGAUCUGCUACGAAUGCAAGUAACCUGGUCACUUCAAGUCCGAGUGUUCAAUGCUGAAAGAUGAAGCCCCCAAGAAAAAUAAGAAAUCCAAGAAAGCAAUGGUGGCUGUUGCAUGGUCGGAUAGUGACACAUCAAGCUCGAAAAUUGAUGAUGAAAAAUCUGAGGAAAGAGCAAACAUUUGUUUAAUGGAACAAGAGGAUGAAACAGAGGUACCCUCAUCCCCUUGCAUUAAUUCAAAUGAUGAUUUUUAGGAUGAGUAUGAGUGCCUUUAUGAUGAAUUUGAAAAGCUUUUUUCAAAAUACAAAUCAUUAAAGAAAAAGGCUGCAUUUCUUGAAAAUGAUUUGGAACAAAUCAAACAAGAAUUUACUUCUGUUUUUAAGCAAAGAAAUAUUUUGCAAAUUGAGUUAGAACACUCAAAAACAGACUUUGAGGUUUUUAAACAAGAGCUGGAAAACAAGUCUGAAGCUUUGCAAAUAACUCCUAAUGAAAAUACAGCUCUUAAAUGUUUGAAAAAUGAAUCCUCAAAAAGAGAUGUACACCACAAUAAAAAUUCAACUAAAGCAUUACCUAGAUGUUAUAAUUGUGGUAAACAUGGUCAUUUAUCAUAUAAGUGUUUUAAGAAAAGAAUAGUGCAGAAAGUUAAGAAAAUCUGGGUUCCUAAGGGAUCUUUUGUUGCAACUAACACUCAAGGACCCAUCAAAGUAUGGGUAACUAUAAAGAAAAACUGAAAUUCUAUUUUGUAAGUUGAGCUAGACUUAAAUGAGACAUGUUCAAAAACUCAACUCAAGAAGAAACAGCCUUGGUACUUGGAUAGUGGCUGUUCACAGCACAUGACAGGACAUGAAAUGCUGUUUGCUCAGUUGGAUAAGAGAAAGGGAGGAACCGUAUCCUUUAGAGAUGAUUCAAAAGGAAGAAUUCAUGGUAUAAGUACGAUUGGUAAGAAUUCCCAAACUCAAAUUAGUCAUGUGUUGUUGGUUAAAGGCUUAAAGCAUAAUUUACUAAGUAUUAGUCAAUUAUGUGAUAAAGGAUUUAGAGUGUGCUUUGAUUCAACUAAGUGUGAAGUGAUAGACAUGAGUACAAAUAAAAUCUCAUUUAUAGGAAAUAGAUUGAAGAAUAUAUAUGUAAUUUUUCUUGAAGAUCUUGAAGUAAAUAAUGAAGUACGUCUUAUUGCAAAUGAAAAAAAUGAUAGUUGGCUAUGGCAUAGGAGAUUAGGACAUGUGAGCAUGAAUACUAUGUCAAAAUUAAUUAAGAAAAUUCUUGUUGUUGGACUGCUUGAGUUAAAAUUUGAAAAUGAUAGGAUAUGUGAUGCUUGCCAACUAGGAAAACAAGUUAAGACAUCCUUCAAGUCUAAGAAAAUUGUGUCAACAUCUAGACCUCUUGAAUUGCUUCAUAUUGAUCUAUUUGGUCCAAUAAGUACAACUAGCUUAAGAGUAUUAUCUUAUGGCUUUGUUAUAGUUGAUGACUAUUCAAGAUAUACUUGGGUGUAUUUUCUUGCUAUUAAGAAUGAUGCUCUACAAGCAUUCUUAAGUCAUUGUAAGAGAACAGAAAAUGGAAAAAGAAUAGCCAUAGUUAGCAUAAGGAGUGAUCAUGGAGGAGAAUUUGAAAAUGAUGAGUUUGAAAAGUUUUGCAAUGAAAAGGGGUUGGAUCACAAUUUUUCUGCACCUAGAACACCCCAGCAAAAUGGAGUUGUAGAGAGAAAAAACUGAACCUUGAAAGAAAUGGCUAGGACCAUGCUAUGUGAGAACAACCUACCUAAAUAUCUUUGGGCUGAGGCAGUAAAUACAAUAGCUUAUAUUCUUAAUAGAGUCUCAAUAAGACCCUUAAUUUCAAAGACUCUAUAUGAACUUUAUAAAGGUAUGAAACCAAAUAUUUCUCACCUUAGGAGCUUUGGCUGUAAAUGCUUUGUAUUGAACAAUGGAAAACAGCCCCUAGGGAAGUUUGAUGCAAAGAGUGAUGAAGCAAUAUUUUUAGGAUAUGCUUUAAACUUAAAGGCCUAUAGAGUUUUCAACAAAAGGACCUUAACCGUUAAAGAAUCAAUUCAUGUAGUUUUUGAUGAGUCAAAUGCAUUGCAAAAAGAAGUUCAUGAUGAUGAUGAUGAUGUAGAAGUCCUAGAAAAACAAAUAAAGGAAAUGAGCUUAGAAAACAACAAAAAUAAUGACGAAAGCUCACCUAGAAAAGAAGAUGAAACUCCACCUUUAGAAAAUCUGCAAAGAGCAGACAAUCAGCAUGAUGAUCUACCAAGGAGUUGGAGAUUUGUGAGAGAUCACAAAGAUCUACAAUACCAAAUAAUUGGUGAGAUUUCUCAAGGAGUUAAAACUAGGAAAGCAACUAGAGAACUUUGUGAGUUUUCAGCGUUUAUAUCUCAAAUUGAACCUAAAAACUUUGAAGAAGCUGAAAAAGAGGAAAGUUGGAUAAUGGCCAUGCAAGAAGAACUUGAUCAAUUCACAAGGAGUCAUGUAUGGUCAUUGGUACCUAAACCUUCAAAUCACCCUAUUGUUGGUACAAAAUGGGUAUUUAGAAAUAAGGUAAAUAAGCAAGGAAAUGUAGUUAGAAAUAAAGCUAGGUUGGUAGCAAAAGGAUACAACAAAGAAGAAGGAAUAGAUUAUGAUGAAACUUUUGCUCCGGUUGUUAGGAUUAAAGCCAUAAGGUUGUUGCUAACUUUUGCAUGUUUCAUGAAUUUUAAAUUAUUCCAAAUGGAUGUGAAAAGUGCAUUCUUAAAUGGAUUAAUUCAAGAGGAAGUAUAUGUAGAACAACCACCUGGUUUUGAAGACUUUGAAAAAUCUGAUCAUGUUUUCAAACUUCAUAAAGCCUUGUAUGGAUUGAAACAAGCUCCUAGAGCUUGGUAUGAAAGGCUUUCAAAAUUUCUAGUUGAAAAGGGGUAUGAUAGAGGUAGCAUCAAUACUACAUUGUUCAUUAAGAGAUAUAUAAAUGAUUUAAUUGUUGUGCAAAUAUAUGUGGAUGACAUUGUUUUUGGUGCAACUAAUGAGGCUUUGUGCAAGAACUUUGCUAAGGAAAUGCAGGGUGAAUUUGAAAUAAGCAUGAUGGGAGAGUUAAAGUACUUCCUUGGUCUUCAAAUCAAACAAAGUAAGGAAGGAAUCUUCAUCAACCAAGAAAGAUACACUCAUGAUAUGCUCAAGAAAUUUGAUAUGCUGAAGCUGAAAUCAAUGUCUACACCAAUGAGCCCAUCCACCAAACUCGACUUAGAUGAAAAAGGUAAGGAUGUAGAUCAAAAGCUCUAUAGAGGUAUGAUUGGUUCUCUUCUCUACUUAACAACAAGUAGACCAGAUAUUCAGUUUAGUGUGUGCUUGUGUGGUAGAUUUCAGUCACACCCUAAAGAAUCACACCUAACAGCUGUUAAGAGAAUUUUUAGAUACCUUAUAGACACUCAAGAACUAGGAAUAUGGUACUCUAAAGACUCAACUCUUAGCUUAGUUGGAUAUUCAAAUGCUGACUUUGCCGGCAGCAAAACUAAUAGGAAAAGCACUAGUGGAACAUGCCAAUUUUUAGGAAGGAUGCUUGUGUCUUGGUCCAGCAAAAAGCAAAACUCAGUGGCACUGUCGAUAGCAGAGGCUGAAUAUGUAUCAUUAGGUAGCUGCUAUGCACAAAUCCUUUGGAUCAAGCAACAAUUAAAAGACUAUGGAAUAACUAUGCAUAAUGUACCAAUAUACUGUGAUAACACAAGUGCAAUCAAUAUAUUAAAAAAUUCUGUGUAGCACUCUAGGACAAAGCACAUUGAAAUUAGACACCAUUUUAUUAGAGACCAUGUGGUGAAAAAUGAUAUUAAGAUAGAAUUCGUGAAUACUUUACAUCAAUUAGCAUAUAUUUUUACCAAACCUCUAAGUGAAGAUAAAUUCUGUGAGAUUAAAAGAAAUUUAGGGAUGAUUAGUGUGAAGGAAUUAUAAGAAAACCUUAGGCUCUCACAUAGAAAAUAGAAUGCUUUCAGUCAACUAAGAGUGGUCUGAUAGCCUUAAAUAAUAAAACUCGGUGAGUUUUAGAGAAAGAAGUGUAAAAUGUGGUAAAAAUUUGGGUUUACUGGGUGCAAAAAGAAUGAAGAAAAACUGUCUAAGGUAAAUAACCAGAUUUUAGAGGGAAGUUUGAAAUUAUAAAGAAAUAAAAUAAGGCAGCACUUAAAGAAAGGUGAGGAUUUUUUUUUCGUAACAGCUGCUGACUGCCUCUCCUCCUCUCUCCCUUGAAACUCGUUGCUCUAAAAAUAAAAACCUAAAUCUCCCUUUUUGCCUCUAAAAUCGACUCAAACCCUAAAAAAUUUCUACAACCAAUAUGGCUAGAACAUCUCAAAGCAAAGAGAUAUCAGAGAAAAAGAAAGGGAAAAGGCCAAUGGAGGAAGAAACAGGAACUGAAAGUCUGAAGAAGAAACUGAAAAUCAUGCCUGGUUCAGUGAAAGAUAUAUUCGAGAAACUAAGAGAAAAGAAGCAGAAAACUGGUAAGAAGAAAGAUAUAGAGCCUUCACUCCACAAAGGUACCAGUUCUUCUUCUUCAAAAUUUAGGAAUAAGUUGCAUGAGUAUAGAUUCAAAAAUAUCGAGAAUGCACCAAUCUCCUAUGGAAAGUUUAUUGAUUGGAAGAGUUUUGAGGAAAAUGUCGAAAUCCAAACUAGUUUAUCUGAGUACUUUGAUGAACUAGAAUUGAAAGGUUACAGCACCUUUAAGAAUAGGUCUUGUAGUCCAAGUCUGGUCAAAGAGUUUUACUCUGGAAUUGCUUUGAAAGGAAAGGAAUUAAUAGAUUCUGAUGAUUAUGUAGAAGAUGGGUUGAAUGUUUAUCUGAAUGGAAAAGAGUUUAUUAUGACUGUUGAGGAUUUAGGGAACCUGUUGAAAAUAGAGUAUGAAGAAGGUGAAUUUGAAUUGCUUGAAAAAUAUGAUCCGUCCUCAUUGUGGGAGAUCAUCACUAGAAGGAAAGAAAAUUAUUCUUCAAAAAGUAAUUCUGGUUUGAUAACCAGCCCUCAUAUCAGAAUUCUACAUUAUUUCAUAGUAGUUAAAAUACAAGGCAGAAGUGGAAGCCUUAGCUACAUCAGCUUUCAGGACCUUUGGCUAAUGGAGCAUGCUUUCAAUGGAGUGUUUAUGAAUUUGGGAAGAUUUAUGAUUGAGAAAAAGAGAAGUGCCUGCAGACUUGAUAAGGUAAAUCUGCCAUAUGGGAAUAUGAUUACAUCCCUUGUGCAGAAGAAGGGAAUAUGGGUAAAGAGGUAUGAUAUGGACUUGGUAAAAACCAGAGACCAAGCUAUUCAUUUUGGCAGCUUGGUUAAAAUGGGCUAUGUACUUGAUGGAGAAAGGUUCAUUAAAACCUCCAAGAUUGGUCCAAGAAAAGAACACAGCCUACCUGCUUAACCUAAAAAAGCUCCCUCCAGAUUUUAAAAUGAAGUGAUUUUUAAUUUGCUCAUGAGGAUUGAUGGUAAGCUGACUGACCAAGGAAUGAAGCUACAGAAAAUGGAAGAUAAAAUCACUAAGUUGGAAAACAAGCUGAAGGAGAAGGAAAACAUGCCAUCUGAACCUGUGGCUACAGAUAGCUCUGCCACAUCCAGCACUGCAUCUGCACAACAAGUGCUGAAAGUUUAGUUAAGUCAGCAGAAAAAUUUGCUCCUCAUGUUGGAAGUUCUAGCAUUUAGACUGAAGGUUCCACCCAUAAAUCUGCCAGUCCUACUCUACAGACUGAAGACUCUCCCCAAGGGGUUGAUCAACAAGCCAAGACACCCUCCCCUGAACCUCAAAGCAAAAAUAAUUCAGAGAUAGAGAAACACUAGGCCUCUCCUCCAAACUCAGAGGAAGUUUCCAUCAUGGAUGUCUUCCACCAAAUGGUUAAGGAGGGACAAGCUGAAAAGGACACUGCCAGGACAGAAACUCAAAAGGAUGGUGAAGGUGUAGGAAAAGGAAAGAAAUCUGCAUCAGCUACUAGAGUAAAGACAAAAGCAGGGAAAGCCAAAGCCACUGCAGCACCACCAACUGAGGCAAAACUACCAACCAAAGGCAGGAAGACCAUGGCAACUAAGACAGCUUUUCUCAAGAGAAGAAAGUCUUCCAGGUUGGUAGAGAAAUCCAGACCAGUUUCAACCUCCUCUCCAAUCCCUGUCUCAAACAAGUCCUCACCAGAACCUUCCCCAAGACAUUCAUCACCUCUCCGAGAGCCCUCUCAUUUUCCUCUCAACCUUUUCUACAGCACUGAAUCCUCACCCUCUGACACAUAAGAUGAAUAGAAGCCCCUCCUUUUGAUGCUGACAAAAAGGGGGAGUAGAGUAGAAUGGGUACACGAACCAAGAACCACAAGAACCAGGAACCAGAGAAUAAAUUUAAAAAAAAAAUGUUAGGGUAGAGGAACCAGGAAGGAACCUAGGAAAGGAAAAAAGACAGAAUCAAAGAUGAAUGAACUUAGAAAAAUAGAAGAUAGGAAGCAAAAAAAGUCUAGGGGCAGUUUCAGAAUACUUGUUGAUUAACUGUUAUUUGUGCCAUGGUGGCACUUAAACACUCAGUUUUAAUUCUAUUAUUUAUGUGGUUGUAUGUGAAAAAUGAAUGCUGAUAUAGCUAUGUUGCUUAAUUGCUAAAAAUUGAAGUCUGUUGAUAAUUUGUUAUUUUGGUAUUUUGACUGUCAUGAACAAAAUCUGCCGGUGCUAUUCUAAUAUUGAUUUACAUGCUGAUAAAUUAUUUUUGUUAUGCCAUUGCGGAUAAUUUUUGUUUGAAAAUAGAUAUAGAUGGUAUGAAUAGUAUAUCAAUUGAAACAUAAAUGAAGUGAACAAAAUUUGAAAUCAAUAAACUAUUAAUAGCUGCUGGAACAGUGAUGAAAAUCUGUCAACACUUAAAGCUGAAAGUUUAAUAAUGAUCUGCUAAUACUUACUUGCUGAAAAUCACUCUAUUUUGCUGAACAUAUGUAUACUCUAAAUGUACAAUAUCAUUUUCUAUAUGACAAGAAUAAAAUUGGCUGAAAUAAAAUAAGCAAAAUAUGCACACACUAAGGGGGAGCUUAUACUUAGGGGGAGCAAUCCUCAAUUUUUGCAGAAAACUAAAAAGAAUUAAAAUGACACUAUGCUGUUAAUCAAGGAAUGUUUUGUCAUCAUCAAAAAGGGAGAGAUUGUUGACUCCAUUAGUUUUUUAUGAUAAAAAAACAUUCCCAUUUAUGUGUGUCUAAUGCCUUUACUUGAGUGUGCAGGAAAGUAAUAUAUGAAAUUAAUUUAUUGACUCUUCAAAGAGUAUUUUUGAAAGAAAAAGAGGGAUAAAAUCAACAAGAUGUAACUAAAUAACAAGGAUCAAGCUUAUUGGUGAAACAAGGAAGAACAUUAGUUGACCAAAUUUCAAAUUGGAGAAAUGACGGGCUGAAGAGUUUGAGAAACAGAACCAAUUUAGUCAACCAAGUCAGUCGACUAAGUGCUCUUUGCCAGAAUCUGCAAACCAAAAACAGAACCAAAUUAGUCAACCAAGUUAGUCGACUAAAAGCUCUCUGUCUGUAAUUUGAACCAGAGCAUUACAAGGAAAAUUAACAGCUAGAACUCAUCCUCAACUGUUUUCAACAGAUAUAAACUGCCAAACUGCCAUCAGAGUUGCGUUGCCAAGUAUAAAAGGGUCUUCCAACAAUAAGAAAGAAAUUUUUUGAAGCCUUGAAUGAGAUUUGAGUUAUAGAAAGUAGAAAAAACCAGAAAAGCUUCACUGCACCUUACUGUACUUAAACGUCAAUCUUUGUAACAGAGUUCAGUACUUCAUCUUGUACCAUCUAGAUCAAGUAAGUGAUCAUAGGUACUUUUUUAUUACUUCUCUUGUAUUGUUAGAGUGAGGGAGUCACUCUAAGGGGUUGUUCAAGCUUGGGAUAGCUUGAUUGUUGUAGGUUGUGGUUGAGCCUUAGAAAACCACAUUGGGUUUUAAUUGAGCCCGUGAAAAACUAGUGUAAAAGUUUGUGGCUGAGCCUGGUAAAAGCUAUUGUAAAGCUUGGUGAAAGCUUGUGAAUUUCACCGGUCUAUAGUGGAUUUGUGGGAACAUCCUUGGUUGGAUAAUCAAGGUAAUGGAUGUAGGUCUUAGACCGAGCCACUCUAAAUUGCUGUGCAUUUUAUACUCUGUUUUUGUUUUCUUAAGUUCUGGAAAUUAGUUUCCAAUCUUGUUAAGAGCCAAAUUAUGCUAUUCACCCUCCUUCUAGCACAUAUUAUCAGGACCAACACAUUCACCGGUCCUCGUUGAUUCUUAAAUCGACUCCAACUGCCCCUAAUGGUCCAAAUGGAGAUGUGGGGUCUCGUUAGAACCUAUCACACAUAAUAGCAUCACAAAUCAACUCAAUUCACAUAACCAUAAUUCUAAAAGCUAUCUCCUAAAUCAUGUUCUACUAGUUAUUCCUAGCUAGCUUCCAACUACCAUUAAGUGGAUAUCUAUUUUCACUAUUCUAGUCACACUAAAAUGAAUAAACCACCUCAACUGCAAAACACUCACAAAUCUAACCACUAUCCAUUAUCAACAACUUAAAAAUCAACUCAAUUUUCAUUACUCACCUUGGUAGCUUUGUAAUUGAAUUCGUUUUCAAAAGCUUUCAAACUAUUGUGAAAAUUCUUUCUUUCUCUCUCUAGAACAUCCAACAAGUGAGAGCAAGUAUUAAGGAAAGGCUUUGGAGGGUUUUAAGGUGAAAGAGUAAAAUAGCACAAAGGACUUUGUAAAAAGGUGAAGAAAAGCAUAAAAAUUGGGGUUAACUUGAGAAAAUUUAUGGAGGUUUCAAAGCAAGCUUCCAUGGAAUGUGAGAAAAUGUGAGGAGGGAAGAAGAAGAAGAAGAAGAAGAAGUUGCUAGAAACUUAGAUAUUUAUGCCUAAUGUUUAUCCAAUUUCUCACGAAAUUACCAAAAUGCCCUUAACGAGGUCACUUUGUCUUCCUCUUACCUUUAGAUAAUCUUUUUACUUCUUUGACACUGAGACAAAGUCCAUAAUAGUCUAAAAAUACUCGGGUUCAUGAAAACUUAAAAGUUUUGACUCAAGAUGUAAAAUGACCGUUUUACCCCUACCAUGAAAAUUAUCAGUAUUUCUAUCUUCUUCAUUUAUUUUAUCAUCAUUCAUUUAUUCCUUAGGUCUAUUUAGACCUUAAUAACAUUUGAGAGCUACUUCAAGGAGCUCACCAUGAGAAAUGACGAAAUUACCCCUAGUCCAUGUUAUCGCAUUUACUUUUAAUUACGAGUCUAUAGAGGUCGAGGUCUCACACUCCUCUUGUCUCCUUGGUGCCCAAAAUACCUUAUUAUGAUGUCAAAUCACUUUUUUUAUCUUGCAAAUUCUUCCUUGAUAAAAAUAUUAUUAUUUUAUUAUUAUUUCUUCACGUGCGUAAUAUUUUAUCUCAAACUAUUCCUUUCAUCUUUUAUCACUUUUAAACAUUAUAAUUAACCUCAAUUGGCAUUCAAUAAGCUUUAUUAAUCACCAUAUCAAAUUACAAGGUAUUACAAUGCCAGUAGCUAUGUCAAGCUUAAAACCUCUAGGGAUCGACCCCUCCUUGCCAUGUGAAUAACCUUUCAUGCCUUAUUUGCAAAAAUUACAUUUCUUUGGUUUCCUUAUCCAAUCAUACUUUCAUCCAUUGAUACCACAUUAAUCCAACAACAUCAGAGUAGGAAGUUCAUGUCAAUCUAGUUAGGAAAACUCAACCAACAUUCAAAUUAUAUUAACACGUAAUUCAUUCAAACUUGUCCAACAUUUACUUAAGUUUAAGCAACAUCAUUUCAUAAAAGGUGGGAGUUUCAUUAUAUGAAUGUAAGAGGUUUGCUUGGGACUAGCGGGCUAUACCUAUCUAAAUUCUAGUGCUGGUCAUGGAACCCCAAAAAGGGAUCGUGAUAGUAUCAUAAAGGGUAUUGUUAGUAGGGGUAGCUGACAAAGCUAUAUGGUUGCUACGCAGAUUUAUUUUUGCUCAUUUGAAGUUUUUGAGAUCACAGGGGAAGGCUAUCUAGGCCACCCUUAUGUGUUUUCUUUUGUUGUUCUCAUCAUGAAUACAAAGUCAUUACCUUUCAAAAAAAAAAAGGUAACAUUUUAUAAAGUAAAUUCAAAUAGGUGGUCAAUCACACCUAAACAAAAAAUAUUGAUAAUGAUUUCAUUUAACAUUAAAUGGUUUAGUUUCGGAACCUGCACAUUAUGACACACACAACUAGAUUUUAGAUGUAAGUAGAUAUAUAAUGGGAAAAUGUUUACGGUUAGUAGUUUUUUUCUAUUUACACCAAAAUUGCUAAUAGCAAGACCAAAUAUCCAUUUGGAAAACGAGAUUGCAUUUAGUAUUUUGAUUCAAUAUGUACUACAUAGGACCCCUGCUAGCUUUAAAAAAUUUUCCUUAAUGUAUAAAUAUAAUUUACUAGAAUUAGGUGCAAUAAAUGAUACAACAUAGCAUAAUAGUUACAAGCAAGACUCAAUUAGAAAAAGAUAAGCAACCUUUUAUUCAAAGACCUCAUAAAGCAUAAAAUCCAAUUAUUAAGCCACUCUUGGGCUGAAAUUUCAAAAUCUUAUUUCAGUAAAGCUUGAUCACAUUGUUCCAUCGGAAUGGGCUCAAGGAUUGGCUUGACACAAUCUUGAUUUUCUUUGAUUUGAAUGCCAAACCAAUCGCAAUUUUGGUAGAUCCGAUGAAUACAUGGUGUCAUUUCGACAGCAACUUUGACAAUAUCGGGUGCUCGAAGAGAAUCUUUAACUAUUACUUUGUUAAAUUUUUACCACAAAUUUCUUAUCAAGCCUGUCACAUGAUUAUGUGCUUCUUCUUCCGAAACACCUUCUUGGGUCAUGUAAAAAUGGAUGAAAUUCAUUGAUUCUCCCCUUUUGAUUUCAACCUUCAAAAGAUAAGUAAUAUCUAACUUAACAAAUUAUUGAAAUAUAAUAAAAUAGGUAGCCACUAGUUUGGUAGACAAGUGAGAGAGAUUUGUUGAAACGUUAAAUUGGUACAGCAAUAAAGCAAUAGCAAUGCAGGCAAGAACAAACCUCGGCAGUGUUUAAAUCAUUAAUGAGUCGACCAAUGUAGCCAGGCAACCUAACUAAGUCAGAGACAGACCAAUGCUCCACAAAUUCUGACAAAUAAUCAUUUAUAGAGUGUCCUGCCACUCCAAAAAAGCCAUAGACAAUGGAUACAGGUACACCAAUCGAGACCCAAGCAUUCUCAAGAUAUUCAUCUGCAGUUGGAGUGUAUCCGCUGUGAAACCAUCGUGCUUCCUUGAGAUAUCCUCUAAUAUAACACAACCACUACAAAAAUUGAAUGUCAACUUGUCAGUAUAAAUUACAAUUAAUAGAUAAAGUUCUCAUUAUGUAUGUACUCCAUGCAUAAUUUCCAUUUUUUCUCUAUAUAUCUUUUUUUAAAAUUAUGUCAUUUUUUUAAACAUCUAAUAUUCUUUUUUGUAUUUUAUAAAUUAUUAUUUAUAAUUUCUUUUUUUACUUUUCAGCAUUAAAAAUUGUAAAACAUCAAUUAAUUUACAAAAUUGUUUUGAAAUUUUUUUAACAAAUAGACUAAAACUAAAGGUUUUUUUCCCUUAAUUUCUAUAAAAGUUCAAGAAAGACAAAUAAAUAAUAUUUUAUUUGGUCAUUCGAUUAUGUACCAUACCUAUUACAUUUUUUUUAGUGAACAUAGCUAUUCCUUAAUAUAGGGUAAAAUAUCCAUGCCAUUAUCUUUCAAGGCAUAUUGGACCAAUUCACUAACAUGGUUGCACAUGGCUGAGGAUACUUUCAUGUACUCUUGGAAGUUCCUCCAUUGCCUUAUUAAGAUCCCAUCUGCAAUUCGGGAAAAGUUUGUCAUUAAAAGAGUUUGGAAACGUGUACGUAGAAUGAACACAAAUUUUCAAAGCAUUGCUCAGACUAAGGAAAGAAGUUGAAAAUCUAAAUUUCUCACCUAUUUACUGCAUCUGUGUACUUCUCAAGCUCAUCAAGUGAGCCAUAUACGUCCAAUAUGUCAUCUAAGGCUGUUCCCAUGAAUCCGAAUUUCGCGAGGUUCCUCCUCAAUAGGGGUAAUUGGGGCCCCGGAGGGCAACUCCCCAGUGCCCAAAAAUAAGACUCAAGUAGCCUAUCCCGAGCGAAAGGUCGCCUUUCCUUAUAGUUCAAGUCCCUCCACCCCCUGCCCAAUCAAUUGGAAAACAGUAAAUAUCUUUACAUACAAACAGCAACUAAAUUCAAUUUGUAGACUUUAUUACAAUUUACUACCUAUUCGCGAUUUAGGGGCAUUUUCCAUUAAACCAUGUAUAUCCAUUUAACAGCACUGAUAUUUAGUAACAAUUUAAAUGAUUUAAGUUGAUGUGAAAAUUAAAUUUCUUAACUAUCACAUUUUAUUUUUACCCAUAAAAAAACUGACAUUUUAAAAUCUGAUUUAUUUUCAAUCUAAUUUAACUAAUGAUAUCUAGUAAUAAUAAUUUAAAAAUCUGAUUUCUUAACAAUGUAAUUUAAGUAAUUACUGAUGUCAAGUAAUCGUAAUUUAAAAAUCUGAUGACAAUCUUAGCUUAAAAGUUCUUUUUUUUUUCUUUUUCAGAUUUAUUUUUUAAUAGAUAAUCUUACUCCACUAGUUCCUGUACCUCCUUCAGAUAAACAGAUUGCAUGAUAUUGUAGUUCAACUUGGCAAGCUCGAGCAAAACCAAAUUCAUCUUAUCAUCAUAUUGGUAGAUAGCAAUGAAAUCUCGUGCUUCUGUCCAAGGCAUCCUCCAGUGCAGUGGAUAUUCCAGUGAUUGUUGUAUUUGCCGAGCUAUAGUCUUCUUUAGCACUAACAGAUGUUUUGUACUAAAAUUCAGGGCCUCGUCUAAAACAUCUUCUUCUGGCAUCCCAAGGUAAGAAGCUUUGUGUAAACUCAAUAGCCCAAUAACAUCUUCUCGUGAGCUGUCCAUGAAUUUUCCAUCUAUCUCCAUGAACUUAUUAAACAGAUCUGCACAUUUUCACCCCUCACAUCUUGAGUAUGUAUGUUACCCAAAUAAACAAGAAGUGGAAUCCCUUAAAUGAUCCAGCUGCAGGGUCCCUGCAAGGGCACAGCUGUUGAAAAUGCUAAAUGAAGAUGAGGCGUCGGUAAGGAUUCGAAUGCAUAGUAAAGCAAACUAUUCCUUUCAAGAUAGUUGGGUAUAGAUUGGUAAAAGAUAUUGUAUUCAUGAAUAUCUAUUUAUUGUGAUAGUUUCAAUAAAGCGAAAUAAACUAGAUUUGUCAAAAAAAAUUAAAUAAGGAGGAAAAUUAAAAUUAAAAAAGAACACGAACAUUUUGAGUCUUGUUAGCCAAUCUGAAGUGUUAAAUUGAAUGAUUGAUUAUUCCAAAAAGUUAAACUAAUAAAAAAAACUUGAUUAUUAUAUUUAAAUUCUAAUACACUUCUUCACAUGUAUUUCAGAUGAAUAUUUAAUGGGCUUGCAGGUGGACUCAAGUGUAGAAAUAAGCCACGCCCAAAAAAGGAUUAAAGAAGUAUUGUAAAGUUCAAUUUGUAACCAAACACUCGAAACAAUAUUAAAAGGAGAGUAACACAUUUUCUAACAUUCGAAAUCAAAGCUCUAAUAUUAUAUUAAGUUGGGCGUUCAAUUAUUUCAAAACUUUAGUUGAUAGGAAAGGGACAACUAUCAUAUUUAAGUUUAACACUAGGCUUGACAAAAAAAGAUGACCAUAAAUUAAAUAUAGUGUCCUUUAAUGAAACGCUAUUCAAAAUGAUAAAAAAAUAAGUUAACUAUAGUGAAAACAUUUUGCGCAUAUAACCUGUACCAAUGAAGAAACCAUUUUGACGUAUAAGUCUAAAUUGCAAGGCGGCAGUGUAAAGAUCAGUGGCAAUGUUGGCAUCAACAAGUUUAGCGAGAAUAUCCUUGAUAUCCUUCUCAAAGUGGUAAGCCCCUCCUAAGCGUUGCAUUGUAUUGAUCAGAUCCAGUUGGUCACGUGGUUCUUUCAUGCUAGCAAGUAAAUCCCCAGCACCUUGCUUAAGUUCCUCAAGACGAGUGACAUGGUUCUCGAACUGCAAAGUUAACCAAAAUAAAGUGGUGCAGGUUAAACACAGAGUAAUUCUAAGGUGAUGAAGCUUGGGCAUCUAAUGAAAGUAAACUUACUGAGUAGGGUGUGGUGAAGGACUUGACGAGUUCAACAUCCCAAACAGUGGGAAGGUUACCUGCUGAUCGUUGUUCAAUACCUUCUGCUUCCAUGGUAAUACUAAAAUGAUUAAUAUUGCGUUGUAACUCGACCGGUUACAGGUAUUUAUAUAGAGAUGCAAUGAAGAAUUUAUCCAUAACAUAACAGAGGAUAAUAAUUAACAGCAGAAAUAGUAGAACCCACAAAUAGUUCUAAAUGACAAAACAGCAUGUCUUUCGGUUUUGUUAUUCAAAUAAUUAAUUUUUAAAUUAUUUACUUAUAUAUAAGCAUUAUACCAACAAAUAGAAGAACCCACGUGUAAAUCUUUUUGAUGGAUAUGCAUCAAACAUAAUUGGAGAUUUGUACUACGGAUUGAUAAAAAUCCAUUUGACUUAUUCAAAUUCUGAUCCGAUUUAAUUUGAUUUGAUUAGAAAAAAUCAUCAAAAUGUUAUGAAUAUUUUUGUGAAUAUUUAUUUAUACCAUGUAUAUCUAGAGUUGGAUGUAAAUUAGAUUGGAUGAAUAUUAAGAUUUAAUCCAUCUAAUCCCUUAGUAUUAUCUUCUUCUUGUAAAUUCAAUAUAGAUAAGGGGUUAUUAGCCUAUAAUAGGCCUCUUCACUUCAUUUGUAAAUAAACACUUGAAUAAGAUCUUCUUACUCCCUCUAAAUACUUUCUCUUUCCUCUAAAUACUUUCUUUUAUAUUUCUCUUGUAAUUGUUCUUUCAGAUUUAUUUCAUAACACGUUAUCAGAACGAUUAUCCGAUCUCUCAAAUUUUAGAAUUAUUAUGUUUUCAUCAUCUUCAAGCUCCAAAAGAAUUUCAAUGAUUGGGUUUUGAUUUCUGAUUCUAGAGAAUCAGGUAAGUGACUUGAUAUCUCUUUAGUAUUUUCAUUCUUUUAAAAUCAACCUUAAUAUGAAUUUUACUAUUAUGUUGUAUAUAUUAUAUUUUGUCCCUUGAUUGGAAAGUGAAUUUGCUAUUAUAUAGUUCAUUCCCUAAAGUGAAUGUGACAAACGAGUUGCUAAUAAAAAACUUACAUCUCCUUACCUUAUUUGUUGAGUUUGUAGGUUUGGAAAGCAUGAAGAUAAGGAGGAUAAAAUGGUACAAAUUACUCUUAUUUAAGUAACUAAAAUUUUAAUUACCUCUCCUUUAAUAUGCUCAAAAGCUAAUCUAUAUUCAUUUAAAUAAAUUUAAUUUCUAAAAUUAAAUAACUUGAUGAAUGAAGAUACGCAAUUGAAAUGGUAAAAAUUAAUUCAUAUUCAUAACUCUAGGCAACACUCAAAUAUUAUUCAAUUGCACCAUUUUAUUUGAUUAAUCCAUAUUCAUUUAUAAUAUUAUUCAAUUGCAAUCACAUUACUUACAAUCACAUUACUUGUAAUCAAAUAGCAUUGUAAAGUAACAAACGCCACCAUAAUAUGAUUGCAAGCAAUAUGAUUAUAGGAAAAAAUAACAUUACAAUAUUUGGUAUACAAGCAAAAUAAUAAUUAAAAUGUAGGGAGAUAAUAUUACAGCGUUUGAUUUACAAGUAUUUUGAUGUAAAUGUAAUAUUAAUUUUCAAAAUUACCCUUACUAUUAAAAUGAAAAUUUAAUAUACUUGUAUUUUUUAUUGUUAAUUUUUAUAUAAUAUCAUCUCUUAAAUAUAUUUUUAAUGUCAUAUAUUUUAUUUUCAUUUCUUAUUAUAAUCUUAUAUAUUUUAUUUUCAUUUCUUUAAUAUAAUUUUUUACAUUAUAUAUUUAUUUAUUUUAAUUUCUUUUACCUAUAUUAUAUAACUUUUAAUUUCUUAUAUUUUAUUUUAUUUUAAUUUCUAAUUUUUAUAUUAUAUAUUUUAUUUUAAUAUUUUUUAUUUUAAUUAUAACAUUAGAAAAUGUUUUUAAUAAAGUAAUAAAGUUGAAGGGUAAAAAUGUCUUUACUAACAUUGCAGAGUGCAAUGUAAUGGGAUUGUAUUGGUUUUGGAUUGUAAUCACAUUACAUUACUUGGCUACAAUGUGAUUGCAUUGCAAUCUUACAUUGCAGUGGUCUGUUGCAAAAACAAAUAUUGCAGUGUAAUUUAAUUUGACACAUUAUAGGGAAUGGGCUCCCACUUCUCUUAUACCAAAUGCUACAUUAAAGUAGUCAAUUCCCAUGAUUCGUAGGGUAGCUUCUUGAUGUUAGAAUAAAAGAUAACAAGAAUUUCAAGUUUUUUCAAACUUCUGGAUGCCCAAGCUUUCUCCAAACGACAACGUACUAAGUAUAGAGUUCGAAGGUUUGUUAAGAAUUGAAGUCCUUCUAACAACAAAAGAUUCUUGUAAGAACUAAAACUUUAAGGGUUUUCAUUCCUUCAAAGAACAUAAUUGGAACUCUUGUUAAACUGCCUUUGUGAUAUUGAUAACCAUAACUCAACAAGAGAGUUUUGAGAUGUGGAUACUCUAUUUUGUGAAGAAGAAUAUUUAUGUUACUCUUUAUUAAUGACAUUGUUGUGUAGCUUUCAAACCUUUCAUUCCUAGGCCAUUUCUCUAACUCACUUUUCACCAUGAAUGUGUUUUCCCCUUCUGAUUUCAUCCAAUGAAUAAAAUCAUGAGCCACAUCAUGCAUUUUCACAUGUCUUUUAUUACUACUUUCCAACAACAAACCUAACUUUUGGAGGUUUUUUUUAUUGUUACAUGCAUUUCCCUCCUUGCAUCUUCAAGUUAACAUCGUCGAACAUUCCUUCCCCAAUUCCAUACAUAGUUAAUUGGUCGAUACUAACUUCAUAAUCUUCUGGGAAAAGAAUAACACAAUAAUCAACAUGAAUGACUAUUGUUUCCUUUUAAAUAAUCAUAACUAAUCUGAAGUCCGUUGUAGAUACCUCCACAAACAUCUUGAUUCUCUUUAUGUCUAGAGCCUUUUAGUCAUUGAUUUACUACUUCCCACCCAUCUAGAGUUUCAGUUUUCAAAGCUCUUCCCACAAUCACAAUUGUAAGAGGCAAACCCUUGCAUUCUUCGGCAACCUCCUUAGCUACAUCAUGCAAAAGGGAAGUGACAUCUUUUAACCGAACAUUAUCUUUGAAUAAAGCCCAUGCUUCAUGUUCAGAUAAGAUAUUGAGCAGAACAUCCUUUUGACAAUUCAUUUGAGUGAAAACUUGUUUAAGGCAGGUGGUUAGAAAAAUUUUGCAACCAUUGUGAUCAUCACCGAAUGGAAUUCUGAUAACCUUCAAGUCAAGUUCUUCCCAAACAUCAUCAGGGAUUAUAAGGAUGCUAUUCACCUCUUUUAUUCUCAACAACAAUUGCUCUGCUUUUCCUUUGAUAGCGUUCUUUUUAAAAGCUAAAUCUAAUAAGUUUGCGAUUUUGUCUUGAAUAUUGUUGAAAUUUGGAGUUUGGGACACGGUUGUGAUCACAACUUUAUGGAAAAGUUGUUUGGCUUGGUUUCCCACUUCUUUUGCCAAAGUGCUUUUACCGUCUCUUCCCAUCCCAUAUAGUCCAAUCAUGUUGAGAAGAAUUCGAAGAUUCAGAAGACAUGAAAUCCUUAGAUGGAAUGAACUCUAAUCCUAGAAUAGUAGCUUGGUAACCUACUCGUUGAAAAUUACAAGUCUUUAAAAGUUGAGAGAUAGAAAGUGUCUUCUUCGCUACUUUCUUACUUAAUCAAUAAUGCUAACCGCAACAAGGACACUAAUUGAAACACUUUUUACAUUCUAUUUCAUUUUCCAAACUUUGAGCUUCUUCUAGUUCUUUCUCUGCCCUUGUUAGCCAGUCCUCAACGUCCUUCUCAAUUACCUCAGUUUGCCUUAAAGCCUCAUCAACAUCAUUUUUCACCCGAUCUUUUCUCAAUUCAAGUUGGUUUUGCCGAUUCUUGAACUGCUCAACAAUUUUGCCCAAACGAAUAAAGCAAUUGACAUAAGGUGAUGCGUAUUUAGUUUCCAGGUUCCCUACAAUGUUGGCAGCAAUAGCAAACUCAGCAGCCAUUCUUUGAUGAUUUGAGAUUGAAAAGCAACUUUGAUGAGAAAAAAGAAAAGAAAAGUGACUUCAAUAAGUAAAAAGUGUUACAGAGAGAUAAAUACAAUUAAUGAAAGAGAAAAUUAUGAAAGUUGGUCGUCUUCAAAACUUGACUUCAAAAAUAACCAUCAAAAUAAAAUUAACUGUUUUUAGCCAUAUUUAACCAUAACUUGACAAAAAUAUCUUUGAAACCAUUUCAAAUAAAUUAAACUAUUCACUACAAUUGCUCUCGAUUAUCGUAUCUGCUUUAGAUUUCUCUCUCUCACCAUUCAGCUCUCUCUAAUUUAUCGAUUUCUCUUUUCAACAUUUGUCUAUCGUGCUCUUGAUUUUUCUUUCCUAUGCUUUCAGGAUGCCAAGAGAUGAUUUUAAUGUGCUUGGGGUGGGUGGCUAUUUAGAAAAUUUGAUUUUAGGUGUUUUGGAUGAAACUAAAAUUAUAGAAAUGAUCACAGAUGUUUGAAAUAGUUUUUAAUUGAAUCAAUUCGGGCCUAAACACUAAUAAACUCAAGAAUUUAAAAUUUAUAAUUCUAGGGUUUCAAAGGGAAUUUUUUUCAAUUUUUAGUUAAAAUAUGUGUUUUAGAUUAGGAAAAUUGUGUUUUGAUUUAUGAAAACGUGUUAGAAACAUUUUAAUCAGUGCCAAAUCGUAAAAAAAAAAAAAGAAAUGAAGAGAGUUGAAAAGAUUUGAAGUUUUGGUUCGUAGGUAACAACAACAUUUCAAGCAUUAAAGUGUAACAAAAUUUUUUAAACAUGGUGUGUAACAAUAAUAUUUUUUCAAUAUGGUGUGUAACAACAUCAUUUUGUUCAACAUGGUGUGUAACAUAGUUUUGUACAUGGUGUGUAACAACAAUUUUUUUUUUUUCAAUAUGGCAUGUAACAACCCUUUUUUAACCAUAGCGUGUAACAUAUUUUUGAACAUGGCGUGUAAUAACUUUUUUUAACCAUGACAUGUAACAUAUUUUUGUACAUGGCGUGUAACAAUAAUAUUUUUUUUCAACACGACAUGUAACAUCAUGUACACUUGAUAUAAAGAGGUUUAAUACAUGACGUAUAAUAUGUUUUUGUACAUGGCAUGUAACAUUAUGUGCACUUGAUAUAAAGAGGUUUCAUUAAGGGUAAUUUUGUCAAACUUAGUUAAACAUAAUUAAAAUUAUAAAAGGGUUAUUUUUUUAAAACAUCUUAUCUUUGAGGACUAUUUUUUAAAAUGCCCCAUUAUGAAAUAUUUACAAAUUAAGUACCUUACCUUCUGAGCAAUAUCUUAAUGAAAAUGUGAGUCACAUGAGAAUAAAUUGUCGAACGACCAGCUUGAAAAUUGAAAAUGCAAUUGACAACUUCCUUAUGAAACAAAAGCUCUGCAGAUGAAGAACAUUUUUAUUUCUUCAAGUUUGUUUUAUCAAUAAUCAAUUGAUUUCAUUUCACUCUUUGUUUAAGAUUUACUAGCCUAAUCUCACCCAUAUAAACAAAAUCAAUUUCGAAUUGUUUAUGCUUUCUAGUUUAGUGAUAUUCAAUGGCUGGAGGCCAUGAGUUCAUGGAUGAAGUAUGGAUAAUCGUCAAUUAAUUAACAAGGCAGUAGAAAUGUAUUUAUAUAGUUAAAAUCAAAAUAAAAAAUUGGAGCCAAAGCCUUUUACCCUUUUUAUAGUUGAUGCUCCUUCCAUCUUUCAUCACUUGACUUUCUCCUUGGUCUUUGAGGUGAUGGCCUUGGAGUACUAGUGGCUUCUUCCAAUAAUUAUUAGUCAUUUUACAAUUAUGAGAAAAUACCUUAUUUAAACAUCUAUAUAAUAUAUUGUCCUUUUCUAAAUAAUGAAGACCUCAAUAAGCUAAGUUUUAAAUUGAUUAAAUUAUGGAAAACUAUUUAAUAAAUUGCUGAUGGAGUUUAAAAUCUCUACCAGUCGAGUUAAAAGGUUGUCAAAUAUCUUAUUAAGUGCAUUUAAAAAAUUAAUAAUAAAUUAAUAUGAUGAAUAAAAAGAUACGUGACAAUAUUCUAAUCUAUCUUGUGUUGUUUAGAAACUAAACUGAUAAUGUAUAAAAUAUUAUUCUAAAUUUCCCAAGAAUAAUUAUAUUUUAUGAAGACUAACACGCCUAUUUUUCGAAGUGGUAAGAACUAAAAGCGUAAUCAACCACCUAUUUAUUGAUGUAUAAACAGUAAAGAUGGUUAGGAAGUUAAUACAAACGAACCACCCAAAAAUUAACAAGUAAAAUAGAAGAAAGAUGGAAGAAAGAAAUGAGAAUACUUGGUAAUUUGCUAACAUGUAGCAGCAGCAGCUAGUAAAAUUCAGAUUAUGCUUUAACGUAGUUUUACAUUCUUGUUACACUGUAUUGUGAUUCUUCUGAUGCAACGUUGCUCAUUUUGCAUGGAGCCUUCCAAACCAAAGAAAGUAAGAAGAGUAGGUACAGGAAAUUUAAUUAAAUAUUGGCAACUUGGCUCAACGUCGUCCCAUUGAGAAAGCUACAAUGCCUAAGCUACUUCAAUGCAUUGAGAAACUUUGUUUUAUUUAUUGUUUUCCAGCUACAAUCCAAAACAUUGUUUUCAUUAAUAGUGUAGAAAUAAAUUUGUUAGAGAUCCUUUGAUUUGACAACUUGUAUACAAAACAAGAAUUUUGGAAAUGGCAACCAUUGUGUUUACACUGAAAAUAUAGAGCUAUUAUUUAUAUAGAGAGACAUGUGAGGUUUAUAUCAAUCACAAGAGCUCGAAGUACAUUUUUCAACAAAAGCGUCCUUAACCUUAAACAACAUCGAUGGAUAGAGUUACUUCAAGACUAUAAUUGCACCAUUUUGUAUCACUCCGACAAGACAAAUGUGGUGAUGGUGUAGACACCUCAUUUUGUCCAAGUCAAUUUAAGUCAUUAUUUUUAUUUUAUUUUAUUUGUAUCCAUAUUUAUUUAGUAUUGGGUCAAAUUAGGUGUGGGUUUAAGUGAUUAAGCCCCUUUAGGAUGGAAGUUUAAUUAAAAGGUUAGGUCUUUUGAGCUUUUAAAUCCAAAGUGUUUUGGGCCACUAUUACAUGAACCUUUCUUGGACUUUCCAGGUCCAAAGGCCUUUAAUUAAAUGGAUUUAAUAAUAAAACAAAAAAAUAGAGAGAAAAUCAAUAAAAUAAAAAAUAAAAAAAAAAACAACAAAUUUGAAAAAUGGAGGUCAUUGCUAAAAACCUACCAUGGCAACCGCUACCUUGUGUGUAUUGAGUCAACCUUGUAUAGGGCUAUGACAAGGUAGAAUUCCUUAGGAGAGUGAGUCUUUUGUACCUCUAAGGGAGAUGUUGCCCACUUUCAAACAUUGCAAUGGCUCUUGGUGACAUCUUUAGAAAUACUUGUUAAGUCUUUAGGGGAGAAAACCCUUUAGGAAAAGAUUGUUCCCAUCUCAAGCAUUGUAAUGGCUAUUAGCGAAAUACUUAAAAAAUCUUGUAAACUCUUUAUAGAGGGUGUGCAGUUGACAGGCUGUUGGGCUAUCUCACUGGUUUAGGUACGUUUGUGGCUAACCAUCUAGGGGUGCCCCUAUAGCUCGAUGAUGGUGCGUUCCUUUUCUUGGUUCCUUUGUACUUAUUUGCAAUAUUAAUAUAACACAAGUGGUUGCAUAUAUGGCAUUUGGUAUGCCUUUUGAUUUUAAUAUUGAUUUCCAUGACUUAACUCAUGGCUAUUAUUCAUGUUGUUCAAAUAUAAUUGAACAAUUGGGUAGCUUGAGUAGAAAUGUCCACCCAAGUGCUGCACGGAUUAUCAUGUACUUAAGCAAAUACGGCGUAGUAUGUGACAGUUGGUAUUAGAGCAUGGGUGAGAUGUGCUAAGCAAAACAAUAAUCAUGGUGACCACAUAGAGUUCACCAAAGGACCAUCAGAAGAUUGAUGAGCUAAAGACCGUGGUGACCACAGUAAAAGCUUAGAUGGUCCCACGUGAGUGAAUAAAUAAAAUUGAGACAGUCUAGCAAAAACUGUCCAAGAUUAUUAAUACCUUGAAUGAUGAGACCAAGGAUGUGUUGAGCACUCUCCAAGGCGAGAUUGGAGAAUUGAAAACUUAAGCAAAUCUUUUGGUUAUUGUUGCAGGUAAUACUAGUGCAAACUAUAGUCGAAAAAGUCGAGGAAGAGUCAACAUGAAUGGGUUCCAUUCGUUUCCUCAGCGCCUUACAAGCGCAAUUGGAAUAGAUGGAGAAGGAGGCCCAAUGAGGUUUAAUGUAUGUAAAGGUGUCAUUGAAUGAGAAAAGAACCAAAGCCAUGCUUGACACAAAGGCCUCAAACACUUUCAUCACCUACGGAUAAGUAAAGAAUUAAGGUCUAAAGAUUCAGAAAGACUUUGGACAGAUGAAAGCAAUUAACUCACCAACCUUCGUUAUUAUGGGGAAUUCAAAAAUUGUGAAGAUCAAGUUCAACUCUUGAGAAGGGAGUGUAAAUUUGACUAUAGCUACUAUAGAUGACUUUGACUUUGUCUUUGGUUUGGAUUUCAUGACAAAGGCAUAGGCCAUUCCAUUUCCUGUGGCUAACUACUUGAUGUUUUUGGGAAGACAACCAUGUGUGGUACCAAUUACAAUCCUACCUAAGAGUGAGAAGAAGGUUAUAUCUUCCAUUCAGUUCAAGAAGGGGAUUAAAAGAGGAAAACUGUUUUAUGUGGCGAUUUCGAUUUAUAAAGAUGGAAGAAGCCAUGAUCUAGUACUUGUAAGACUAAAGUUAGUUUUGGAAGAAUUUAAGGAUAUGAUACUAGAACAAUUACCUAAAAUACUACCACCUUGACUAGCAAUUGAUCAUGAGAUAGAACUAUUUCCGGGAGUUAAGCCUUCGACAAAGGGACAGUAUAGGAUGGCUCCCCCAAAGCUAGCAGAGCUAAAGAAGCAACUUAAUGAGUUGAUACAAGCAGGAUUUAUUUAACCUACAAAAGCACCUUUUAGGGCACCGGUACUAUUUUAGAAGAAGCAAGACGAAAGUUUAUGGUUGUGAGUAGACUCCCGGGCUCUAAGCAAGGUCACAGUAUGAAACAAAUAUCUUAUGCCUUUAAUAGCAUGUUUGUCUACCCAACUGAGUCACACAAACUAUUUAUCUAAAUUAGAUCUUAGGUCUGGCUAUCAUCAAGUUAGAAUUGCUGAUGUGGAUGAACCAAAAACCACUUGUGCCACACGGUACAGUGCAUUUGAAUUUCUUGUUAUGCUUUUUGAACUAACUACUGCUCCUGCCACAUUUUGUACAUUGAUGAAUCAGGUUUUUCAUGACUACUUGGACAAGUUUGUGGUAAUCUACUUGGACAACAUCGUAGUAUACAAUUCAACAUUAGAAGAGCAUAAAAAACAUUUGCGAAAGGUGCUUCAAAGGCUUCGGGACAAUCAAUUAUAUGUGAAAAGUGAGAAGUGUGCUUUUACGCAAACCAAAAUUCAGUUUCUAGGCCAUAUCAUUGAAUAGAGUCAUAUCCAAAUGGAUAUACAAAAGGUGAAGGCCAUUAAGGAGUGGGUGACCCUAAGAAUACAACUGAACUUCGUUCAUUUUUGGGGUUAGCUAAUUAUUACCAGGAUUUGUGGAAAGUUAUUCAAAAAGGAUGGUGGCAUUCAUGAAAUUGAUGAAGAAGGGGCAAAAGUGAAGUUGGACACUGCAGUGCCAAGCAGUUUUUGAAAGCCUAAAACAAGUCAUGAUGAUAGACCCUGUUUUAGCCCUCUCAAACAUCAAAAUGCCUUUUGAGGUACAAAUAGAUGCAUCAGACUUUGCUCUUGAAGAAGUAUUGUUACAAGAAGGAUACCUAGUUGCAUUUAAGAGUCGAAAAUUGAAUGAAGUCAAGAGAAAAUACAUUGCACUAGAGAAAGAACUUUUAGCAGUGAUUCAUUUUCUACGGGUGUAGCAACAUUACUUGUUAAGAUCUUAGUUCAUGGUUAAGAUAGACAACAUAACUGUAAACCACUUUCUCACAUAGCCAAAACUUAUAGCUAAGCAAGCAAGAUGACAAGAGCUCUUGACUAAAUUUGAUUUCUCCUUUGAGCACAAAGCCAGAAAAACCAACUGUGCAGCAAACGCCCUAAGUAGAAAGGUUGAGUUCAUAGCUCUUAGGGUAAUCGAGCCAAUGAUAGGCAACAAAGUGACCACAAAUAUCCGUAAUCUUGUUGAAGAAAACUUGCAUUGAGAUCCCCAAGCAAUUUCCAUUAUAAAGUUGGUUGAGAGUGGAAAGUCAAAAUACUUUUGGGUGGAACAUAGACUCCUACCAAUAAAAGGACCACGUUUAUUUAUUCCAAGAGCGAGAGAGUUGAGAUAGAAGUUGAUGCAGGAAUGUCACAACACCUCUUACGCAAGACACUCAAGUUGGCAGUGGAUCGUUACAUUACUAAAACAAGGUUACUAUUGGCCUCAUAUGUAGCAGAAUGUGAUAGAUUAUGCCAAGACAUGCCUCAUUUGCUAAUAAGACAAAGUAAACAAAUAGAGAUUAAUGAGCAUGCUCGAACCUCUACCAGUGCCAACCAAACAAUGAGAAAAUAUUUCUCUGAACUUCAUAGUAGGACUUCUUAAAGUGAGAGAUAUGAUAGCAAUCUUGGUAGUGGUGAACCGUUUCUCGAAGUACGUGAUGUUCAUCCCAUGUAGAAGUUUGGUUAUACAGAAGAAAUGGCUUGUAUAGGUUUUAAACAUGUGAUAAAAUAGUGGGGUGUUCUUAUGAGUAUUAGUAGUGACAGGGAUCCGAGGUUUACUUGUUUCUUCUAUACAGAGUUUUUCAAGCUAUUGGGGUCAGAACUCAACAUAUCUUCUAAUUAUCACCCGUAAAUAGAUGACCAAACAGAACGCUUAAACGAGUUGUUAAAAGAAUAUCUACGACACUUUGUAUAGGCGAACUAGAAGAAUUGGCCCAACCUGCUAGAUGUGGCCUAACUAUGUUUUAAUUCGUACAAAGCUCAAUGACUAAUAAAACCCUUUUUGAAGUCAUCAUUGGAUAGCAACCUAGACUUCCCCAUACCUCAGUGGAAUCAUAUAGUGGAAACAGUCCUCGAGCCUUUAACUUUGUAAAGGAGUGGAGACAAAACACUAAUAUUGCCAAAGCCUAUUUAGAGAAAGCCUCCAGUCGCAUGAAAACUGGGCAGAUAAAGGUCAAAAGAAGCAACACUUAAAGACAUGAGACCUGGUGCUAGUGAAGUUGGUACCUGAACAACUUUGAUUCUUAAGAAAGAGAUAUUGAAGACUAAUGCGAAAGUCUGAAGGCCUAGUACCAAUUAUGGUAAAGGUGGGGAAGACUUCCUACAUGAUUGAUUCACCCAAGUUGAUGAAGGUACACCUUGUAUUUCACGUCAGCAACCUAAAACCAUUCCACGUAGAUCCAACAGAUGUAAGUAGGAGUCAAGCCAUGAAAGCCACUAUCAUCACCAAACCACUAUCAUAGCGCAGAAUAGAGGAGAUCUUGGCAAGGAUAAUGACAAUAAUCAACUAACGACCAACACAAGAGUAUCUGGUGAGAUAAGAAGGUUUGGGGCCAGAUGAAAUCACUUAGGAGAAGGAAAUUGAUCUCUGCAGCUCAAAACAGAAAAUUGGAGUAUUCUAAGCCAACUAGUGAACGAGGACGUCGAUAGAUUGAGUCGGGGAGGAUGUCAUGAGCCAACCUUGUAUAGGGCUAUGACAAGGUAGAAUUUCUUAAGAGAGUGAGUCUUUUGUACCUCUAAGGGAGAUAUCCUUUACUUUCAAACAUUGUAAUGGCUCUUGGUGACAUCUCUAGAAAUACUUGUUAAGUUUUUAGGGGGGAAAACCCUUUAGGAAAGGAAUGUUGCCAUCUCAAGCAUUGUAAUGGCUAUUGGUGAAAUGCUUAUAAAAUCUUGUAAAUUCUUUAUAAGGGUAAGUAGUUGGUGGGUUGUUGGGCUGUCUCACUAAUUCAAGUGCAUCUGUGGCUAGCCAUCUAAGGCUGCCCCUAUGGCCCGAUGAUGGUGCGUUCUUUUUCUUAGUCCUUUUGUACUUAUUUGCAAUAUUAAUAAAAUAUUUUCUUUUAUAUAACACUGGUGGUUGUAUAAAUGGUAUUCGGUAUGCCCUUUGAUUUUAAUAUUGCUUUCCAUGCCUUAACUCAUGGUUAUUAUUCAUGUUGUUAAGAUAUAAUCGAGCAAUUGACUGGCUUGAGUGGAAGCGUCCACUCGAGCGCCACAUGGACUAUCGUAUACUUAAGCGAAUAGGGGGUAGUUCGUGACAUUGUGCCUCAUGCUUUCCCCUUUUGCUCGAGCACUGGUUUGGAAUUUCUGAAUCCUUCCCCAAAAUGGAAACACAAUAAAAACACGCAAACUAAAAGAUGAUGAAACUAAGAAAAGAUAGGGAAAAGACAAGUCAAAUGCUACCAAUGGCAGUAGUCAAGCCUCUUGUUCGCUACCAAUGGGAGCAACAUCAAAGUGAUCCCCUCUCCUUUAGUUAUAAAACUAGGAGAUAGGAGCAUGGUGAGGGGGAAAAAGAAUCCUUAAAAGAAAAGAAGGAGAAUAUAACAAAUUUAAUAGAUAGCCCAUCACACCUUAUAAAAAAAAAAUUGGUGACAACUCCAAAACCUUCACAUCAAGAUGGACGGAUUCCCAAACUUGCACGUAAUAACAUUAAAAUUUGUUUUGAUGUCGUGGGUUUUGAAUUUUGUCUACUGUGAUUGCUUUGAGUAUGUUUUUUGCGGGCUUCAGGCUGCGUGAUUUUUUUUUUUGAUGGUUGCUAUUUGGCUCCCGAUAUGGUGGUUUUUGUGUAUGGAGUUUUUGAGAGCUUUGAUGCAGGAUUGAUGUGGUUGUGAUGUACGUCUCGUUUAUGAGACUCUAUUGAACAUUUGUAUCCUUGCCAUGAUUCAAUGAUAUUUAAACAUUUUAAAAAAAAUGCUUGAAAUUAAAUCAUAGAAAAUUUGGCUCUCCCACCAAAACAACUUGGUGAGACCAAAACCCCUAAAGAAUUAUUGAUGCCCAACUCUCUCCAUCUAUUAUUUUGCGGCUGUGGCUGUCUGAUUCAAAAGCUUGCCGUGGACCAGCUUUUGCCGCCUGGUUUGACUAAUUGAAUCCAUAGCAACUGUCGACAUGAGCACAUAUUCCCAUUGACUAAAGAUAUACUUACUGUACAUUUUUCAACUCUUCAUUUCAGAAAUAAUGGAUAUGGAGCAAAUUGUGGCUUGGAGAGAAAUAAUUGGACGAAUAAUAGAUGGAUAAAAUCUGUUAUUAAAGAGAAAUAAAAUAUGCUGAUCAAUCAUGGUUGGAUGCAAGUUGUUAAUAAUUAAACAGAAAUAAAUAGUUUAGCAGUUUCAAAAUCCAAAAGGUUAUCAAUAUAUAUAAUAUGCUAAUGCUAUGAAAAAUCCAUAUAUCUAUAGCAGCUAAUUAAGUUUACCCAGGCGAAAACAUUUAUAUGGCACUCCAAGCCAGUAUUUUCACUAAGUCCUGCUUCCACCGAGGCGUUUAUAUGCCAACUCUUCCGUCCAAAUUUCGGGGGAGACAAUGCUUGGCUUCCACAAACUCAAUGGCUGCAGCAGCCCUGCAAGGCUCUCCGCUGUCGGCAAACACUCACCAAGAAGUCUUUCGUCCUUUGGCAGACUUCCCCCCGGAUAUAUGGGGCGACUGUUUCAUGUCUCUCUCGCUCGAUAACUUGGUAACUCACGUUUCUCACGUAAAUUAUAUGCAUUUGUAUGUUAAUUUUCACAUUUAUUAUAUACGAUAUAAGUAAGUGUUUAUAGAUAAACAAACAAAAAUAGAAUAUAACAUGUUUUUCGUAAAAAAAAAAAAAAGAAAGGUAAAAGUACGAUAGUUGGAAAAUUAAUAAAUAUGAAACAGAACAAACAUGAAACUUUUUGGUGUUUGAAAAAGAAAUAAAAACAUGAUUGAAAGACGUAUGAAAGUACAAAUAAUCAACAGUUUAUUUGAAAUUGAGGAGUAAAGUAUGAUAACGAGAAAGUAUCGAAGAUCUCUAAUUAUUGUACCUUAAGUUGCUUUCCUUGUGCGUUCUGCAGGAAUUUGAAUCACUCUGUAGACAAGUAGAGGUGUUGAAAAAGAAGGUGAAGGGCAUGUUAUCGGCUCCGAGUGACCAAGUAGAAAAAAUCCUCUUGAUCAACUCUCUAUGCCGCCUUGGAUUAUCGUACCACUUUGAGAAUGAGAUUGAAGAGCAAUUAAGUUACCUUUUUGUUUCAUUAUCUAAACAUAUGGAUGAUAAAGACUAUGACUUGGAAACAGUUGCAGCGAUAUUUCAAGUUUUCAGGCUACAUGGUUAUCGAAUGCGCUGUGGUAAGUCUCAUUUACGAAUAUAUGUAUAUGCAAAUUUUAUUGAAUUAGUUCAUUAAGAACAUUUUUUAUCACUAGCAUGCAAUGAAGGAUGCUAGCUAAUCCAAUAUUGGAUUUUAUAUCAGAUGUGUUUAACAAGUUUAAGGAGGGUGAUGGUGAGUUCAAGGAAGUGUUAGCUAGUGAUGUCAAGGGCAUCCUAAGCUUGUAUGAAGCUAGCCAGUUCAGAAUAAAUGGCGAGAAAAUUUUAGAUGAAGCCCUUGCUUUCACAACGAAGCACUUAGAGUCCUUGACAGACCAAUCAAGUCCCCAUCUUAGAGAAUACAUAGGAAACGCUUUGAACCGACCUUAUCACAAAGGCAUGCCGAGAGUGGAAGCAAGGCAAUAUAUAACUUUCUAUGAAAAAGAAGAAUCGCCCAAUGAAACAUUGCUCAAGCUCGCAAAAUAUGAUUUUAACCGAGUCCAAUUUCUACACCAGCAAGAAUUAAGCAUCCUUUCGAGGUUAAUAUUAGUUCUAAGCUUUAAGGAUGAUAGGUGCAAGGUAUUCUUCUUUUGAGAUAAACAUGUUAGAUGAUAAUUGAUUGCAAACUCUAUUAUUUGUGUUGCAGUUGGUCCAAAGACUUGAACAUAGCAUCACAACUUUCUUACGCCAGAAACAGAACGGUGGAGAUCUUUUUUUGGACAGUUGGAUUUUAUUUCGAGCCACGUUAUGCACUUGCCCGAAACAUAUUCACUAAGCUGCUGAUCAUCUUAGGAUUUAUAGAUGAUACCUAUGACGCAUAUGGUACCUUCGAAGAACUCCAAUGUUUCACAGAUGCAAUACAAAGGUACCCUUUUUAUCCUUUCCUUUUUUAUACAAGUCUUUCUUUCCAUUUGUUUCACAUAUGGAAGGUUUUUUCUUUUUUUUUCUUUCGAUGAUGUCUGAUCAAGUAAAUUCUUCAUGUUUAGGUGGGAUAUUAGUGCCCUUGAUCAGCUGCCCGCAGAUUAUUUGAAAUUUCUUUAUGGGGCACUCCUUAAUGUUUAUGAUGAAGUGGAUAGAAUGGUGAGCAUGGAUGGGAGAUGUUACAGCAUGUCUUUUACCAAAGAUGAGGUGAUCAUUCUUUCUUAUCCUCCACCUAGUUACACAAUUAUCGAUAGUUUUAUUUACAUUGAUGAGAAGCAUAUAUCUUAGAGUAAAGUUGUGUAUAUGUUACUUCCAAAGCUAUGCAUACUUAUGAUUUUUGUCCCUAUGGUUUCAAAUUUCACAUUUUUUAUUGAAGACUUCUCAUUUGACUAAAAACUCUAUGCCCAAUAAAACAUGGGACAAAAAAAACAUGCACCUUGUUAUUUCUUUGAUGCUUAAGGGCUCAAUGUACUGGAGUUGACACUGAGACUUUACCUUUUUGUGGUAAAUUAGUUGAAGAAAAUUGUUAUUUCCUACCUGGUUGAAGCUCAGUGGACGCAUGAAGGUUAUAUGCCAACAUUCGAUGAGUAUUUGGACAUUGCAUUACAUUCAAGUGCAGCCAUUCUAGUGAUUGCUGAAGUCUUGGUCGGAAUGGAAGAAGCAGAUGCCAAUGUUUUUGAAUGGUUGAGACAAGGUGACAGUAAAUCUCUUGCAGCAAUAAAAAUAAUUGGCCGUCUCUAUGAUGACAUCGCAACCAAUGAGGUAAUAUUUAUAAUUUUAUUUUCAAAGGGAAAAUAGAAAAAUAUUCUAAUUACCAUAUUCUCUCAUUCGACCAAAUAAGCUUUAUAGUUUUAGCUAACUAUAUGCCCUUUGAUAUGAUGGAAGGAUGAGGAAAAGAGAGGACUAGUUGCUUGUGGAAUCAAAUGUUAUAUGAAGCAAUAUGGCGUUUCAAAGGAAGAAGCUAUUGAAGAAUUUCGAAAAAGACUUGUCAUUGCUUGGAAUGAGCUUAAUGAAGAUCAUAUGAGGCCAACGACUGUCCCAAUGGAAAUCCUUAAUCGUGUUCGUAACAUUGCAUGUGUAAUAGAUCUUACAUACAAGGAUGAGGAUGGAUUUACCAUGUCUGAGAAAAUUUUGAAAGACCACAUUACCAAAGUGCUCAUUGAGCCCAUUCCUAUUUGAGAAAAGGCAUUCCAUGUCUGUACAAGUACGACUACAUAUUGUAUUUGCAAGUUAGGUUAGGGUUCAUUUUGGUUUGCUGCGCUACUUUUGAUCAUGAUAUAGCUCUUAAUGUUGAGGUAUUUUCUGAAUCAGGGUUGUGAUGCUUCAGUCAUCUUAACUGACAGCAAAGGUGAACGAAGCAAUUUCACUGAGAGGCAAGCUGUGCCAAAUAGGACAUUGAAAGGUUUUGACAUAAUAGAUUUGAUUAAGGAGGAGGUUGAAAAGGCUUGUCCUGGAGUAGUAUCAUGUGCUGACAUACUUGCACUUGCCACCAGAGAUGGCAUUCUUCUGGUCUGUUUAAUCUCUCUCUUCAUAGAUGUUCUUUUUCUUUCUGAAAUUCCUCUUCCAUUCAAGGGAUAUCAAGGUUCAAAAAUUGGAGGGGUCGUUUUAGUUUUGAGUAUGAUAUAUACUUGUGUUGGUGUGUAAGGCAUAGACUGGUAAAAGAGUACUUCUCUCUGCACAAUUUUAUAAAUGGAGACUCUGGUUAAAUACUCUGGGCUACUCCUCUAACUGGUUGCUCAAAAAUCAAAGUGUACAGCAAUUUAAGUUGGUUUUGUAGUAUAACUGUAAUGGGCUCUUUAACAGAUAUAGGCUUUUACAUAUAUGCUUCUUUCUCUCAGUAUUAUGCCCUUUUUGUCAUUGCCCAUAAUUAUACUUUUUCCAAAACUUCAAGAGUACUGAAACUUCAAAAUGAUUUUAGAUUUCACAUUACGCUUGAAUUAAUAUGUCAUUAGCAUGAAGACAAACAGAUGUAGAUUGGAAUUGGAUAUUGGGAGGAGGAUUAAUAUCUUUUACAAUAUUAGCAGUAAGAGUAUGAUGCUUUCACUGAUAGGGCUUUCUAUUUGGUACAUCUCAAAACUGAAUUGUGUGGACUUCGGAGACAUGCUAUUGUUCUUUGGACGUCUUUCUUUUUGUCCUUCCUUUUGUAUUCUGAAAACCAAAGAGAAAAAAAGAAGCUAAGAUUGUAGCUGAACAUGUUACCCAAUCCAGAUAACUGCGUGCGUGGUUCUCUUUGAGGAUACUCAUUCAUAUUUAUUUUCAAUGCUUAUAUCAUGAAACAAUGUUGCUUUCAGAGUUUAUCAUUAUAUAUUUGAAAGUAUGCUGGUUUCUUAAUGCGCUAUCUUCCGUUUGAAUCACAGGUUGGUGGCCCAUUUUAUCCUGUAUUCACGGGUAGAAGGGAUAGCAUUCAGUCUUACUUCAAUGAAGCAGUUGCUGAGAUUCCAAAUCCUGAUGGUAACCUCUCGGAGACACUUUUCCUCUUUGGCCUUAAAGGUUUUGAUGAAAGAGAGACAGUCAGUCUUUUAGGUAUAUACCUGGAAUUUUUGUCCCCUUGCCUUAUCUCCCUCUAUAUGGUCCUUGAAAAGUGAAACUUAAGAUGUCAUAAUGGUUCUUUCUGAUUAUCUGAAGGGGCACAUAAUAUUGGAAAAAUUAGCUGUGAGUUUAUUCAGAAUCGCCUCUACAAUUUCUUAGGGACUGGACAGCCAGACCCAAGCGUUCCAUUGGAUUUUCUCAAUGAAAUGAGAAUAAAUUGUCAAGAAAUUCGUGACAGCAGCAAUGGUAUGUCUCCUACUGCCACAAAUCCAUGUAUCUCGGAAAGUACUGUCUUCCAAGGACUAACUUCAAUUUCCUCCGGAGCUGGUUUUGACAAUCACUUUUAUCAGAACUUGGUAAGGGGUAGAGGACUCCUCUUUUCUGAUCAACAACUAAUGGCUGAUGAGAAGACUGCUAGAUAUGUAAGGGAUUAUGCCUUUGGUAAUGGAUCAGCCUUUAGAACAGACUUUGCCAGGGAUAUGGUAAAGAUAUCUGUACUCGAUGUAUUGACAGGAUUCCAAGGUCAGGUCCGAACUAACUGUUCCCUGCCUCUCUAUGGCUCUUAAACAACAGUCUCCUAACCAGGUUGUGCAUUUUGAGAUUCUCCAAUUCUUUACUAGUUUAAUGUACUACUAUCUCGAGGAGUUGUACAAUUGAUGAAAAACUUUUUGCUUCAAUACCUUCAACUACUAUUAAACCCAAUUGUGGAGCAAUAAUCAAGUUGAGGAUGACAUUUUGAUCUGUUUGUAAGUUUGAUCAGGAGAAUUCUGGAUAAGUAAUAUCUGUAGUGUACGAGCAUGAUUUCACUUCAUCAUUUUUGCCUGGUAUUUGGAAACUAUUCUGUGUGAGUGUGAAGCAUUAAUUUGCAAAUUCCUAGCUGUCAUGGUAAUCACUCACAGGCUUCCUAGAUGUCGGAUUAUUAUCAUCUGUCUGUGUAAAGACUGUUGUCUCUAGAAAUGCAACGAAGAUUCUGUCAACCCUUUUGGUUGUUGAAAAUGGGAAUGUCAGAACAUAAAAUCUUUUAGUUAUCAUAAUCGUCAUCUUCUUCUUCUUUGUUUUACAUGCAAAAGUUUUGUGUUCAUGCUUGUCUCAUAUUUUAAUCUGUCAUGAGCAGGACUACAAACUCCAUGUAGUCUUGCAUAUUCGAAUAAUGGUGUGCUUAAUUUGGUUUAGCAAAAUGAAUUUCACUGCCAGAUCAAAUCAAGUCAACAUAAAGAUGGAAGCUAAAACCACUAGGGAAUGGGGCACAACAGACAGUGCACAAAUGCAGGUUCUGAUACAUAGAUGAACUAGAUUUUUAGUGCGUACUCUAAUUUGCAAAAACUUGCCCCAUUCUUCUUUUCAAGCAAAGUUCCUUUUUUCGCUUAAAGCAUGUCGCAAUUAUUAUUCUGAAGUCACAGAUGAUGCGGUAUGGAAACUAAGCACAGAUCUUUUCUUUGCAAUGAAGCACGGAAAUGUUCAGUCAUGUCUAAAUCUUCAGGCUUCUUUCCAUUAGGAAGCUUCCAAUCAAAAUGGUAGAGCAGAUUUGCAAGUAUAAGCUCUACAAUUGCAAUACCAUACGUUAUACCAGGACACAUCCUCCUUCCAGCACCAAAUGGAAUAAAUUCAAAGUCUCCUCCCUUAUAAUUAAUUGAACUAUCACAAAAUCUCUCAGGAUAAAACUUCUCAGCGUCAGUCCAGUUAUUUUGAUUUUGUCCUAUUGCCCAUGCAUUAAUUAUGAUCCUAGAUUUGGCAGGUAUGACACAUCCGUUAACCUCACAGUUCACUUGGCAUUCUCUUGGAAGUAGCAAAGGAGCUGGAGGGUGCAAUCUUAGUGUCUCUUUGAUAACUAGUCUGAGGUACUUCAACUCAUGAAUGCCUGAUUCAUCAACAUCUCUUCUACCAGCAAACACAUGCCUCACCUCUGCCUGUGCCCUUUUCAAUACUUCAGGGUUUCUUAACAUUUCUGACAUUGCCCAUUCUACAACUGUAGAUGAGGUUUCAACCCCCGCAAGGAAUAUAUCCUGAAAUAGGUAGGAUUAUUAAGUUUCAAUUAAGCAUGCACAAAAGACUGAUUUUGUGUGUGUCAACAUUAUGAUCGCACCUAGCCAAAAUAUAGAAAAGAGAAAAAAAAAAAAAAGCAAUUGACUAUAAAGGAACAGACUUUGAAUUCACUAACCAGAAUAAUAGCUUUGAUGCUGCUGGUUGAUAACGGAACUUCAAGGGCUCCACGAUCCUGAAUAUCCAGAAGGACUUGGACGAGGUCGUCUACUUCACUUUCUCCUGUCAUUGUUGUUAAUUUUGUAGCUCUAUGUUCCUGAAUGAUGCUUUCAAGAAUCUCAUCUACCUUGUUAUGCAGUUUUUUAUUUUUAGGCCUCAUGGCAUUGAUCAGAUGGAGCAAUUUUGCGGAAGGAUAGACAUCAACAACACUGAGACCUCCAAACAACACUACAAUGUCCGGAUGAAGUUUCUUGAAUGCAUCCUGGUGCUUACAUUUCCCACCGAAGG